CAGUAACAGUAACAUUACGCAAGAGGACUCACCUUUUUUCGUCGACGUCGAGUCUUUAGGACUCUUGUGCGGAGCCCGUGAUGCUGCUGCUUCGGUGCGAUUCCCCACCGCAACGUAAUACGGCCGCUUUCGGAUCUGAAACGGAAUUAAAUACACGAGGUGAGUUAUUAUUAUUAUUAUUAUUAUUUUUCAUUCCACUCGCUGCAUAUUUUAUUAUAAUUAUAAACCGCGGAGACGGCGGUAAUAUUAUUAUACGGCUUAUAAUAUUAUAUUAGGUUUUAUUUUAAUUUAAACGGAAAAAAUCGCUUUAACGGCUGCGCGGGCGAAAUUUAUAAAAUAAAUUAACAAAUACGUAAAAUACAAAACGCGUUUAAUUUGUAUUUUCGAAAUCUCUUCGGAGACUGGCUGCGAGUAAAUUAUUAUACGAUGUGCCGGGCGCCACGUAAUUGAGUUUUCACCUAAUGGCCUAAGACGGAUUCAUUAAUUUUUUUGUUUUUAAUUUUUAAUUUUCUCGUAUUCCGCGAGACGAAUUUUCCGUCUGUGUAUAUAGCAUUAGAUGUAUGUAUGAUUUUGAUGUGGUUUUCAACAAAAUGUUAUUCGAUCUGCAGUUUUCGAGAAAGUUUUAUAUACGCGGCUACUUAAUUAUUACCCCGGAAUUCAGCUUCCCUAUUAUAAGUUGUGUUUAACAUUUUGAUUUAUAAUUAUAUUUGUUUUAUUAUUUUUUUUUUUUUUUUGGGUUUCCUCGUAGCGACACGGUCGAAAUAUCAAACGGUUACCUACUAUUAUUAACUUAAAAAAAAAAAAAACUGGAAUUAAAUUGGCACACGCAACGCUAGACGGCCGGACAACUAUAGUGAACAUCGACAACGUCGUUAAGCGCUUGAAUGGGGGGGGGGUCAACAGACAGAGUAAUUUUAUUUUUUCUAAAAAUACUCUAGCGUCGGAUUUUUCAUAAUGGUCUUAGAAUUGGUGUAGACAAUUAUUAUCGAUGCAACCCUCUAUCGAGUGAACAAAUGUUUUGCUGAAUCUCAAUAUACUAAAUUUAUCGAGUUUCAAAAAGUUUUUUACCCAUUUUUAUUUUUAUUGAUAAUAAUUUUUUUCGAUGAUAAAAAUAUAUCGUUCUUAUCAUGUUUAGGUAGUAAUAGAAUACCAAAAAAUCGUUUUGCAAAAUGUAAUCAUUGUUAUUGUAUCGCCGACGUAUACGUAUCUAAUUUAAAUUUUCAACAAUGAGAGGGGGCGAAGUCGUUCCCCAAGCACGCCCCCAAUCUUCUGCCCCGAAUGGAUAUUAUAUGAACUAGUACGGACGUAAAAACAAUUAUAAACCUUAUGGUACGCACAUUUUUGUACGCUUUUGCUCAGUGGCGCGGGAAGAUGAAAGGAUAACCUUUUUCAGACACCCCAUAAGGGAGGCUAAAUUCCCAUUGUCGGGUUAGGCGUGACAGAAGAAUUUAUUCUACGAUUUGUUUGCGAAUUACGAUUAUUAUUCACUAUACGUCUCCUCACGUUGGAAACUCCCGGGCACGCCGCGCUGCAUUUGCGUCCCCUUUUUAAUUUGAUUUCCGACACGAUUCGACCGCCGGUCGUAACAAUACCGUACACGAAACUGACCAAACAUAGUAUGCUAUACUGUUAUGUAUAGUGUUCGAUUGUUUUUAAUUUUUUUUUUUCCAAUUUCCGAAUACCUUCGGAGUACCACCCACCACGCGCGCGUGUACGGAAAUAUCGCAACGCCGGUGAUUCGUUCGGGGUUGUCCGCGGUCGUCCGCCGGGGAUGAUCUAUAGACGCGCGCGAAACUAUAAAACGUGCGGCCCAUUAACGAACCGUGAAAUUUGUUUUCAACACUCGCCGAGGUAUUAUAAUACGAUCGUCGCGGGGGCACUGCGCAAUGUUUGCAAACAAAAUCGCUUUUUUUCGUAUUUUUUUUUUUUUGUUCGCCAAAGAAAAAAAAAAUAAUAAAAUUCCCCGUACAUACCCUCGGACCGCCGAGAGAACCUUUACACUGCGGCGUGAAGACCGAUAGUUCGAACGCGUGCAACAUGGUCGACCUUGCCGUAUGUACAAUACGAGGAUCAUAAUAAUAAUAAUAUACAAGGCUGUUGUGACCCGGGCCGAAAAUCAAACGUUAUUGGCGAACGAUAUUAUGUACGAGCAGCGUAUACCUACACAGCGGCGGGUUUUUUUUUCCCCCGAGUAUGAAAUCGAUUACGGGAGGGGCGCAGGUAAAAAAGGAUAUGCGGUGUUAAUUUAUCUGUCGGCAUCCUGUAAUGGUUUUUUAAUUUUCUUUUUUUUUCUGCUUUCUUGUUUCGCUGCCGCGGAACCUGUCAAAAUAUUAUUGUUAUUAUUGUUUAUGAAACGCGUAAAAUACCGCAGGAAUUUUGUCGCGGAUUAAUGUACGCAUUAUUUAUUUUAUAUAAACGUACAUCGAGUUGACGUGCUAUUAUGGAAAAAAAAAAAAAAAAAACAAUAAUAAAAAUAUUACGUUUACUAUUAUUAUUAUAAUAUGUUAAGUACGUAAUUUUCUUAUACAUAAAUUAUAAUAUAAUAAUACGCGAGUCGGAAAAUCAUUAUAAUAAUAUUUCGCACGGUCUAUAAUAUUUAUAAUAAUAUUAUGUAAAGUACACGGAAUUAAGAUUUUCAAACGAAAUAACGGUGCGUUUUGAAUUUCGAAAAAUAAAUUACGAGUUUUUUUUUUUUUUUUUAUUAUCGUAAAAAUAUAAAUAACGCGGUCGAUUUUCUUUUGAUAUAAUAAUACCUAUAUAUAAUGUAUAAUACGCGCGAUAAUAUUAAUUUCGUUACAAACGUACGAUAAAUCACAUUUUUAUGCGUUGUGUUCGUUCGAAAAGGGCAUCUCGUGCGCCGCUUUUGACUUAUACGCAGUGCACUCGUAUAUUAUUAGGUAUGUAAUAUUAUAUUUGUCACGUGAAAAAAGUUCAACCGUAUUACUGCACGUAUAGGUUGUACGUAAACGAUUAAAAACAGAGAACGAUUUCUCGUGCGCGUAUCGUAAUAACAAUAACGCGUGUUCAGGCAACCCCGAAUAAAUAACUUAGAAAAAGACAAAAAAAAAAAAAAAAAAAAAACCCCUCGACAUUUAUAUGUCAUUUUAAUGGGAGACAUUUACCCGUUUCACUGUAAUAACAAUAUAAGUGUCGUGUCGUACGACAAUAAACGGAUGCGGUGUAUUAGACCUUACGUCGAAUUAUUUAACGGUUAGAUUAGGUAUGUUUAUAAUCACAAAAUAGCAUCUGCUUUCUUUGCAUUCCGUCGGGCCGCGACACGUUCUCUUAUAACACCGUAAUAUAUUGUAACUUUCAUCUAUAAUUUUUUUCAAUUUUUUUUUUUUUUCAAUCGUUUAUCAAUUUGAAAUGGUUUUUUUGUCGGGUACCGUUUUCGGCCCACAAUGAACCUUUUCCUUUUCGGCCAGUAUGUUACUUUUUGCCCACUCCACAAUUUCCUCAUUUCCUUUUGAUGUUCGUGAUGUUUACGAUAAUUAUUAAGAAAAAAACAUGAAAUAAAUUUAAAACAAAAUGGACAAAACAUUAUUGGAUUUGUCUAUUACGUUUUCGUAGAGCACGAUUGAAGUAGACUAAAUAUUUUUCAACCGUGGUAUUCUGAUAGUUAGUAAAAAAUAUUUUGUGAACCGUUAAAACAAUUUUAUUUUUGGUUUUUCAUUGAAAACUAUGGAAAUACAAUUUUUACAAACGUUUUUUUUUUCAUGAAAUCAUAUUUACCUAUAUGAAAUUAAAAUAUUAAAAUACUAAAUUAUUGCCUACAUAGAUACAGAUCUAGAAGUGGUGUUCAUACCUAUCGCCCCUGCAAUCUUACAUUGGUGAGCAAAAUAGUAUACUGGCUAAAAAUGGUUAUUAUGGAAUGGCUGAAAAGUAACACAGGUCGAAAAGGGAAAGGUUCAUUUCAGCCGAAAAGGGUCGCGCCCUUUUGUCGAAUAUGCUUUGAAAAUAUAUCAGACUAUUGCGCUCGAGGUCAAACAAGUCGCCAUGUCUGAAGCGUUUUAAACAUUUAUGUAUAAAACGUCCAAAAAUUCUAUAUUAAAAUAACUAAUAUUACCUAUUGUAACAUUAUUAGAUUCUGAAGAUUGAAGAUAUGCAUAUAGUCCCUGUUCGUUUUUAAAACAUAAAUGAAAAUAAACAGUUUCUAUUAUUUUUGUUUUGAUAAAGAAAUAACUUUUUUUUUUUUAAGGGUUGUUUUUUUUCCUUAAAUAAUUAUUACGAACAAAUUCAAUUAAUACAUAUCGUAAUGUGAUAUUUAUGAUAAAAAAGAAACAUUCACAUUUGGUUACUAUUAUAAACAUGUUUAAAUGAAAAAAAAAUGUUUUUUGGUUUUGAAACUCUGAUUGCAUUGAUUGUAUUAUUUCUGUUAUACAUAUAUCUUUUACAAACUAUAUUCGGCACUUUUAACGGCUCUCUCUGAACCAAGGAGCUAAAACCCGGGAAUAUCAUAGUUGUCUUAUAAGCAAGGGACGAUAAUUUUAUGUAAGCAUAGCAUUAGAAAAUGUGCCCGUUUGAAAGUUUCAAAUUUCACAGGAAAUACCAGGUUGUAAAUUACUCUCCAGACUAAAAGAAAAAAAAAAAUGAAAUGAAAUAUUGUAACGUUGACAAGUCUGCUGGGAGAAAAUUUGACUCUAGUAACGGAGCUCUGCUGUUUACGAGUGGUUUUUUUUUGUCAUUUGUAUCAUCUCUUUUUGUUACCACUUUAAUACUGUGCACGCACACACACACACACAUACACACUACACACAGACACAUAGACCGUAGAGAACUGUAUAUACUGUAUAUAGUUACAAUAACGGAUAAUACAGAUGUGGAAUUGCCUUUGACCAAAUAAAUACUACUUAUAUUGUAGGGGGAGAGAUGUGACGGGGGGCAACAAAAAGUAAAUUACGUAUUUUAAUUACGCGCGCGAGGACUCUUUUGACGGUGAUAUUUCUCUUUUUUCUUCCUCUCUUUUUUCCCGCUUCUGCCGAGGACAAUUCUCUACUAACCUGUCGCACCGACUUAGGUAUAAUAAAUUUCCGUGAUGUAUGGCCGGAACUUCCUCGGUCACGGUCGGAGAAAAGUGUACGGUUAUACCGGAAAAAAAAAAAGAAAAAAGUAUAUUAUACACUUUAUACCGCGCACACACCAAAGGUAAAAGUCACGAGACAUUUAGAUUAAAAAAAAAAAAAAAACAAAUACAUUUACCGGCUGUGGUAAUCAACGUUAUAUUAUUAUAUUUUCUUUUCACUAUAUAUGUAUAAGAAAAAUACAAUUUAAGAAUUUAAGAAUUUCGUCUAGGGAAGUGUAUGAUAUGUGCAUUAUAUUAUACAAGUACCUGUUAUUAUAAUUCAAUAGCGAUUUAAAUAUUUUGAACCUGGUCUAUAAUAAAGGAGUAGGUUUGCCUGCCGGUAAUUUGACCACUGAAUUUCGGAUCUUAUAUUGCGCGUUCGACAAUCGGGAUAAACAUUGCCGGGGAAAAACAUCUCCCGAGGUUGAUACGAGGAAAACAAAUCCCCCGACCUUUAUUUUUCUGUUUUACUCAAUCGACCGUCGAUAUUUAGCUGACUUUGAUAUUAAAAGCGGUCCUUUUGUUUGACACAGAUAAGUUUGAUAGGAAAAGAUUACUUUAGCAAUUUGUAAUAUUUACGCAAAUUUGAUACAGUAAUCUACGAUAGUAGUAAAUAGGUACAAUCGAUUAACGACAUGAUAAUGCAGCUUACAUUUAGCGUUUGAACACUUUGACCUGUUUGAAGCCGGAAUUAUUUCAUUGUUCACCGCAAUCAGGCAUCGGUUAUAACAUCACCGCGUUAACCAUAUCAUAUCAGGCAUAUGACUUAUAUGCCUCAUAAUAAAAAUGUAUCAAAAUAAUAAUAAUUCUUUUUUUUAAUAUAAUAUUAGGUACCAGAAUCGUAUUAGUAAAGUUUUUUAAAUAAAUUACAAUUACAAUUUGGCAAACGAAUAUUAUGAAUAUUAUAAUAUUUUUAUCGAUAAUACCAAAAUUUGGUCACAGUGUUGCGGAUUUUUUUCUUUGGGAUUCCUUAUUUUAUCGGUGCAAUCAAGUGCACCAUAUUUUACUGUCUAAAAUUGUUGCACUUGUAAAUUAUUUUCGUUAUUAUUCCGGUAUAUAACAUCUCAAACUGCUACUUCUUCUCUGUCACCUAUACCUCAGUCGCGUUUCUUAUGAUUAUAAAAAUUGAAAUACAAUAUCAAGAGUAUUAUUUUUUGAUCAACCAUAAAUUAUGAAAGUGUGAAUUCUACAACACGAAAGUCGAAACAAAUGACGUCCCCUUGCGAAAACCUCCAUUACCCGAUAGAAAAAACUAGAUAAGUAAUAUUUCGCGUUCCGAAUAUGGAAGAAUAAUGACAAUUACUUAUUGUUGUUUUUUUACAGUAAUCUGUCGGCUUGUGCGUGACGAUAAAAAGAACUUGAUCGUUUUUAUUGUGUUUAUUACAGCCGUAAUGUAUUUUUCGUUUAGUUCGGUUUAUUGUCACUUAUUCAUACGGUAACGUUUUAAACAACGCGGAAAUGCUAAUGUCCAUGCAUCGGGGGUUCCAUUAUAACGGGAAAGAGCAGACAAUUUCGCAAAGUUGUUAGACCGCGACCAAUGCAAGGCGAGUACAAUUUACACGUAACAAAAAAAAAAAAAAACCCCCGAUAAUUACGUAUUUUCAUAUUUCCACGAAAACCUCGGUAAGUCGAAAAAAUUGCAUUUCCCUUGCAUUCUGACCCGUCGAGUUUCCGCUCGUAAAACGGAACGACACUCGUAUUUCCGUCUUGAAAAUAUCGCCUCGGCAAAUAACAGAUAAAACGAAUUUAGGGGAAGAAAAAAAAACGAAAAACAAGAUGUACGCCCGGCGCAUAAGAAUAUUGAUAAAAACUUUUUUGCGCGAGAGUCAAAUGCACAAUGCACACAAUCAUUAUUCUAUAUUUAUACUGUGAUAAUAACUGGCAUACCAUUGUAAUAUAUAUUAUAACAGUGACGCGCGACCAUAUUAAUACCAGACGCGAAACGUUCGAAACUUUCUCGCGUAUAAAUCGAAAACGUUUCGCGGUUUCUUAUCAGUGCGGGCGCGUCGCGCGCGUUUGUAAAUUUAUACGCGCGGCGGCGAAAUAAUUAAAACCGAUUCCAUUAAAUUACGUGCGGCGACCGCGGCCGCAAUUAUUCACCUCGUCUCUGGUUCGCGCAGAUAUAUUUAUAUCGCAUAAAUAUUCGGCCGGUCGGUCGGCGGCGGCGGCGGUUUUCGCGGCAUCGAAAAACCAAUUUAUUUUCCUUAUAUACGUUUUCUUCCCGCCCGUCGUCGGUUUCGGGUUUUUUUUUUUCUUUUCUGUUUAAUUCACGAACGCACGCAGGAACUAUUUGUCUGCGCGCGACGCGAUAGAGAAAAACAGCGAGGAGCGCGGGAGACGCGGAGAGAGAGAGAGAGAGAGAGAGAGAGAGAGAGGGAGUGAGAGAGUGUGAGAGAGAGUGGUUGGGGCGGGGUGCGUUGAGUCGGGCCGAGAGAAAGACGGACGAACCGAACCCUACCCCUGCCACCCGCGAAACGCUGCGGCCCACGCGGAGGGGCGCACAACAUUUAUCUCUGCCCCGCGAACCGGCCUUAAUGCGUAUUCCAUGCAAAUACUCUACGUCCCCGUACCGCACCGCACACACCCUAUGUAUGUAUAUAUUUAUUGUGUGUGUGCGUGUGUGUGCGUGUGCGUGCGUGUGCGUGUGCGUGCGCGCAUUGUACGCCACCGCACGUUCAUCGGCUGUUACCCCGCGCGCCGCCGAAACCGAUCGGCCGAAACCGACCCCCCCACCCACCCACCCCACGCCGAACCGUCUUUCGCGACGGCCCGGUGACGAGGGGUGUUUCGCGCGCGAUCCGGAGGCAGUAAAUCUCUGUCGAUUCAUUGGUCGGCGGGCAAAAAAAAAAAAAACCCCGAGAGAGAAAUAAUACAGAUGGCGACGCGGUCUGCGAGGGCGCGAGUCCAUCACACACCGUCACGGGCCUCGUCGCCGCCGCCGUACUUUAUCGUCUUAUCGGAAUGCGCUCGUUCGCGUAAUGGUACCGCGUACGAAAUAAUACUGCCGCGGCGGGUUCGUCGGGACGGUUAACGCCCGCCGUCAAUCGUUUUAUCGACCGACCGCGCGUCCGGCGGGUCAAUUAGAAAACCGAAUUAACUUGUUGACUCGAGUCGCGGGUUCUCGGCCGAAGUGCCGAGCCAUACGUGGCGGGGGUUUAUCGCCUCUUUUUGCGCGUCUGUGAAUGUGCGCGCCGCCCCCCCCCCCUCCAUGAAUCGGACGAUUCGUAGCGUUUUCGAUCCGGUCGGCCGGACAUCGAAAUGGGGCGAUUUUGUCGAUUUAACCUGCGAUCUAAUAAUAUCAAUGACAACAUUUAUUUAUUUCCCCCACUAAAGGGUAACAAAUUAAAACACACGAAUAAAAUCACAGUAGUUGGCCACUUCCGAGCCGUUGACCGUGCGUAAGUGGGAGUUCGAAUUUAAAUUAACAAUAAUAAGUUGUGUACGUUAUGCGUGAUACGUGAAAAGCAAUCACAAUAAUUAUUACAAUGUUAUGAAUUUAUAGAUAUAAUAAUAUAGGCGAUACAGUAAUAAAAAAUGACAGUAAAUAUAAAAUAUAUUGGAAUUUUCUUAUUAAACGGGGAAAAAAUUGUACAUUUUUUUUUGUAAAAUUGAUUUCCGGGUCAUCUUUGCUACGAAACUGAAAACAUACGACUGACAAUACUCGGCUCAGAAUCGUUUUUCGUUAGCGACGGUUUAUCGUUGAGUACACGUAUAAAUUAAAUCACUGUAUAUACGUAUCGUCCCUUUAGGAACUUCCUCCCUAAAACAAUGUUACACCCACGAACAUUAUUAGCAUUUGAUUUUUGUGUAAAAUUGUUGUCGUUCAGUACAAAUGAUUGCACCUAUACAGAGCGAUUGUAAAUUUAAUAUCACGUUAAAUUAUCAAAAGAAAUUGCUGAAUCGAAACUCAAUGUUGUAAAAUUCAAAACGAACAAGUUAAUCUAGGUAAACAAAAUAAAUUAAAUUAAUACAAAUUACAUGUUAAAAACUUAGUUUGAAGAUAAAAUCAACUUGAAUUUUAACUUUUUAACUUGUUGAUGUCCCGCAACCUUACGUAUUAAAGAUGUAAUAUUUUUUUUACUCGUACGGCGAACAAGUUAUAACAUUGUAAAUUUGAGAUUGUUUAACAGUUUUUGUGUAUAACGGGAAAAUAAAUUUAUUAAACAGUUUAAUUUCGUAACAAGUUAAACAAUAACAGUUCGGGUUAAAUUAAUAAUUUGUGUUAAUUGUGUUGUAUUUGUAUUAUUUUAAUUUCGUCUCGCAGCAAACGGAACACGUACCUAUAAUAUUAUCUAUAUAGUAAAGUAUGGAAUUUGAACAUUUUUAAAACCUUUCAGAAUAUCCGGACCUCGUGAACCCCGAUUACUACGACAAAUGACAACGCACGAUGUUUUUUCAUUGCGUUUACCGUCUAUUAUUGGACGAUUAAAAAAAUAAUAAUGACACGCUAUUCCGCACCUACACCGUUUAUCAUUUUACGCGAAACAUUCUUCGUCGUCCGAAAGGAAAUUUAGAAUUUGUAGUUAAAUUCUACAAGCGGCGCCGAGGUUUGAUUUACGAGUAUUAAUAUUUUAUAUUUAUUGAAAUAUUCGUGUACAAUAAUUAUUACGAUUUUCAUUCCCAUAUAUUGUAUGUAAACGUACAAGAGUUUUGUUUUCGUACGGGCCGUUAUAAUAUAUUAAUAGUCUUGCACAUAAAAUAUAUAUUUGAUGUACAAAACCGGAAAUUUCUCGUACAUGCAUAUCAUUCGGCGGUAUUUGUGCGUCGAUCCGAAAAAAAAAAAUAUAAAAGAAAGGAAAACGUCGCAAAAGUAAAAUAAUGUCUUCUCCGUGCCGCCUACGAUUUAUUGGGGUAUUAUUUUUUUUUUCUUUUUCUUCUUGCUCGGCCGCCGACGUUAUAAUAUUAUAAUAUUUCUUCGGGCGCGGGCCAAUAGUGACGGCCGAGCCAGGAAAGUACCCGGUUUUUAUUGCGAAGGCCUGUGUGGGCCCUCUUAUACAUAAUAAUAAUAAUAAUAAUAAUAAUAAAAAUCGUCCGUUGCAGACCGUCACGCGUAAAAGCGUUUAAGGAGACGGAGCGAUAAUAUAUAUAUAGACAUUAAAAUAUACAUAUAUAUAGAUAGAUAAAUUUAAGGAAGGACGAAGAAAAAAAAAAAGGGAAGAAAAAAUGCUGUCCGAGAGAGAGGGAGGAAAAAGGAUGGAAAAAUAUUUCGCGAGACGCACAAAUCAUUCUGCGCUGUCUCUUAUACACACACACACACACACACAUACACAUAUAUAUAUAUACGUCGCAUAGCCGUUUUAUUAUGUAUGCAAAUUUUUUCGAAAACACGCACCCCCUUCACCGGGGGCGCCGAGCGUGCCAAAGGCUAUGCGGCUAUAAAUCACCCGGCCGCGUUAUACGUACGUCUCUUGCAGGGACAAAUGUUCCGCACCCCGCGUAUAUAUAUAUAUAAGCGGGAAUAAAAAAAAUAUACAUUUUUCUUUCGGCGAAUAAACCUCGAGUUUAAAAUCGUACGGUGUUUCGCCGUGCCGCACUCGGUUAUAACAUUUCUGUGAUCUAAAAACUAGCCGAGUAUAGCUGAGCGUAUUAGCGUAUUUAUUUUUUAUACGUUCCGUCGAAUUUCGUUCGUUUUCUCACCACUAAUGUGCGAUAGACAUUUGACUGCGCCUACGUAAUAAUAUUAUACAAAACCCAAGCGAGCACUGGAACGGAUUUCACGUGAAAUGCGUACGCGCCCCGCACUGAAUUCAAAUCUGUUUUCAAUAGUCUUAUCGUCAGGUGCACAUACAGUGUACGCCGGUCGGACUGAUUGAAAGUACAUCCGUCUAAAUUGCUACGAGACGAACAAAAAACGUCCUCACCCGAUGACCUUUGUGUGGCCGGCGUGAUUUAAAUGGUUAUUUUUUUUUUUUAUUGGAAAUACGAAUACAUUCUUCGAAUCUCUUUGAAUUCCGUUUAUCGAUAUUUUAAACGCAUACUGUUCCCUUUUAACGUUCAUUUUAAUACCGUCGUAUGAAAUCGAAUGAAAAAUCAGAGUCCAAUGCGGUCUAUACGGGAUGUUGUGGAUAAAUUAUUCAAAAAAAAAAAUGUGUAAGGAAAAUUUUGAUGACCGUGAGAUAUCUGUAAGACGUUCGUUGAAACGUUAAAAAUGAUUUUGUACAAAACCGUAGACGAAUCGCAGGGACAGUGACCGGUGUCACAGUAUUUUAAUACCCACCAUAAAAUAUUAUUACUUCGGCAGGUAUAAAUCGCCUGUAUGAACAAUCGCCGACAGUAACAGGCGAUUUGUACCUCACAUAAUAUAAUUUUACCUCGGUGCGUAUUAAUCGUCAACAUUGGGUAAUGAUUUGUAUUGUAUUGUAUAAUUCACCGAAUACAAAUGAUCGUAUUUUAAAAUAUGUAACUGAUAUAAAAACAAUAAAAUCGUAAAAGAUACGCACAAUGUGAUAUUACCAACGGUCUUGUACUUGACAUUACCAAGUCCGGAACCACUGAUCUGAUUCGCAUGCGGUGUUCAGUAAUUUAUGAAACGUGAACAAUAAUAACAUAACAAUAUUAUUAUUAAUAAAUAAAAACCAUAAAUCUUCUGAAAACAGACUUCUAAAAUUAACCAAAGCAUUUCAGAUUUCCAAUUCCAAUAGGUAUCGGUCGCAUAUUUAAUUGCAACAUUUUAUUCUGUAGGUUCUGUUAUACACGUUGUGCCGCAUAUUUCGUUUAACUUUACCCGUCUUUGGUCGUAUCUCUCAUAUUAUUACCUACACCUGGCGAUACACGCGCGGGGGGGGGGGCGCGAAUCUCCCGUUAUACUGUAGGCGAUAUUUCCUACGGACGAUUCGCAGCCGGCCGGGCGGUAACGCGUGACGCGGGGUACGGAUCGCCCGUUACGCCGGUACUCGGGCCGCCGAAGUGGAGGACGCGAUAUCGAAACACGGUCGCCGUUUCGGUCCGAAUUAAUCCGUAAAGCGUUGGUGUGUUUUUUUUUUUAUUAAUUAUUUUCAAAUGGCUGCCGCAGUUACACUCUGCCGCGCACAAGGAUAUUUCCCGGAAAAGCGUACCCGACAACGGGCGCCACUGUUCGAAAUGUCAUCGUUACAGACUGCGAUUUCGGCCCGUAAACGGCGCGAGCGUUCCAAUUCAAACGGUGUCGCGCGGAUCGCGUCGCCGGCGGACACGCGGCCGGCCCGAGACGGUUCGGGACGCGGUCCGAGGUUAAAACGGCGUAACGUAUUUUAGCGGGUACCCGCCGCGUGCGUGUUUACGCCCGCGCGUAUUGCGUAUUUGUUUUGUUUUUUUUUUUCUUUUACUUAUCGCGCCGCCGCUCGUAUUAUUAUUAUUGUCGUGUCGAAGGCUCUCCGGUCCGUACGCAUUCCGUACGGUAAUAUUUUAUUAUCGUUUACCGUAUUCUCCGCGUUGCUAAACGUCUCUGUCGACGACGGCUCGCGCACAAACAAUAUAAUAACGAGAUAAUAACGAUAAUAAUUACGAUUAAGUCGUCAACAACUCGUCAACCGCGCGCGCCGACGGCGACGACCGUUUCCCCCCCCCUUCGUCUUUUUCUCCUCUCUCGCGCCUUUAAAGGGAAUCCGGCGCGGCGUAUUGCGAAAAACGGAAAAAAAAAAAAACCCAAGAUUACGGGGUCGGGGGGAAUCGCGCGAUUUCGACGGACGACGACAAUAAAAACCGGGGUGUGUCCGAAUCGGUUCCCGUUUAAACACGCACGUUUCCCUUUCCGUUGUCACGGGCUCGGGACCGUCGACUCAUGAGAAUUACUUAGAUUUCAUACCGCAGAAACGUGUCCGUAUUCCAUAUCCGGUAUAUUAUACGUACACGAUAGCUACGCACAGAUACGUGUAUCCAGACGGAUUGACGGACGGAUCUCGAUCGACUGCGGUAUACACGCCGAUACGACGUUCAUUUACCACACCGAUAACUGCGUUUGUCGUUUGAAUGCGUAUCGUGGGCACAAAAACGGGAACGAAUUCGGCUCGCCUCCGUAACAAGUACCUCAUUCGAACGGGAACCGAUCCCGGGGUAUGAACCCGGCAAUCGAUUCGGGGGGCGUAAAUCAUUUUUGGCGCAUCACUAUUAUUGUUUUCGAUAUUUUCCGUAAGACAUUUGCUGCGCAUCAUAAACGCUCAACAACAGAGCGCCGAAAGGGAUUAGGAUUACCCAAAACCACAAAUUGUUUCCUAACUUUCCGCCCAAUUUUCAGUGUCAAUAAUUUUUGUAGAUAUGUAUUGAAUACCAGAGCUUAAAAUUCAAAUAUAGGUGUUAUAAGACGUACGCGAGGUAUAAGGUAUUUCCGUUUUAAAAAUAUGCGUUGUACAAUACGCACAUAAAAACAUUGGUACGUGUAUAACAAAGGACAAAUAAACAGAUUUCGUUUCAUACAAAUAACGGGUCAUUAUGACACGCCCCAAACGACAUAAUUCGACUAUUAUAUUGUAUAGGUCAGGUUAGACUGAGACGAUUAAGACGAUUUUCCGUUUCAAUAAAUCGCACGGAACUUUGCACUUUUCGAUAUUUUCGUAUCGCGUAUUUAUUUUUAUUUUUUUUUUUGUCACCUACUCAUUGUAAACGGACGGCGCGCGAAUGACUGCCGCGAUUCGGAUACGUCCGAUAAACGACGUCGUAACGGACCGCCGCCGGCCGAACGACGCGAAACACCACGUGUCGGCGGGGAUAAUACGGAAUUUCGCCGGAAUCUAACGGUCCGGGGGCCCUUUGUCCGUGCGUUCGCGUGCGCUAUACGCGCGUGUAAUCUAAUGACGGUACGCUCUGUACGGAAAAGAAAACCGCGACAAUGCCUCUCAUGGUCUUAAUACCGACCCGCGGACGACCCCCGAGCCGACGCCCGCCGAGGCCGGGCGUACCGUUAUAAUAAUAUUAUCUCACCGUUACGGGUACUGUUAAAUUCGUAUUUUUACGGCGACCUAAUGUGUGAAUCGGCCGUCGUGACAUAAAUGCAUAAAAGGGACCGGACGUUGAUCGCGCCGACAUUUAAACUGGUUUAUUUUUUUUGUAUACAUAUAUAUAUAUAUAUAUAUAUAUAUAUGUGCGCCAUAAUAACGUUAUCUUUUUCUUCUAGUGGCGGAUUGAAAUUUAUCAUAGUGGAUUUCGAAUUCACUAUGAUAGAUAAUGUGGAUCCAUUAUUAACGUCAGGCGCUAUAGCAGCUAUAGCAGUUUAGACGAAUAUCAGCCAGUCAAACUCCAGGACGGCGAGCGUUUAAGCGGCAGCACAGCUGGAAGAUUGUAAAAAAUGUAAAAAGUAUCCAUCAGGAAAAGCCAGAAGUAGCGGAGUCCUUUCUGGAGCAGUUUUAUACAAGUCUGGGGGUUCGGGAGUCAAAUUUGACUUCCGUAUAUUUAAACCGGUACCUAAACACAGAUGAUCGGGCACCGAUUAUAGUAUUUUGGGCGGAAACCACGGAUAAAGUCAUAUUCGAGAGAUUAUGGGUGCCAAAUGUAAAGGCAUACUUUAACGUAAUCAACUACAGGGUGGCCAACGCCUAUAAUUUCAACCUAAAGUUAGUGAACGUGCGCACUAAGCAGGAAGUUAUAUUUUCAGUAGACAUUGGGUACCGUGAAAAAAACCGGUAAAAUAUUAAAUUUAAAUGAAACCCACGACGUAGUGUGCAAACAGCCUUUUUCUUUGGUGGGGAGGUGUCACGGACUCUGUUCUUCACGUGUGUAAAUUCGUUAAACACAAAUCAAUAUUUCAACGCGACUAAAUAUGUGAAAUGGACCGUCGCAAAUCGAAGACGUUCCCACGGAACAACGUAUGAUACGCGUCGAUGGGACAAAUGGAAAACGUGUCCGGGUGCGGACAACGCGGCACCGGAAGACGACGACGGCGGCGUCCGUCACCGCCUAGGUCCCGACCAAAGCGUCAAUCGUGUAUAAGACGACCCGGAGGACCGCAAUGGGAGUUCGGUUGGAAGUCGGGAGUCUGCGCUGCCAACCGACGCGCGAUGGGGAGGAGCACCGUUGCCUCGACGACGACCCGCCGUUCAGUCAUUUCUCUAGUUGUGUACUUGUGGCUGAUAAAUACAACUAUAAGUGUUGACCCGGGUCUGGCGUCGCGACGACACCGCUUAUAAUUAUUAUCAAUUGUCAACCGAGUUUAUUUAAAAUAUUAAUAAGGACUUCAUUUACAGACUUAAAAACACUUGUCCAUUUUCCCGUCCGAAGGCUGCGUCUGAACGGCCCGUAACAGUAUCGUGUCGUGUGGAGCGCGCGUGACCCACGUGGCGGCGAGGGGCGAGUACCAGUAAAGUCCGGUCCACGCUGGGGCGAGGUACGACGACUUUUUAAGUCGAAACGCUAUUUGACGAGACAAAAAGUCCCCGCGUGUUUCGAAAAAUGUUACUAAACGUUCUGUCGGUAAUAAUUCAUCGCGAGCCAGGCCCAGAUUACCGCGCAAGCGAAGUAUAGGCACGCGCCUAUAGGGGUCACAAAAAUCACAGAAAACCGCAUGAAAAAAAAAAAAACGCGCAAGCUCGGUGGUCGAAAACGUGAAAAUGUCUCGGUGAAAUUAAAGAGUACCGCGCACAAACUCGACAGCUCCACUUUUUCAAACUGUUCGGGAAACGAAAAAAAUGUUUUAAAUUUAUGGAGUCGUCUGGUCUCUCGUCCAAUAUUUUUAGUUCGUCUUUUUUUUUUUUAUUAAUUUUUAUAUUUCAUUAACAUUUAUUCCGAAUUUGUUCAUUUACAUCUAAUAAAAGACAUCAUUCUUCAGACAUAAAAAGAAAAGAAAUUAAUAUUAAGAUACUCGUAUAGCUAUUACAAUAAAAUUAUCCGGAGUCAUCUCGUUUUUUCGAACAAGACAACUCCAAUUAUGCGCGGAACCCUUCAAUUGGAAAAAGAAAAAAAAAUCAAUAUUUUAGACCUGAAACACGCAUCGUAAUGGUCAAUUAAUAAUAGGUAUUAUAAUAAUGUACUCUGUAGUAUGUUUCCCGCGCACAGUAUUCAAUCAAAUCGAUAUUAUGAUUUUUCGCAAUCGUACAUUAUAAUUAGGUAUAGGUACCAAUAUUCGAAACCGUAUAUUAUCGCGAUGAAAAACUCUAAAAGGAAAACGUGACCGUACGCGCGUGUAUGUGAGACGGAGAGAUGGAAAGUUGUAAUCAAGAACGUCAUGCGAAGAACCUUCAAUAUUAUUACGGAAAAAAAAAAAAAAAAAAACACGAUUUAACGAGAUAAAUAAAAAUUCGAAAAAAACUCAUCGCCGUCGUCGUCGUCGUCGUCGCGGCACGAUCGGCUAGUUAAAACAGCGUAAAAAACGACGUCAACGUUUUCGUGCCCCGGCAUAUCAUUUACACGCACGCGGCCGCAGCAGCUGGUACGGCGGUCAAAGCGCGAAUAUUGUAAUUAUUAUUACCGUACGUCGGCGCUGCAGUACGAUACUACGAUACAAUAUUAUAAUACAGUGUGUACUGUACACCUAAUAAUUAAGAUUGUAUAGAUAACGGAUAUGCUUUUAUGUACGUGUAUGUAAUUUUUUUUUUUUUUUUUUAACGAAGCAAUUACACAGUUCGCGCUAUAAAAUGAAAAACGGCUCUAUUAGACGACGAACGCGCGUGUUAUUAUUAACCAGUAUAACGAGCUAUACAUAAUGUCUACGAUACAGUGUAACAACAGGAUGUUUAUGGGAUUUUAAUAACCCGGACAACACCUUUUCGGUCUACGCUCUGUGUGCACAAUACGCACGUUAGACGAAUAAUUAUUAUUGUUCAGACGUUUGCUCUCCCAAAUUAAUUCGGAACACAAAAUAUACGGUUUCGCUGUUAUUAUUUACGACUACUGUUUAUUAGAUUCCGAGCGUAUCGAGGGAGCUAUCGGUUUUACAAUGCUGUUUAUUCAUUUUUUUUUCCCCCUUUGUUCUUUGUUCUAGUAUUUAAACUUGUUCCGAUUUUAUUAAUUUUUUUUUAUAAAUUAUUAUUUUUUUCUUAAACAAUUACUACGAAAAUAUUCAAUUUUAUACAUAUUGUAAUAUAAUAUUUACAACGAAAAAAAAAAACGUUAAAAACAUACACAUUUGUUUACUAUUAAAACCGUGUUUUAAACAAAAAAAACUAUCUUUAGAUUUUGGGCGUAUCGAGGGAGCUAUUAGUUUUACAAUGCUGUUUAUUUCUUUUCUUCUUUGUUCUUUGUUCUAGUCUGUGGACACGUUUUUUCCUAGCAAACUUGCUCCGAUUUUUACGUGUAACACUUUUUUCUGAUAGCUUAAGUUAUCUAGAUUGUACUUUAAAGAAGUCACUUUUUGAUUUUCGUCGGCAUUUUUUAAUAAAAGUACUUGAGUGGAAAAAGCGUAAAAAAACGUACAAUUUCAUUAUUUUAUAAAAACACGGACGACGUUUUCUACCAGAAAAAAUGAUUUAAUAAAAAAAAUCACAAGAUGACUUUUUUAUUGCCUUUUUGAUUUACUUUCUUACGGCACAAUCGUUUGUAAAAAAAAAAAUUGAUUAAUAAUGUUUUUUCAAUUAUAUUAAAACAAAACGUGCGUUAUUUUUUUCUCAAUAAGAUACGACAUUAUCCACCAAGAUACAAUAUGAUCACCUCCGUACAAGACGAGACGAUUACCAGGUGUGCCUGAAAACAUGAGACGAGACUGGAUGUUCAACACACCAAUCUAGCAGCAAUUCAACGGCUCGACAACUCUCAAGGCGUUAGGCGUUGGCCAAAGACCAUAUGACUUUAUGUACGAUUAGACUGAGGCUGGGGCCAUUCCACUGGGUGUGAGAAUCUACACAUGUUUUUUUUUUAUUGAUACACAACAAGUAUUCAUGCACACCUUUAAAAUGUAUUGUUAAUGGUCUUUGAUCGUUAUAAUAAAACCUUUAGUAAAAGCUUUUAUUAAAAAAAAUUGCAUAUAUGUUAUGUAUUUUAUAAAAAAGUACGUAUCCCUAUGCUGUUUGAUGUUAUUUAGGGAUAACGAAAAAAAAACAAUUUAUUCACUUCGACUCGCAGUUUUGUAUUUAUUCGAAUUUUUUUAAAAAAAAUAUACUUUUUUUUUAUUUGCCAUAUUAUAUAUUAUUCUAAAACCGUAGUUAUUUUAAUUUGUAAAUACUUAUUUGAGUUUCGGGUGUUUCGAGCGUAUAAGACUUGUGCAUGUGUGCGUGCAACAUGUCAGAACAUCAAGAGCAAUAAAUUUCGAUCGGAAUUUGCAUGUAUUAUUUUUGAACAGUCAAAAAAUAUUAAACGCAUGUAAGACAACAUUUUAUCGUAGAAAAUAUUUUCACGCUUUAGAUAUACGUAUUAUAUACAUUCAUAAGCGAACGGUUUUAAUUUUAUUAUGUUAUAAAAUAAUUUUUUUUAACACGACGUUAUACGUAUAGUUUUAGUAUACUCGUAUCAUAUUAAAUUGCACGCGGUUUUUCCGCCGGAAACUCGUGUCAAUGCAGAGUGAUUCGUUUAUCCGUACAAUCUUUUAUGCGGCGUGCAGAUCAAAAAAUUAAAACGGCAUAUAUUACAGUGCGUACGCAGAGGGGGAGGUUAGGGGUAUAUCAGCCCUCCCCAUUGGCUCGAAAUACAAAAAAAAUAUGAGUAAUCUGAUGUCGAAACGCAUAGUGCAAAGUUACGAGGGAAAACUUGACAUAUCGAUUAGAAAUUGGCCUUUUUUAGGACCCGGCUUUUAAAUUACCAUUUCCCACAGUCAAUAUGGGCAGAGCAGACGGAUUUAUGAUUUACUCGUGAUUCUUAUUGUUUGCUACAUCCCCAUUGAUAAUUCCUGGAUACACCACUGUAUAUCAAAAUAGAUUACAAGCGGUUCCGUAUACUAUUUAUAAUUGAACGAAUCCAAAAAAAAAAAAAAACAACCGAAUUCGCUGGAAUCCUCCGGGAAAAUGACCGGUUCGCGAUGAAUACAUUACCCCGUACAUAAUGUAACGAUAAAUAGCGAACGAAUAAACAAACACGUAUUUUUUAUCAUCGUAUUGUUUAUCAAAGUACGAGAAACGUCGUCGACGAGCCGGCGCGUGUGCGUACCCGUCAUCGUCGACGUGUAUACGUUACGUCAACAAUAUUAUGGGUAAUAACAAUUUUCGUAUUGUCCGUUCAUACUCGGGAUACCUAUCUCAUUAUUGUAUACGUUUUUGUUGUGAUGACAUUGGUUAUUUGAAUAAAAAAAAUGAAAAAAAAAAAAAAAAUCCUCGUAAAACGGCAGAGUAGUUUUUAUUAAUUACUUAUCGAAAAAUUACUAUUACUUUACGCUACCAUUGUAAUAAUAUUUACCGAUUUACACCAGUGUAAGGUCCGCGCCGCACGUUGCGGUUAAGACGCCGCAUUGCUCGGCCGUGGGACACAUUUUUCGUACAAUAUGUUAUAAUAUUGUCAGGCCCGUCGCUAGGGUGCAAGCAAGCCGACAAGCCAUGCGCUGCUUUAAGGCGGCAUGCGAUCUCUAAUCAAAUCGAAGCGGCGAAAUGAAAUUAAUAAUUGUCAAAGAAUACCGGCAUCAAAAUGUUCGCUUUAUGGCUGUAAAUAUCUAUUACGGCCGACCUGAAUAUUAUAAUAUUUAUACAAAUCCAGAGAACGCGGAAAAUGUAAUGUUUUUUUUCUCUACUGCGACUACAAACAAUACACAGACGUGGCCGCACUGUGGAUCUAAAUAAUCCCGGCGACUUUUUUUUGUAGUCCGUCCCCGGACAAAACGGUCACGCGCGUUAUCGCUUUGGACCGCGAAAGGGUUACGAACAAAAAGGUUUUGAAUUGUAGGAUAAAAGAAACGCGGCGACACUAUAGGCAUAUGGACACGUGUUUCGCAGAAGAGAUAAGACGAGUUAGGACGCAAUAUAAUACAAUACUAUUAAUGCCAUCGAAUACUUGAAUAUAGUCAUAAAAAUCAACAAUAAUCGAAGGCUGCUCGGAAAGAGGAAGACCGCGAGCAGUGUGCGUAUCCGAACCGCGAAGGACGUAUAAAAAAAUACAAGGGUCUAAAGCAGUGGUUCCCAACCUACGAUUGGACCACCGCGGACCGCCGGUGGUCCUCCGGGCGAUAUUUACAAAAUGUAAUAAAUUAUCUAUUUAACGUACGCGCUAAAAGAUCACUUGCGUUUAUGUAUAAUUGAAAUUCCGUAAUUUGGCGUGGCCCGAAUGGAUGACCGAUAGUCGCUGGACUUUUUGUUUUUGUUUGUUUUACGCGAGGUCCGUGGCUGGCGUAUUAAAAACGAUCGUGGUGGUCCGAGGCACGCGGGAAAGUGCCCCGAGCGGUCUCCACGCGAUUUUCAGAAUCGGUUUUUCGUUAAUGUUAUUACGGCGUACCGAUUUCUCAAUACGCAUCGCGUAUUGAGUUUUUCAUUAUGGGCGGACACAGCGGUCCGUACAAGCCGCGUUGUAUUACGUCGUUUUCGAAGCGUUUCCGGAUAAAGUGUCAAACGGUUAAACUGCGUACCGACAGAAAAACAAAAAAAAAAAAAAGCGUACGACAACAAUCGAUUAAUAAUAUACGCGCGCCGCUGCGUUGUUAAAAACGAUAAUGACGUACGGCGGUCGCGGUAUCAUAAUGCUAUGUUACGUACCAACGGGCAGCGGGCACAGAGAAGUCUAUUGGAGCGUAGCCGUGGUAUUGCGAACGUAAUUUUACCGCCGUGCGCUAUUACGGCGAGUAAUAAUAUUGUUGUUAUUUCGUAAUAUCAGUUUGAUAAGCGGGAAACGUAAAUAUCGAAUGUUAUCGCAACGCACGCGCGUUUUACCGCGAUAACAAUUGAUUGAACCGCGGUCGAAACUAUUCAGGCGAAGUUAAUUGAGAGUCUCGUGUAUUGUAUUAUAGCGGGUACCCGGCCAUUUUAUUAUUUUCGGUAAUACGUUCAAAAAUAGACGGUACUUUUUGAGCUGUACGGAAAUGUCUGUCGCUUUUGUGUUCAGAGAAACAACGGGAUAAAGUGAUGUUUUCUCUUUCCUUUUUUUGUUUUUUUUUGUUUUUUUUUUUAACCGUCAUUCACGAAUUAUUACCGAGAACAUAUUUGUAAAAGCGGACAAUUUUAAUACUAACAAUCUCGCAGUAGGUAUAGAUCCAACGCGAUUAAAAAUAAAUAUCUAUAAUUAAAAUAACCGAAAUUUGUCGUCCGGUGCACGACUCGGCCGUUUAAUAUUAUGUACAGUUCCUUUCGCUUCGUGGCAAAUAUUUUACGCGGUAAUCCGUGUACCUAUUUCGCUAUAGUUUGAAUAACCGAAACAACUUUUAACGGCGACGCAUAUUAUCCGCACGAGUACAAAUUUAAGUGUAAUUACCGAUCACGCGAAACUACCUCGUCGGUAAUCGUUUUUCGAAUUUUAUUUAUUACAGUAGGUAAAUUUUAUUGUGAUUUUUUUCUUUUCCCCGCAAACACGUCCAAUAGCAUCGUUUAAGUUGUGCGGCAAACUUCGCGGACUUUCCGGAUUUCGCGGAACAGUUCACGAGGUGCCAACUGAUAAAUAAUAAUAAAAUUAAAGCGAUAAACUUCGGUAUUGAGUAAAUAUCGCUUAAAAGAAUAAAAGAUUUUUCAUUGCAAAAAAAAAAAAAAAAGCCAACGGAUUUUUAUUACUAUUUCUGUGUUUUUAAAACGGUCAAGUGCGGAAAAACGUUAAGAGGCGAAAUAAAAGUUUCACCUCUGAAGUCUCCGUUACGCGAAUCAAACCGUGCACUCGGAAAGCAUUGUCUAAUAUCAAUCGAAAAAAAUAUGCGUUUCGCAUUGAAAUCCGGGCCCCGGUAAUACGGCAGGGGCGGCCAAACGCCGAUCUCCCUUCGUUGGAAUCCGGAGGAUUCACUGGAGUCUCGACAAAUGAAAAAGACAUUUUGUUCAACCGCGCGUUUUAGUCGUGUUGUUUGUUUGCGCGUGUUCUAAACGCCUAUCGGAUGUCAGUUAAUACGAGUGUUCUUUUUUUUCUUUUUUCUCGUUUCUCCGGCCGUACGACAGUCGACACCCCCAGAGGAAACCCGUACGCGCCGCGAUAAAUAUACGGAAUUUCGGCCGCCCCUGCCUGCGGACAUAAGGCCACGCGGUCGCGGUAAAACACGGGAGAUCGCCCGGCACCGCGCGCGCCACGCUCGUGUAUCGUUAUAAUUAUAAUGAUAAUAAUUAUCGCGCGCCGCGGGGCCGGGACGACGAUGGCCGCGAUGACGCGUCGCCCGUUGUGUAAUUAAAACGCUACGCGGCGACGCUCCGCUCCGGUACGCCGCGCUACACCGCGGCGUCGCGUACGCACGUCAUUCCGUUCGCUGCCCGCGCAGCAGCACUACGGUAUUCGUGUUCGUGUGACGUGUGCGAGCGGGCGCGUGGGGGAGCGAAAACGCGUCGUAUUUCAUUUUUAAUUGGGCCGCGCGCUUGUGUGCGCGUUACGGACGCAGUGUAUUAUCGCGUGUGCGCGCGUAAAACGUACGACGUCGGCCCGCCGCGGUUUUGAUAUUGUAGACGAGAAAAAAAAAAAUAAAUAAAAUUAUUAUAAUGAAAUUCCCCGCAGAACGGUUCUCCGUCGGGCCGCGCGCGGCGCUGCGCGCGGUACAUUACUAUCGUUAUUAACAUUAUUGUGACGACCGGGAGGCGUGCCCGGGAAUUUUCAACGGGAGGCCCGAAACAAACAAAAAUCAGUCAGAUCGUCUUCUCUGUAGCCCACUCGACUACGGGAAUCGGUAAUUCGAAAAAGCCGGAUCCUAGAAGAAAAAAAAAAAAAAGGCCAAUUUCUAAUCAACGCGUCGAGCUGUUUCUCGGAAAUCGACCGAAAUGCAUGAGUUUCGAUAUUAGAUUACUCAUAUUUUGUUGUAUUUUCAAGCGAACGGUGUGGGGAUAUAACCAACUAACUUCCCUCUCCCCCCCUCCCGGGCACGCUGCAGUACGGCGUAUAAGGUAUUUACGGCGGCGAGCGGGUCUUCGCGGUGGCUAGAAACGGAAAGGAGGGGUGGGGGGUAGGGUAAAAAACCCGAACGCGCGCGACGAACGAAAAUAUGACAUUUUACACGCGAAGAAACUGCGCGUAGUUAUUAUACGUUUGUGUAGAACCACGAUAUUUUGGCAACCGCGCCGAUGCCGGCCGGCGUGCCGUAAUUUUUUUUAAUAAUAUUCGUCGUUCGGUUUUCUUGGCACCAGGCCCGUCGCGGCGUCGUGCCUACCACGCGUCCAUACCUGCUGAAUGCCUCUCCCGGACGCGCACAACGUAAUUACGUUGUUAAAGUUCAAUAUCGUGUCGGUUCGCCCGACCCGUUAUUGUUUACGUACACAGUAACUGGUCGACGUGGCCCGGGGAUUUCAACGUCCUCGAGAAACGGUCUUUUAAACGCCCUCCCCUUUCUCCUCCCCCCCCCGAAAACGAAUACCCGACGAAAACUUUCGGUUUCACAAACGGUAGCGUGUUACGUUUGAACGGAGUAAUGACGCACCGCAGCCGUUAAUACGCCGAGGAUAUAAGAUCGGGAUCGUAAAUUAUUAUUGAACGAUCGGCAAUCCGUAUCGUAUUAGACCGAAUUUCAGGAAAUCAUAAUAAUUGCCCGAGAGCUGAUGAUAUUAUUUAAAACUACCCUAGGUCAACGCUUGAAAAUCGUAUAAUAUGUAUCACAAAGGUUACUUGAAAUUGUAGAAAAAAAAUAAAGGCGAAAGAACACCCGAGGGCUACCCCGCCCCCCCCCCAACAAUAAUAUUUUACCUAGAGUUGGAAUUUUUCAAAUAAUAAUAAUUAUGACAAAUCGUAAUAAUAUUAUGUUGCAUUUUAAAAACUAUUUUUUAACAAAACGUUUAAUACAUUUUUUUAAUAUUAAACAGUACGUGUAUGAUUUUAAGCGCGCACAAGAAUAACCUGGUAUACGAGUUAUACAAUUUUAUUUGACGCGUAGGUUGGUGAAUUAUAUUUUAUAUUAUGAAAAAAAAUGUAUAUAAUAUUUGUACAAUAAUAAUACGGUUACGGUUAUCGUAAUACCGCAUCAGUUCAGAAAUAAUUAACGUUUUAAUAACACACCGCGAUUUCAUUAUUAUAUUAUUCUACAAUAAUUAAUCAAAUAUUUGAUAUUCCAUUAUAUUGAAUAUAUACAUGGUUAUUUAUUUAAUACUAUGUUAUAUCGUUUGAUUUUUUUAAAAGUCGAUUAUAAAAUCCAUUAUUUAAAUUGUUUAUGCGUGAAACAAAAAUAUUAUAAUAUCAUAUACUUCAUAUACCAUCAGGCGAUUUUUUUAGAAGGAUUAUUCCCGCAAUUUUUUUUUUUCAAAUUGAAUAUACAAAUUAAUUUCGAUUUAAACGAAUUAAACUCGAUUCGCACUGUUUAGGUGUACCGGUGACUUUUUUUUUUACCGUUAUUAGUGAUAUUACGGCUAUUCCAAUAAAAAAAAAAACAUAGUGUACCUCGGCGUUGCCCAGCAAUAUCCGCACAUUUAACAUUUACAACACCUCAUGUUAUAUAUUUCCAUUUUCUUUCGUUCGAUUAAAGUUUUAUUUUUUUCUGUAUUCAAAUUAACCAUUCGGAAAAUACAGUUUACAUUCGAAACGCAUAUAUGUAUACAUAUGUAUAGAUGUAUAGAUGUAACUACUGUAAAAAAAAAUUUACAUACUACCCACCUUGUUUUAUAGGACAAUUCACAAAGAAAUAUACAAAAUUAUAAUAGUCGUAUUAAUAACAUGUAUGUUUUAAUGAGUCACGGUUAGGUUUUUCGUCUUGUUUAAAAACUGUACGGCGGAUAAGAAGAAAUAAUAUAGAAUAAUCAAAAGCGCCGGCCACGGUAAUAGCUAGAGAUUUUACGGUAUACGCGAUGAUGGUUACCCGAAAGGCCAAACGUCAUUUCCUCUCGCUGCAACCAUCACGAAUCGACCGUUAUCGAGAAAGACGCUUUAAUUAGUAUUGAUUUAUCAAUUAUAACUAUUAAACGUUGAACGAGAACGCAAAAUCAAACCUUCAUCGCAAAGACGUUGUGUGUUUUAGAUUGUGGUUUCACUAUAUUUUUUUUUCUCUCCUACCAGAAAUAUUGUUCCAAUCAACAACUUUAUAGGGACUUUCCGGUAGCGUUUGGGCGUAUUCAGUGGGUCGUUUUUUUUUAAUUUUUCUCGUAGUCUUCCUAAUAAUCGGAAAAAACAAGAAAUUAUCGGUUGAUUUCGUGAGGUGUUUGUUUGAUCGACAACAAGAGAAAAACACGAUUAAUACUCAAGCCUAGAUUAAGACAUUUAGAGGCCCCAGGGCCAAACGUUUCAACGGAUCUCUCAUUGAAAGUCUAAUAACAUACUUAUCAAUAUGUUUUAACAAAAGAAAAAAAAAAGAAAUAUUAUAGACUUUAUAUAGAUCUUUGUUCAAAAACCGCAAGUAUUAUUUAAAUAAAAAAAUGUAUUAUUUUUAACAACAUUCCUAGUAGUUUCUACUAUAUAACAAUAAUACAAAUAAGUUAUCAUCAGGCAACGAAAUCAUAUUAUAAUAUCAAAGUUAACGGUUUAAUGCGUACCUACAUAAAGAACGUACUGUGUCAAAAACCGAGGCCCCGGGAGUCUGGUGGCCCGGGGGCGGAGCACGGCCAUCCCUGGACCCCUCCUUCAACCGGAUUUGCAUUAAUACUACUGCGCUCUGAAUCAUUUUUUUUUUGUUUGCAACAUUUUAUAAUGGUUUGUCGGUAAAUAUAAAUCGAAUUACCAUCAUGUACAUCCCUAUAUAUGUAUACCAGCCAAUAAAAGUUGAGGCCUACCCGCGAGCGCAGUGUAUGAACUUUUUUUUCUUACUUAAAAACCGUAUAUAUCGCGUGCGCCUCCGACAACAAAUACUGUUAUUUUCUAAAAAAAAAAAAAAAAAUAUAUUAUACCGACGGAAAGUGCGAUGCGGUUUCUAUUAUAUUUCUUUAUCGUUCUGCGAGAUCGCGGUCAUGAUGCUGCGGUCUCGCACGUGGAAAAUAAAGGCGCGAUAUCACGAUCGCGUAUUUUAUACGUGUGAAAAUAACACUUAUAAUAAUAUAUUACAAUAACGGUUAGGAGAUGCGAUGAUUGGUGACGAGUAUACGCGUGUCACAGAGUCUCUUAUUUUUCUUCCUGACACAAUUCUUAAUAAGGCGAUAACUGCGCGCGUGUCGUCCGGUAGAAAUUUAAAUUCUGACGCGGAUUUUCACACAAUAAUAUUUAUUGUAGAUGUAUUCCAUAUAAUAUAUUAUAUAUAUAUUGUAUAUUAGGUGCUCAUUGAAGAUAGAAAAAAAACGAAAUGUUUUCAAAUUUUAAAAAAAUGAUAUUUUUUCGCGUCGGACCGCGGUAAACCUAUAAGCACACGCGUUGACGCGUAAGUAUUGCUGGCGAAUUCGAUCGACGAUUAUAUUGUUAUGUUUUCUGUCGGAUUCGAAAUAUAUCGAAUACAAAACCAAUUCGUUCGGCGGUGUUCAAUCAUUAAAAAAAAAAAAAAAAAAAAAAAUCAAAUCGUAUUAUAUAAUAAUAUAUAGAGUAGUUAUUAUUAUUGACAUUGUUAUUCUUUGAUUUUCACGCAUUUUUUAAUAAUUAUUAUUAACGUAUCGCGAUCGAUUUAUUACAGAGAUGUGUAUAAUACGCCAUUACUCAUGCUAUUAUAAUAAUUCAUACCGACUGCAGGCAAUGAGAACACGUAUUUAUUAUACAAUUUUUAAAUUAUUUAUAAUAUAAUAUUAUAAUCCGGAAAAUGUAUAUAACAAUCUGAUCAACGAUUAUAGCGAAUAAUAAUAAAAAAAAAAUUAUCGAUUUUAAUGAUUUUUAGUCUGAUAAAAUAAAACUAUAUUUUGUAUUAAAAUUGUGCGACAGAUUACAUAUUUGCCCUAAACUGAAUGAUAUUUUUGUUGAAUAAUAAUAAAACGUUCAGUUACGUUUCGCUUUAUACAAUAGUCGAUAAAUAUUAACUCCGAAAUUAGAAUUAUCAAUGAACCAUGAACAUAAGGAAACAUUGUGGCCCAUAAAAUAUAAUAAUAUAGACUGAUUUAAAUACACCCGAACCGUUCUAUUUUUAUUGGUUUUUUUUUUUUUUUUUUACAAUUUUUUUUCAUUUCUGUCUUUGUCUACACACGCUGCGGGAUUCUGCAGCCUGCAUGGAAAUAAUUUCUGACAAAAUAAACUCCUGAGUCGUUUUAACUAAACAUUUAAUAUGGAAAGGAAUUUCGCAACGGUUAUAUCAUUUUCGAAAAAAUAUACAAAAGGAUAUAAAUAAAAAAAAAAAAAAAAACCACUCGUGUUUUCGUGUAAAACUAACAACCAUUGCUUCCGCUCGUUAUUAUUCCGCAGAAUCUGAAAUUACAUCAGCUACACUAGAAUGUAUAUUGCGUGUAUAAACGUUUUAAAAUUAAACUAUUAGAAGAAAAAUGUAUAAUUAAUUCGUGCGAUUGGAAAUGCGACUCACGACUCGAAAACUAUACAUUAACCGUCCAUAACGAGAAACUGCUGCAGCGAAUGCAGUCGUCGUCGGUACACGUUAACGGUUCCCGUAUAUAAUAUCGUUGCUAUUCGACGACGUACUGCAGUCGGAAUAUAAUGCGUUUUAUCGGAGAUAUUUAAAUAUAAGUAAUGUAUAAAAAAAAAAAAAAAAAAAAAAAAAUGAUAAUAAUAAUCGAAACCCGAGCGAGCCGACAAAACGGGCGGGCGGACCGAAGUGGAAAUAUCGAGCAUCCUAUAUGCAUUAUAUAUUAUUAUAUUAUUAUGUUAUUAUAUAUAUAUAUAUAUAUAUAUAUAUAUAUAAGCGGGAUUAGGUGGGAGAAAAAUAAACUGGUAAGAAAAAAAAAAGAAAAACAGCACGGAGGAACAACAUUCCAUCAAAUAUAUUAUAUAUAGCCUUGCGACCGCGGUGGCGACAACGUCUUCGACUCAAUACAUUAAAAUAAUUCGUUAAAUCGACAAUCUGGUUUUUUAUUAUUUUUUUUUUUUUUUUUUUUUUUUUUUUUGUACACAUUAUAUACCUAUACUUUGUUCCGUUCCCAACGGCCUCUCAUUUGAAUUCGGUUUUAUAAUACUAUAUUGUGUGCGGCGAAUAAGUCAAGCGAAAUCGCCGUGGCCUAAAUGGUUUUUUUUUUCCGAUAUCAAACGCGUUAAGAACCGAGUUCACAAUAUUAUUAUGUAUGCUGAAAUCACGCGUACAAUUUAAAGCGAGAAUAUAUGUGUUUUCAGAAACCCGAGGGUACUGCAAUAAGGGAUUAUAUACCGGUGCAGACCGGAGUCAGUUCCGUAGUCACGGGGAGGGGUGCAAGAGGGCCAUUGUCCUCUCCCGGACCUAAUCGUUGCCCCCCGACAAGUAUUAAAUGUGUAUACGUAGUUGUAUGUUUUUUUUUCCAAUGUCCCGUCUAAAAUUUGGUUUCUCCCUCCGACGAUUUGGUCUGGCUAUACGAGCCUGACGGGAGUGCCACUGUUUGCAGACGGAAAGUCGGGAAGAAUGGAUACGCUGCAGCAGAGUUAUUAAAUUUACAUGGUCUGUACCUAUACGCAAUGAUAAAACGUUAUUUACGAAAAACGAUUCUGAGCGAAGUUCGGUUGAGUAAUUCUUUGAAACGAUAUUACAACAAAACGUAUAUUAAUUCAUGAAUAAUUGUAUAGUAAAACAGCAGCGCCACCCGAAUUACCCCAUCUAUAUCGCACUUCGCUAUACCCAAAAUGUCACGAUUCGAACACUUUAAAUGUCACGUUGAUAAAAGUAGACUAGAGUAUUCUGUGAAAAUUUCGAACCUACAAUUAGUUUUAAUCGAAUUCCAUUAAAAAAAAAAAAAAAAAUGAAACCGUUAUCGUCGUACAUAUUUUGUCCGCGUUUUUUCACGGAGUUUCUGAAUUAAUAAGAAAACUACGAGGAGAAUCAAAAAAUGACUGCAACAAUUAUUAGGAGGGAAAUAUUGAAUUGGAAAAUUGUGUCGUAUUGUAUAACGAUCAAUUUGUAUGCAUUUUCGUAAGUAAUGUACAAUUUUAGGUGUACCUAGAUAAUUGAUUUAUUAUUGAUUUACGCUAUUCAUAGAUACUAUAACAUAACUUCCUUUACAUUGUAGCGGUUUGAAUAUAAUAAAUAGGUUUCGUUUCAAACAUUAAAAUGUAGGUAUACGUUCGGAGUUUUUUGAUAAAUUAACAUUAUUAACUAUACGAUAGGUACCAACACAUCAAAUUUUUGUUUUUUCCAUCCGAAAUGUAAAUAAUUUUGUAUUCAAUAACAGGCAGUCUUGCGACCAAUAGAUUGAUUCAAGGGGGUGACAUAAUAUUAUCCGAUUAUAGGAAAACGCGUCGUAAAAUUGAAAAACAAUUAAAAUAAACUUUCCGACAGACCGUAAAAAUACAAUAUAUACGUAUAAGAAGAGGUAGGUAUAUAUAAUAACCAAUAUAAUGUAAUAAAAAAAAAAAAACAAAAAAAAACGGUUGUCAAUAUUCCGUAUAGCACGCGAUGCCCGGCCGCAGCAGCGGUGUACCAUAGGUAUCGGAUCAAGAGACGUGCGCAGUGUAUUAUGUUAUAUACUAUCGUAAGUCUCCCGCUGAUUUUUGUUAAAGCUUUCUACAUAAUGUCGGUAUUUUUAUUUUUAUUCUUCAUAUUGUUGUGUACGCGUGUAUGAUAAUAUUAUACGCGUGUAUACUGAACCGCCGUACAUGACCCAGUAUUCCGCCGGAGCGUAGGCGUGGCUUAUAUUAUUAAAAUUAUACGUAAUAUAUGUAUAGUAUAGGUACAUAUAGGUAUUGUAAGGUAUGGACCGCGUGGCAGAGAUGACCGGAGAUAAGGUUUUUUUUUUUUUUUACGAGACCACCGAGUGUCCGCAGGUCGCGCGGUGCGUGUAUAAUAACACACGUAGUGUAGAAUGAACGGUCUUUAUAAUAUUAUUGUACGUGUAUACGCUCGGAGAGCGAAUCGAGAAUCUUAUCGAGACGCAUCAUCAACGUGCGAAAAAUAAGAAAUUCACGAGUGUAUAACACUCAUGUUAUACCUACCUAUGUGUAUAUAUAUAUAUAUUAUACCCGAGACUCGCGGCCGUAAGUUUUCGGUGACGAAUCGCCCCGGAAUGCCAGUUUUACAACAAUAAUAAAAAUAUUAAAAAAAAAAAAUAGUGAAUAUUAUGUCGUUAAAGAAACGGGAUAAUAAGACGGCAAAUAAUUAUAACAACGUAGAAAAUGUAUAGGUACACCCGCGGAACUCAACAGCAACAAAUAAUAUCGAAUGGACGACACGGAUCGAAUAAUAAGAAAUUGACGAAAACACAUUGUUCACGUGUCAUAUAUCUAAACAUGCAGUAUAUUACGUCGUGCGUUGUUUAGGCCUAAAUUUGUCCGUCCCUAUAAUUAUAAUAUUAUAAUCCGAGUACUCGUCGUUCGUUGAGUUUACACAAAGAUACGCGCGAUAAUAUAUACGACUACGAAAUAUGUAUAGGGGAAUAUAGGCAGGCGCUGCGAGUUGGCCCACUGAUGCUGCAGCAGUAUACUUGUUUGACGGACAGGACAAUCAAUUUUCGUUUCGUCAACCGGUCCUGACGGAUAUUGCGUCACGAAAGACGGCCGUGUAAGUUUAUACGUGUAUGGCCGCUUUUUGCAGUGGGUAUAUAGCAGUGUAUUGCUAAAAGACAAUGAUUUUUUAUUAUUCAUCAAAAAGAACUAUAGUUAUAAUAGUCGGGUAUCACCUAUGCACAUAAAAUGAGCUGGUCUAAAAGUGGAACAAAACUUGUAGUUCUUAAACAAAUAAAAAAAAAAAAAAAAAAAAAAACGAAUUUCGAACAAUGAAACAGAUCGUCUCGGUGUACCCGGACGAUGCACCUAUAUUAUGUUUGAAAACAAUUUAAAUUCUAGAAAAAUUGGAUUAUUAAAAAAAAAAAAAUUGAAAAAAUACAAAUCCAAGAGAAAUCAACAUGUUAUACGAUAGUGUUCUGCAUAAUUAAUAAAAGUUUUAUUUAAAAUGAGUUACGAUUUUUACGAUAACUGUUGUUAGUAAAACUGAUUAUUCAACGUGACACUGAAUUUAAUUAAUUUAUCCAACGGUCAGUGCGUGCAUCAAAAUGUUUCUAAUGAACUAAUAAUUUAUUCAAAUAACAAAUAGGUACGUGCGGUGAAUUAUAUUGAUUGUUCUGUCUUGAUUACGCCUUUAGUUACAAUUUAAAUUAUUAUUUGAAAUUCACAAUAUUUCUUCAUAAAUUAUUAUAACGCGGUAUUAGUCUAUAAAAAAACCAGGUAACGUUUUUAAAACCGCUAGAAGAAAAUGACUAUUCUGCGGUUUGUUCGGUCUUUAUGACUAUUUCGCUCAAAAUUAAUUCUCCAGCUGUUUAUCCAUUUUAGCUGGAUUAUUCACUAUGGGCUAUCUACCAAAGCUCUCACAUUCUUUCUAGCUGCAUCCAUCCACCUUAUUUUCGAUUAUUCCGACGCCUUAUGGCGUUCUGUUUCAACAUUGCUUUAACAGUACAAGGUUUUUGACUAGUACACGCGUGUCCAACCAGAAGAAAGCCAGAAGAAAAUAAAUACGUUUUAAAGUGCUAUACGAAUAUUUAAAUAGUAAUAAUAAUAACAAUAACGAUCGUUACUGCAGUUGAAAUAUUCUACAAUUAUUGUUCACGUGGAAACUAUAAUAAUAUUUUUGCCAAUAUUAUUGUAAUCGAAGAAACGAUUUGGCGUACUCACAUAUUGUAUAAUAUAAACGUAUACACGGGUAAAUCGAAAGUCGCGAGCAGAAAAAAAGAAAAAGAAAAUGACAGUUAUAAAAGAAAAAAAAUAAUAAUAAUAAAGUCUAAAAAGAUAGUGAAACAAAAAGCUAACGAUUGAACGCAUUAGCUUUUUUUUUUACCUAUCCGUACGACACAUUUGAUUUCCUAAGUUCGUAAAAAAAAAAAAGCAAAAAUGUAAACGUCGUCGCAAAGACAAUAGAAUAUUGUAUACGAAUCGCAGGGGCGGAACGUAAAACCGAUGUCCGGAUGUUUAAUGGACAAUAUGAAUCCCAGAUAAUAAUACUAUGACUGCUGCUGUUGCGGAAUCGUCAUCCCGAGGCCGAGAAGUCGGAGAUUAUCGUCUAUAAUAAUAUAUAGGUAUUAAUAUCGACACAUUAAAUUCGCAUUACCCGGCAGUCGCGGUUUUUCACAUCACAGCGCGCGGAAGAGAAAAAUAUCCAAUAAAAAACGUUCCGUGUUUGCCGUGCCAUUUGUCGCGUAUCUGGUACGCACGGCGGCGGCGGCGGGCGAUUAAAAUCCCAUUUAGACCCGGAGACUUAGAGAGAGCUUAUUGCUUUCCGCCCAAAAACAAUCCCCCUUUAAAAACCCCUUCCCCGUGCCAACUCUAGCACACACACACACACACACACACACACGCACACAUACACACACCCCGGGACGCGUGUAUAUAUAUAUAUAUAUAUAUACAUAUAAUGUAUACACCCCCUCGGAUACGUGUGCUGUAUAUGCUGUAUACACACAUUACACACACUGCAUACACUGUAUACACAGUUGUGAGAUUUUUUCCUUUUUUUUUUUUCUUUUCAUUCAUUUAUACACGUUACACUUGUCCUAAUGCGAAAUCGAUAAUGUCCCUUUUGGUAUUAGAUAUUAUAUAUUAUAUAGGCUCUCGUCCCUGCACCGAAAUCGUCCACGUUUAUGAAAUCUAUACCCGAAUACAUAUAAUAUUAUGUAAACCCAAAGUCCAAAACGGCGAACCCUGUAUUAUGGUGGACCACCGCCACCGCACCGUCACCGUCGAGUGUGUAAUCGCUCGAUUAAACUGCGUGUGUACAAUGUACACUACAGCACACAGCUAAUAUGUUAUAAUAUUAUUGUAUUCAAUUUUCCCGAACGUUAAUAAACAUCGGAAACAAUUAUUUCUAUAAAGUAAUAGUUUUACAUGAUAUGCUGCACGGUAACCCUUUUUUUGUUCUAAAGAUUAUCUCUACUGCCCACCUUCCCCCCCUCCCAAAAAAGUUCCAUUUCCUUAAAUGAAUGUCGUAAGUAUAGGUAUAGCGUAAAAAUUUCUCCGAUUUUAAAAUGUCUGAAACAAUGUACGAUAAGACACGAUUAUAUGAGUUUCCGCAGGUAAACAAGUCACGACGAAUACGUAAAUUUGAAUUGUCUACAAAUCUGAAAUUUACAUUUACCUAAUUUUAACUUCAGCCACUUCCUACAACCCGAAUCCGGGUUCUAUUGCUUUCCAGUCGGAUUAAGCCCGUUAUAUCGUAUAAUAGUUUUAUUUAUUAUUUUUUUUUUAGUAAAAAUACACUACAUCUGGAAAAUAUACAGUUGGUAUACAGCGCGUACUCGCGAAUAGUUUAAAAAAAAAAAUCGUCAUAAUAUUAUAUGAUCGUUGCUUGUUCAUACCGAUUAUACUGUAAUCCAUUUGUACAACUCGUAUUCAUUUCAGUAAUUACCUAUAACGAAAAAAUUCACUAUUUUCUUACGAUUUAAAAUAUAGGUUUUUUUUUUUUAAAAAAAAAGCGUUGAACGUUUUGUUUCGGUAAUUCGUAUUUAAUGUUUGUACAAUUCGUGAUAUCUAUUUGACUGCAGUAUGAACAGCACAAAUCGCAAAAAAAUUAUAAAACGUCUCGCGCGAGAGAUAUCAUGCGUAUAGUACUUUCGAAAGAAAAAAAAAAUACGAGAACACCGCUGGUGCCUGACUGCGUACCGGCGUUAUUAUGUUAAAUUGUAAUUGUAAUCAUCGCUUAACGAUCGAUAGUCCGAGUUUGAGCGGAAUAGUAAAAAAAAUAAGAACUAAAAACCGACCGUGGCCCCUUAUCGCUAUUGACACAGGGCGGUCUGGUAUGGGUCUGUCACACAAUAAUAAUAUUAUUAUGAUAUCGCCGCCGCCGCGAUAUUUUUCCCACAGUCGGAGCCGCAAAGUUAUAAAACGAUUUCACCGCGCGAUCGCGAUCCCGGCUCGCCUACGGUAUACCUAUACACCGACACAAUAUCAUAUAGGUACAUGUAUGUAAAAAAAAAAAAAAAAAUAGAUGACGCCGCGUGUCAUUAUUAAUUGAUCGACAAGGCCGACCGACCGAUCGUGUUGUGUAAAUAAUCUAUAAUAAUAAUAAUAAAGUUAUCAAUCCAUAUCGGGGGAACGGACUAUCAUCGUCGUACCUACCGGUUAUCUGCAACGGCGGACGCACGCUAAGUUAUAAGGACAUCAUCGUCGUACUACAAUACUACAGCGUGUGUACAGCUCCGACGGCGAUAUUAUUUAAUACGACUCUUUGUCAAUAUACAGAGACGCGUAUAGUAUACGAACAUAAUAUAGCGAAACACGGCGUAUAUACAAAUAUAUAUAUAUAUAUGUAUAGUAAUUUAUACGGGUAUGACAUUAAUACUUAUAUAUUAUAUAUAUAUAUAUACUUACCUAACUACACUUAAGUUCCCCCCUCCAUUCCCACCUCCCCGUGAAAUAAAACCGAACCGAAAGAUUCGUGUUUAAAUCGUUCGAAAAUUUCACGUUGCUAUAUCAUUGUAGGUACAUCAAAUACUGAUAUAUAUAAACAUAUAAAUACCCGCACGAAUAUUCAUAAUCCGUAUAUUUGCAGUGCGCAGCGUUACUAAACUCCUCGGUAAAGUUCGAAGGUAAUCGAGAUAAACGUACGGUUCAGUAGAAUGCGUUUACGCGCACAACGAAUGCCAGAGGUCAACUCCGACGGAGAAUAUUCGAAAAUAAUAAUAGUUUUUAUACCAAUAGCUGCGGGUACACGACUGCACCGGUUUAGUUAAUUAAACGGUUUGUUGUGGUCCUCGUGCAUCGCGCAUAAACGCUAACAAACUCCAAUUACAUUCGAUAUUUUGUACAGGUGCAUAGUGCGCGAUGUAAACGUCCCGCGGAGAGGCUUUUUUUUAACGAAAAAUUACGAACCGUUCGAAGCGUAACGAUAUUAUUGUAUGUUCUGUAACGAAAAACACGUAUGAUACGAUAAUUUUUCGUUUUGAAAAUAAAAGUUGUACGUCUUUGAUAUUAUAAUAAUAUUUAUAGGUACCUAAAUAACGGUCGACGAAACAAAUCUGCAUACAUUUCGUUUAAUUUUUGUUGAAAAGUCACACACGCGGAUUUAUUUUCGUAAGACUCGCGGAGGGGCAGGGACUCUUGUAACGGCGAUGAAAAGUUUGCAAAGUUUUGGCCGUAAGUCGUUUCGCGUUAAGCUCGGGGUAUUAUAUAGCGCAGAGAGAGAGAGAGAGAGAGAGCGAGAGCGAGAGAGAGAGAGAGAGAGAGAAAGAGAGAGACGUGUUUAAGAUUUUGGCAAACCUUUUCGGUGCAAUACGUCUGCGGCUUAUGCCGCUACUAUAUUAUACUACAUUACUUAUAUAUAAUACACGAAAUAUUUAACUUAACGAUGGUUAAAGGUAUAGCGGCGGCGGUGUGCACGGCGCAACAGUGAAACGACGUCUGCGGAAUGGAAUAUAAAAUACUCGGUUUUUUGAUGAUGGAAUUUCGGAUGGCGCGCGCAUCAUAAAAGCUGUACGGUAUUAAACAAUGAUAAUUCGUUUACCGAGUGAAUUUUUGUCCAGAGGCGAAAUCGUUUCAAGGUGCGAAAAAUGCGAGAGAAUAAAAUAUCACCAAGGGUGUAAUGAUAUUUCGUUCCGGCGAGCGAAUUGCGGAUUUUAAAAUUGACUUAAAAAGUCGAAAGAGCUGUUCGAAACGAGUAGAGGGAAUAAUAUUGGAACUCGGAACGCGAUAUAAGUAUCGUAGUACCCAUAUGUACUUACAGGUUUUAUUACGCGUAAAAUGAGCGUGUGCCGUGUAUUUCGAUCACUAAGUUGUGCGAUAAUUAUAGUAAAAAAGUCGGAAAUUAAGUUACUUUUUUUCGGUAACUUUUAAUUCGACUAUAGUUGUAAAAGUGAAAUAAAAUGUUUGAAAAUAACUUAUAGUUAUUAACCAAUUCGUUUGUAAAAAAAAGCCGUGAACUGUUCUUAACUUAUUAUAUGUACACAAUACCAUAACUGAGAUUUAUUUUCAUGCAAAAUACGUUCAAUAGUGUAUAUAAGAGAAAUUGAGACAUUUAAAAUGUAGUCUAUAAUUUAACUCGAGUUAUUAUUAUUUAAGCUAUAAUCGCUUUAUGUUUUAAAAUUAACUUUCAGCUUGGUCAUUUCACCGGUCAAAAAAAAACCGGCGUAUACUGCAUACUUAUGUGCAGUUAUACAAAAAUAUUCGAUUGACUAUAUAGUAUGCCCAGCUUUGUAGUCUAUAUAAGUACAGAUUUGAUUCGAUUCUCGGUGACGGGGAAUUGUUUACAAAUACAAUUUCGCGGAAAAACACUAACGUAUGGUAUAUUAUCGACUGAGAGCCGUUUUUUUUUUUUUUUUUUUUUGUCUAGAUCUAUAUUGACGCGUGAAAUGUCGUCCGCAUACAUGCGGUAUGUAUAAUGUUUCGUAAUAAAAAAAAAAAAAAAAAGAGUUAAAAAUGAUUUCAUCGCGCGAGUGUAACAAAAAUACCAUACCUAUACAUUUACUAUUACUAUACUAUUAUACAUCUGUAAGUCGUUAAAGGAACAAUUUUUUUUCCCCGGACUUGGGAGUUAGUUACCGGGAAUUUCGCGAUUAAAUUCACAUAUAUUCGUGCAUAAAAAUUACGGCUACAUUAUGUACCCUUUCCGAUAGGCGAUUAUGUUCCUUUCUAUAACCGCAGUGUCAACUAUAUUACAGACACACUCUAUCGUACCCAUAACAUCCAGCAGCUAUACAGCAUCAGUGAGCGCGCGCGCGCGCGCGUGUGUGUGUUGGUACUUUUUUCGUAUUCCAUUGUCGAAGUGAAUCGUAUUAUUAUUAUUAUUAUUAUUACCUACCUACCUAUACACUCUCGGUCACGUUCUUUGCCCAACACGAAUGUCAACCGGUACAGUUGCCCGCUCACGGCCCGGCCGCCGCCGCAAACGCCGCGAGCAGCCGCCAGGACCGCAAACACCGCCGUCGGGCGCAUCACCGGUUAGGCAAAUUCGCCUGUUUAUACGAGCGUGUGUUUUUUCGUUAAAUAUUUUAUUAUAUGUACCUGUACGUUACGAAUAUCGUUAUGCGCGUUUUAACCUAUAAAGUGUGUACAAUACACGUUUUCUACGGUGUAAACCCGCGCGCAAUAAUAACAGGACCUCAGUAAAAACUACAGUGUUUCCCCUUACGUAUUUAUUAAAAAAAAAAAAAAAAACUCCGACGAUUACAACGUAUGACUCGCAGUGCUCUCGGAUAAAUAUCCAUAUCGAAAAAUAAAGGUUUCGUCACGAAAGGGUAUGCAUAGAUUUGAAAGAAGUUACGCAAAAUCCUUACCGCCGUGUUAGUUCACGUCGCUAAUUCGAUUUUACGAAAAUGUUAUUGAAAUUGUAAAGUCGUUGCUCAGAAAUUGCCAGGUAUUUGGUUGUUUACGCCUAGGUUAAAUUUUUAGCCUUUUUACGAUAGCUAUACCGAAGUAUUUACGUAUGGACAUUUCAAGUGUUUCUCAAGAAUAUUACACACAAAUGUAAAAACCCAAAGCAAAAUCUGUGCGUGGGUUGAGUUCCCCCCUGUAGAUUUUCCGUACGUUUAUGUACGACGUGUUAACGGAUUAACAACAAACCGUACGAUUGAACGGCACAAUUGAAAAUCGUAUUAUCCCUACUCUGGAUUUUUGAAGGUGGACAUGGGACAUCUUUGGCGGUGCAUACUCGGGCAAUUAAAACAUUAAAAUGUAUUAUUAUAAUAAUACACACGGAGCGUGUCGUUCGUCACGUCGACGGCGUAGUUAAAAUAGCGACUCUACAGGACCUAUAAUAUUGCGUUAUACCCGCCCAACGAAUAGUUUUACCAACGACUUUGAGCGGAUAUUAAUUAAGCGAAAUCAAGUGGACGGGAGGCCGGAGACGUGUACGUGUCGUUUGUUCAAACGAUCCGAUACGAAAGAGCGAAUGGGAGGCCUCCUCCUAUCUCCCGUGGAGACUCGUGACACAAUGUCGCCGUUAUUGUUUUUGCCGUUAUCGCGCGCUUUAUAAAACCCGUUGCCGUACAAACGACGUGCGAAAUUUCGCGCGUGAAAAUUUCGGCGAAAUUCGCCGUUGGGUGGACGUUGUAGGGCCGAGGACGCGGACGUUUGAUAUUAUUGUCGGCGUGUUAAACGUCCGAACGGGGUCGGGGGGAGGGCGCUGCGGCGGUGUCGGGAAACGCGGUAAAUCAAUUUUCGUUUUUGUGAAUGGAACCGGCCGCGUCUGUACGCUACACGCCGGCCGUUAUAACAUAAUACGGUGUACCGUACAAUAAUAAUACAAGCAUAAUAGCGCGAGAGGAACGAUAAUAAAGAUUUUCGCCGCGAAGUAGCGGCGGCGGUGUCGUCGUAUAUAACGCGUACGAGGCGCGGGCGCGUAAAGAGAUAGAAAGAGAGAGCGAAAAUUAUUAAGUUAACGACGUGUAAACACGGGUUUUUAUUGACGGUAAUUGGUCGGAGCGCCGAGGCAAAAAUAUGGUCGAAACCAGGUCGUAAAACAGUCUCUCCGCGUGUGUGUGUGUGUGUGUGUGUGUGCAGCGCGCGCCGACCUAAAGUGCCGAGGAGCGUGCCGCCGGUUUGCUCGGGAGCGCGCGCAAGCAUAAUACGCGUACACGGACGGGCGUGUGCGUGUGUGCGUGUGUGCGUGUGAUAAAAUCACAUACACUCCCCCUUAUUGUAUAUUUUAUACAUAAAUUAGGCAUGUUUAUGAUGCGGUUUUUUUUUUCUCUCUCUCUCUCUCUCUCUCUCGAAAAUCUCUUUACUACCGACGACGACGACGACGACGGGCAGCAACAGCAGCAACGGCCUAUAUUAUACGACCGUGCCGGCGACGACGUGAUUUUAUUCAGCCGCACGCGUUUUUUUUUUUUUUCUUUUCUCUACUAUACACACGAUUAUAAUAUUUACGGUGUCGUCGCGUAUUAUUAUUAUUAUUAUUAUUAUUAUCAUUAUACGUUUUAAACGAGUAACAUUAUUUAAUAUAAUAUGCUGUGUAUAUUACAUCGCGCGUACCCAUUAUUUUCGAGGAGCGCGCGCGUCGAAUUGAGCCAUUAUACGACGGAGGAUAGAGAGAGAAGAAAAAAUAAAAAUAAAAAUAAUAAUACGCGGUCGUAAAUACUCGGCUAGCUACCGAUACGAAAAAUACGAUGAUAAUAUAUGCCGGCGCGUUAUUAUUAUUGUUUUUAUAAGAGAGCGUUUUUCUCCCUCGCCUUUGACGCCGCCGCCGCCGCAGUCGUUUAUGAGAUACGCACGGUAAUUAACCGGGCGCGCGUGAUUGAAACCGUUAAUGUUUCAUAAUGAUCUCUCGUGUAAAAAUAACAUCAUCGGAUAUAUUAUACGCGCGACAACGUGAUUUUUUGGUCGCCCUUUAUUUUUCUUUUCGUUUUUCGCCCACACGCAUACGCGUAUACGAUAUCGUCCGCGUUUUUCAACCGCACGUUCCCCUCCCGUCAUAUACGUAUAUACGUACACAAGACGUACGUUAUAGUUUUUCAAUUGAAAUUAGUUGGUAUUUUUUCCCGCGAAACUACAUCGUACCCGCGCGCACUGCCGCGCGGUCUCUAUUACAAUAUCUAUAAUACGACGACUAUGCAUACAUUAUAAACAUAACGAUAACAAUUAACGGGUAUCGCUAUGUUAUCGGUAUGAAUAUACUCGACAUAUUUUCGGUCCCGGGGAGAAAAAAAAAACAAAACAAAACGGUUCGAUUCGCUAUAUAGUUGCACAAUGCACUUACGUAAUUUCUGUACUUGAAAAAAAUUACAAAAUAAUUAUUACUUCUAACAUAAUGCCGUGCCGAAUAAUUUUCCUAAUGUUUACCAACAAAUUUAUCAUAUUUACGAUACGUGUGUACACAAUGACAAUAGAUAAAACGAAAAUCAUUAUUGUUCGAGUUCUAAACACAUUUCGUAAUAUUUUUAAUAUCCAAACUUUCAAGGCGCUCCUAUCAUAAUAUCUGAGCCCUUUAGUAGGGCGUCGCCCUGUUCGCCGACCAACUCCGUUCCAUUGGCAAUUGCGACACUACAGACUAAAAAUACACAAUACAGAACAUCAAAUAUCGUAGGUACUGAAUACAAUUAUUGAAAAAUGUGUUCUUCUUGCGGUAAAUUUCAGACGUAAGUGUAUUAUUUUUUUCAUUUUUUUUUAACCAGCUGAUGAGCCCGUGAGCUACAGAUGAUCGGCUAUAUUAUGUUCCCUAUACAGUUUCAAUUCGUAUUGGAAUUGUUACUCGGUAAUCUUACUAUACUUAUGAGAUACCAUCGAAACAUUUGCAUUUUGUUUGUUUCGUAAUUCAUAUAAAACAUGUUUGUAGUAUUUGUUGCAUCUGCGAUUAAUUACAAUAUACUUAGUGCACAUUGAAGAUUGAAUGUUUGUCGAAUUUUGUAUAAUACAUGGAGUUUUUCAAGGAUCUAUGUCGACGGGGAUAAAAUAAAAAUGUUAAAACGAACACUAUUUCGAUUUUAAUUUACUGAUUUUAUACCGAGGCGAGUUUUUAUUUAUGAACGUUGGUGAAUACGAGUAUGCAACGUUUAAAUACGAUUUUAUUUUUUCUAUUUAAAUAAUAUCGAGCAAGCAUUACUACCGAUAAUAAACUGAAGUGUUUAAUACAUUUGAAAUUAUAGGCCAUUUAAAAAUGAUAAGCCGCCUAUAUCUCCAGUACCGUAGACAAGAGGGCGGGCAUUGGGAACACGUGCUCGUCUGAAAUAUUUCGUUUUAUUGGCGAUUUCGUAUGUAUUUCAUCAUUCCGAAAAAAGUAGGCAUAAUAACGAAAAAACACAUAAGUGAACUCAUCCCUCCCCCCUUCGAAAUUAGUUCUUGGCUACGAAAAUAAUACCAAGCAGUCCGUUUUCGCAUUUCGUAGGGUAGUGGCACGGCUUAUCACGGUAUAUUUUUUAACCAUGAUGUAACGAUUUUGUAGAAGAUAAACGAUAAUACUAUACAUCGUUUGUGUGUAACCCUGGACAAAACCGCGUCUUUUGGUCAACCCCACGAAAUGGAAGGUAGGAGAAUAAUAUAAUGCCAUAGACGCAAGUCAAGGGGCUACGGAGGCUCACCCCACAAAAGCGUCAAAAUACUCGCUGAAACGUGUGUUUUAAAUUAUACGAAGCAAGAAAAUUGUAGCAACUGGUUUCUCAAAUUUUCCCCGAUUUUGUAAAAUUACUUUUAACAUUUUAACAGCCAUCGAAUGUGUAAAAAGUUUUCCUAUUACCCGAUACCUGUCUAGGUGGAAGGUAGACGAAAACGAAUUUUCGCGGGAAAAACUCACGCCUCAUAAAAUGUCCCGAUUUUAAAAGUUUUUUUUUUUAAAACAUAUAAAACUCUAAAUGUAUUACAGAUCUCAUCGAACUCCAAUUUUCGGUUAACUUGUAUUCGCGAAUGUUUUACAACGCAUAAUAUAGAUUCUCGGAUUUGAAUUUUUCGGAAUUCCUAAAUAAAGGUCGCUCAUCUUCCGAAUCAUAAUAAUAAUAUUAAAAAAUCUAACUAUCCUACAAGGUGUGAAAAUUUUUCCCGCGGGACGUGUGUUUUUUUUUUAAAUAUAAGGCGGCUGCGGCUAUUCCUAUUUCCCCCUACCCCCCAAAAAAAUAGGUCUCCACCAAUAGACAAAAAAAAUACGUUGAAGAUUAAUGUUGUUUUCUCGAUAUUAAAACUACUGAGUUGGAUAGAUAUAUUAGUUAAUUUGCGAAGGAUCGCCAUAUAAGGUUCAUGGAAUGGGAGGAGGAGGCUGAGGUUGGGGCCAUUCGACUAUUCGAACGUAUUGUACUUAUGAAUAAACUGUAUAAGGUAUUGAGUACUUAUAUUCAUACAACUAAUAAUAAUUUUUUUAUUUUAUAAAAAAAAAAAAACACUCACCGAAAACACGUUGGUCCUUGUGCGUGUGCGUGUGCGGGAUCACUUUCGAAUUGCGCGAGCAGACGUAUGAAAAGAAAUUACGUGAUUGUAAUAUAUAAUAAUAUUUUUGUGUUUUUGGCGACGCAAACAAAAAAAAUAAUAACAGAAAAAAAUAAAAUCAAAACAAAACAAAUAAUAAAAUAAAUGAAAAAAAUCGGCGGAGAUUUGAAUUUAAGUGGUAAAAAAAAUAAUAAUAAAAACGAAUCAACAAAAGUCGAAUACCGUACAACGGAAAACCGUGGCGGUUAAAAUGUCGCAAUCAAACAGUCGGUGUUUAGUGUGCAUUGUUUUUUUUUUGUUAAAUUUUCGAUUUUAAAACGACGGAAAAACGAACGUCCCGGGCGCGUUUUCCGUCGGGCGUUUUUUGGCGGGCAGUCGUGGCGAAAUCAAAACGAGUGUAAUAUUAGUGUUGUAAAUAGAAAUAGUUUAGGUAGCGUAAAAAUAAACAAAAAAAAAAAACAAACAGAUAAUAGACUGCGAUAACGGACGGGGGGAAAUAAUAAUAAAAAAAAAAAAUAAUAAUAAUAAAAAAUAACAACCAAAACAAAUAAUAAAAAUCAAAAUAUAUUUUUAUAAUACGCGGGAAUUAUAUAGCGGCGCGAUAAUAAUGACGACGACGGCGGCGAUAAUAAUAAUAACAUAAAAUACGCGCGCGCGACAACAAACACGACGGUCGACGGUCGUAAUAAUAAAAGCUAUAAAGUGCGCGCGGGCCUGUGUGCUGCUGCUGCGAGCGCCGUGCGUGUGUUAUGGGGGCUCCGAAAAGUUUGUCCUUACGAUAAUGGGACGCGAAUCGAAGUGUUGGGCGGGAGAAUGGUUUACGACGGUCUCUCGGAACUGAUAGAGAGCCCGGCCCCCUGCGCUACCGCCCGCCCGCGAGGACCCCCGCCACCGCCCCUCCGACCGGUACCGCCGCCGCCGCGCCGGCAGGCAGUCGCGCAUAAAGAAUAUGACCGGCCGGCCGCGGCGACGGCGGGAAAGGGGCGGCGGCGGCGGCGGCGGCGGCGGCGGCUGCGGCUGCGGCGGCGGGCGAGAGAGUACGGACGCCGGCGCCGACGGAGCGAGCAGCAUACGGGUCGGUCGCGGGCUAGACGGAGACGCGACGACGACCGCGACACGCACACACGCGCGUUCGUACACGCACACGAGCGCGCGGACGCCGCGUACCGCGCGCCUCGUCCAUCACCGCCGUCGCCGCCGCCGCCGCGCGCACAGACACAAGCGCACCACUACGUGUGCGCGGUGCUCGUAUAUCGUCCGCGCGCAUUGCGCUUGUCCUACCGACGCGGCGGCGGCGGCGCGGCGGAGACUUACGACGACGUUUCCGCGGCCGCCGACGACCGACCGGCCGAACGCGAAGUCAAUAAAGUCGCCGCCGCCGCCGCCGUCGUAAUUUCCGCGCCGCGAUCGCUUUUUACGCGCGACGACCGUCCGGGCAUGUGUGGCCGCGGCUGCGACGAGCCUAAAAUACGACGGAGACGCCGGACACGAAAACGACAACAGACGACAAUAAUCUCGCGAUAAAAAUGUUAUAACGCGUCUCUCCGGGAAACUCCGGGGAACGGACACCGCGGGCCGCGUAUUUUUAACGGAACCUCGUGUGCCGCCGACACCUGUUGCCCCGGCACUCGACGACCGCGACGACGACGCGCCGCCCAACACACACACACACACACACGCACGCACGCACGCAUACUCGCGCGCGGGCCCGCGGUAGGAUUUGGUAAAUCGAGAACAAUAAUUUCGCACGUCGGUUUUUCCGUCACCAAAACAAAAACAAAGUAAAUAACAAUAACAAUAAUAACAGCAAUAAAAAACACGGAGGCCGGUCCGCGAAAAAACGGAAAUCGGUUUUUUUUUUUUUUUCAGUCGGUAUACGACAGUUAGUAUUCGGAAUUACGUAUGCACUCGCGUGUCGUUGUGAUCGACCGUCCGAUAUUCAAACGGCACGGCCUUUCGUAAAGUCGAGUUUGGCGCAGGCCCGUCGUAAGAUAUUCUCCGCCGUAAAGCGAACAUUUUGGUGCCGGUCUUUUUCGACGAUUAUCAAUUUCGUCUUGAUUUAAAUUCUAUGCCGCCCUAAAGCAACGCAUGGCUCGUACAAACGCGUGUAAACCAAAGACCCCCCCUCCCCUCCGGAAAAUUUGCUUAUCGUCAUUUCGGUUCCGCUAAGAAUUCAACCAGAAUCGCCCGGUUCAUUUCCGGGGCCAUAAUCGGAUCGAGGUUUAGAGACUAUUUGCAUACAUUUUCAAGCGUUUUCUGCGUAUUUUCCGUGAUAGCCAAGGUUCGGAUUUUAUAGCAUUUGUUAAUUAUUACACGGGAUACAGAUACAAAUAGCGGAGUGGAUUUUACACAGUUUUUGUUUAAUGCGCCAGGGACUCCAAAUACGAAAUUGUAUAUUGAUAUUUUUUUGCAUAUUUCAAGUAUUUUAGAUUCGUAGUGCUAUUUUUCAGUUGUUGGUGCUUCUUUUUGCCGCAUAAUAUAAUUGUUUAUUUUGUAUUUAUCAUAAAUAGUAGACGAAUCUUUCAUUUAUGCGAAUCCAUAAGAAAAAUACCUACACUAUUUCAUUUUAUAUUGUAAUUUUUUUUUUAGUAGCCCUGCGUAUUGACUCAUCGAACAGUUUACAUUUAUGACCGUAUUUUCGAUUGUAUAUUAAAAAAUAAAAAAAAAUACAUUUUCUUCUUAGACAUUUGUCAUGUUUUUAUGGCAUACUAUAGUUUAUUGUGAAUUUUUUCGAACGUGUUAUAGUGCUUAUUUUCAGAUUUAUUAGGUCAUAUUGUAGCGCAUAUUUCAGUUAUAAAAUCCGAGCUCUGGGGAUAGCAUAGUAUUCGAAUUUAGCCGAGCACAAAAACAAACCGCAAAUCUUCGGGUCGGGAUUUUUCAAAAUCUAUACAGUUGCAUUUUAGUGUCCACCCGAAAAUUCUCCGUUAUAUAAUGCGAAUUAACACGUCGAAAUGGGACUCGAACACCGCACACACAAAGCAUUUCUUCGGUAUUGUUCGAGGAACACGAUUAACGGCUUUUAGAAACCGAUAAAUACAUUCGGGACUCGAUUUGCCGACCAUUGCCAAACGUCGGGCGACAUAAAAUUAUUAUUAUAAAUGUUCUAGAAGCAUAUAGAAAAAGUUCAACAAACGUUAUCGGUCCACGGACGGAGUUGGGCAAAAUUUCAAAACAUCGGAUUUUCAUCAUCGUACUCGUUUCUAGAAAGAUUAAUAAUUUGACUUGCAUUUUCAAUAUUCAUUUUUUUCUGGUUUAGAAAAUAUUUCGAAAACGGUUUCGCGUCAUUUGUACAGUCUAUAAUAAUCUGUGUUUAAUAAAGAAAAUAUAUAAAGUCAUUUUUAUUUAUUUUUUUUACCAACUAAAAUCGAUUAUUACUUUACAUAUCUAUUUGUUUAAUUGAUAAAAUAUUCCUCGCUUGUACAACACAAAUUAUCGUAAACUGUUCCGUUAUAUUAAUGUGUACUGUGUACGCGAUAAUAAAGCCUACACAUUUGUAAUCCAUUAUCUUACUUGAUUCAUGAAACAAGUUUUUAGUUUAUUCUUUGCUAUAAUUAUUUAAUAUUUACAAACAAUAAUCUGCAUUAUUUAUUAACGCCACUUUGUAUCGUAUCAUUCAGUUUGUUAACUGCCUAUACAUUAUUAGUAUUACGGAUUUUCAAAAUCAAUUUUUAAGGGAUUUCGUCCAUCUCCGGUUUUGGUUCGAUGGCCGAUGAUAAUAGUAAACGGCUAUAAUUGUGGUUCUGGUUUUUCUUUCGAAAUUCACCGAUAAUAUUAUUAUAACUGAUGAUGUAGACUGCAUUUAGAUAUGUUUGUUAUUUCGUUUUUAAUUUGAAUCAACUUUGAAUUAAUUUUCGCGGACUAACCUCAACUAUAUUAUUAUUAUAAUAACAACAAAAAUUACACGAUAAAACACUUGCGAUAAAUUACAAAGAGUCUUUGUUUUCGGGUUUCCUUUAACCUGCGACAAAAUUAAUAUUCAAAAAGGACCAGUUCCUAUGCGUUUUGUUUAUUCCGACCGAAAACAAAGCCGUACAGAAUUUAUUUAUACUGAGUAUCUAUGACAAAAAAUAAAAACCAAAUUCAAUUACGUUUUACCCUGACGAAUUUGUAAAUAACGUUUUUAUCAUCGAAAUAAUUACAUCGAAAUUUUAAAUCAAAUUGCAGCGCGAAACCGAAACACACAAUAAUCCAUCUUAAUAGUAUACAAUACAUCGUUUAUGAUACAAUAAAUUGAAUUGUUCGUAUAUUAUUAGAACGUUUGUUCGGGAAUGAAAUUGUACGACCAUAUUAUAAUGUACACAAAUUGACUGGACUGUUUUUAAAAAGAGAAUAACGCAACGUCAAGACGGAGCGAUCGAGACAGCAAUACGUUUGCGGGCUAUCGCAAAAGAAUAAUAAAUGUUUUUACGUUUCUAAUUCAUAAAAAAGAUCGAUAAGAUUAAUAUUAUGAUCGAUAUGUGUUUUUGAUGUUCCAAAAACAAUUAUGGAAUCGGUUAAAUAUCGAUUACUCGUUCUGUGAUAGCCUACAAAUGUAGUUCCGUUUCUCGCACUUUGUGAUAGCAUCCAUAAUUCUGUACGGUAGAGAGUUCGGCUGUCCAAAAAUAUAAUACGGUAUCUGACUCUUUUAUCAAUUUUCCCGUUUCGAUAUUAUUCUGAUCAAAAUUAAAUUUCCCAGGUUGUUCGAUAUUGUACUUUCGGUCAAAAUAUUUAAAUUCUCCGUCUGGAAUUAAUCUUUAAAAUUUCAAUAACCUCUGUUAGGUAAAUUACUAAGAUAGCUCUACGAAAAAAUGUGUGAAUUGUGACUAACUGUGUUAUGCUAUUGGACAACCGAGUGAGUGCAAGACAUGGUCCGUUUUAUUGUGUAAAAGUAUGCGACGACUGACGGUUUUGGUUUGUUAUUUUUUUUCGUAAUACUCAUCUGCUCAAAUCAAAAUUGUUGUCUAGGAAAACUAAAGAAACAUUAUAUGCCACGUAUCUCGGAUCAGCUGUGUCAAGCAUGUUGUACCUGGGCUAUACAAUAGCAGGUGAUGAAAAUAGACUAAAUUUAUUUGAAAGAAAGGUGUUGAGGAAAAUUUUUGGUCUCUUCUAUAAUUACGAUACCUAAGUAUGAGAGAGAAAAUCUAACGAACAGGUGUAGAAAUUAUAUGGAAAAGGAAGUAUUACUGCACAAUUCGUAAAAGGAACAAAAUUAGAGUGGGCAGGCCACGUCUGGAGAGCCAACAACUGUUUGGUCGAGACGGUACUUGUGAACAAAUUGAACAGAAAAAUACUACGUAGUAGAUUAGGUUAGGUUAGGCAACGGUGGUUAGAUGUAGUCAUAGAGACAUACAGGAGUUGAGACCCGAUUUGAAUGGGGACAUGAACCGUGCGUAUAUAACCGAGACGUGGAAGGAUUUAGAAUUGUCAGCAAAGGGCCUAAAAAUAUGGUCUAUAAUGGUAAAAAAAAAAAAAUUCUGUAUAGAACAUAGAAUCAACAGUGCAGAUUUAUAUAGUACGAUAAAAGAAAAUUAAACGGUUCGUCUUGAAUCCCCGGAGAAUAGAAGCUAUUAUAGGUACCUACGACACCCGCGGAAUUUCGAAAUCGUGUUAUUUUAAUCGCCCGCCGCCGGUGCAGUGUACGAAAAAAUAAAGGAAGAGAGAGAAGGUGGCGCGUUAUAUCCGUCCGGCGAGAAAAUAAUGGCGGAAAAGUUUUUGUAGAACUCAAAAGUGUAUACUCGAGACGACCAACCGUGGCUGUAUAAUAGUAUUCGGCGAACGGGGAAAAGGCCGGAGAAACGGACAAAAGUUAAGAAAACUCUGGACGGGUCAAAAGCGUCCCGGCGGGUGAGUUUAAGGAGAACACCUGUGCCCCGAAAUACCACGCGUAUACGAUUUUAUAUUUUCGGGGGAGCCGGCCGUUUAAACGACUUUGCAGAAGAAAUAAAAUCAAGUGGCGCAAAAGUUAUAAAACGAAAACAAGUAAAUAUACUCGUAUAUUGUUAUUAGGUCGAAUCUCCGUACAAUUAUACUCAAAUAGAAUUCCGUUAAAUCGAUUUUCGUAUUAACCCAAAAGUCCGAAGUUUAUUUUUUUUUUUAAUUAAUAUUUUUUAUUUUUUUUAUAAUUAUGGUUAAAAUUUAUUUUUAAACAAAAACCGUUUUAAUUUUUUUUUUUGAUUUUUUAACCCAAUAAUGAUGACUAAGAUUGAAAGUGGACUACAUUUUAAAUUAUGGUCAAAUAUUUUGUAAAAAAAGUUUUUCGUUACCAUAUGGUUACUUAAGGACAUACAAUGGUUUAAUUUCACUUUUUUUUUCUUUUUAUCAAAUAAUCGUUUCUGUUGCGCACUUGUUACUAUAUAGAACCGUAUUGAUAUUGCGUUGUUGUUGAAUAUCGCAUCGGAGUCGUGAAACCGACAAAAUGUAAUUGUAAAAAAAUAAAAUAAUAAUACAAGUACAUCGAGUUGACCUAACUUAAUUUGAUUUUACCUCGCGGGGCACUACGAAAUUAUUGUUUUAAAUGAGUUUUUAUACAAACAUAUCGUCCGCUUCGUCUGCAGUUAUAGGCUGUACGCCGAAUACUCGAUGACGACCGCAAGAGUAUAAUACUGUUACCGAAAAUAUCGCCACCGCAGCAGUCUUUCCCUCCAGCAGUUCAUUGCGCUUGUCAGAAUAAUUUAUAGCGUUUUGAUGGCCGAUCCGUAUAUUUUAAGUGAAACCAUUACGUGUCCUCGAACGGUUAACGCAUCGGUUAAACGGCCGAAUAACGAAACCGAUCUUUAAAUAGAAAUCGCAUCCCUGAGUAUACGAAAACCCGAGAAUUUCUGGCAUCACCACAAUAAGCCGUUUAACGGUUCUCCCGGACAAGUGCGGAUCCAUGGUGGGAAGGAGCACUGGGUGCAAGUGCAAAAAACAAUUCUAUUUAUAUUUGUCAAUCGCACAUUUAUGUAGCAUAACAAUUUAUCAUGACGGAAUAAAUAAAAAUAAAAUAUUUUUCGUAAUUGGCAAUGCAAUUCAUACAGUAUCUGCAAUGUCUACAGUACGAUUUGUGUUAUAAUUCCAUUAUAGUUAUACUUCAUUAAUUUCUUACGUAUGGUUUCAUAUUGACAAUUCGAAAUUAUCAGUAUAGUAAAAGUCUGUCCGAUUCGAGUGCCCUCUCCGUAAACGGAUCGUGGAUCCGCCCUCGCGUAUACGGAAUUCUAUGUGUCAUAAUAAAAUUAAUAAAACGGGUACGGAUUAAAUACCAUAUGUCCGAUUAUGUCCAAUAGGCUAUAUAAUAUAGUACUGUGUAUUAUUAAUUUCACAAGAAAAUUUCAACUUAUUGAAUAUUUAUCACGUUGGUAAUUGUAUCAAAAACGUAAAACUGUAGGUAGAUAUUCAGUUUUUCAAUUCGACUUGUUCAAGUUUGAAAUUAACGUUUAUUUUACAUCAAUUGUUACUAUUUUCGACAUUAAACACCUAUAAUUAUUGUAUAACGCGCGGUUUUAAUUUCAGUUCAACUCUGGUUAAUUAUAUGACCGGCAAUGAAAAAAAAAUCGCAUUAUUAAAUUCUUUAAAACAAUGUCUACGUGCGGUAUUAAAAACUUUGUGAACGGUUGGCGACGACAUGACAUUGAAUAAUAAUUAUAAUAGGUAUUUGUUUAAUCGCAAUAAUCAUAUUGCAAUGAUACAAUGAGUAUAUUUAUUAAGUUAAAUUAUCGCGUUUAUCUUCCGAAAUUAUCAGUCGUAUACCACUGUAUAAUAUUAAAUGAUUAAUGUCGACAAAUACGUAAAAAAAAAAAAAAAAAAAAUGAUAUUAUAAAUUAAUUACUAUAUAACGUCCUAUCGGUGAUAAUAUUGUCCGCCACCAUUGAGAAAUUCGGCAAUAAAUUUAGCUAUAAUAGCGUGUUCAUUAUUAUAAUCUAAACAAACAUUACAUUAUAUUAAAACCAAUACAUUGUUUCCGCUCCGCUCCUCAGAUAUUGUAACAAAAUAUCGUCAUCAAUACAUAUGAAAUCGAAACUAUUACAGAAAUAUUACUGCGGAACGCGUAUUAUUGUAACGCGUAGAGAAAAUAUUAUGCACCGAUAAUUUUAUUAAAACCGUUUUCGUACAUUUUAUUGGCUAAAUAAUAAUAAUAAUAAUAAUGUUAUUAGACGAUAGUUGCAUUAAUGAACCCCGGCGCACACACACAUAUUACAACACUAUGUGUUUUACGCGCCGGGUGGUCGUUCAAUUAUACACAUCGCACUAUCACGGUGUACCUACCUACUACCUACCCACCUACCUACUAUACAUAUUAUAUACGAGUACCAACACCACGCACGCCGUAAACAUUGUUUUUUUUUCUUUUUUCUUUUCUUUUUUUUUUUUUUUUUUAUAAAUCCUAUAAAAUCUGCCGACUAAACCCGCAGCACUGAAUAUAUUUUAUGAAUUAAAUUAGCUUAUAUAGUAUACCGUGUAUAAUGUAUACUGCUGCUGCAGCAGCGGUCGGGCGUUUUAAUAAAAUAUAAAACGUUCGCAGUAGUCUUUUAAUUAAAGGUGUACGUAUAAGACGCGGUUAUGGUAUUAAAUGAAACACGACGGUAAGUGUAACACGCGGACAUGGAUGAUUUAAAUGAGAUGUAACGUUUUUCUUCAAAAAAAUAAAUAAAUUCAUUUAUCCGUUGUUCCGGAUUUUCUACCGUCGACAAUGGUAACAGUUUUCAUCCUACUAUAAUAAUUUGCCAAUUCGUUUAAAUUAUAUACAAUAUAUACAUUUCUGCACACUCUGGUCAAUAUUGUAAUGGUUAAAUACUUAGAACAAAAAUAUUCGGUUUUGGAUUUCUUACAAUGUAUUAGGCGCUCACAAUAAUUAUUUCCUACAGUCUCUAGACGUCAUCAUACUCUAAAACAGCCUUAUUCUCGAACUUACAGUUAUUUUUUUUUUUACAAAACCGAUACGCGGUUAUUAUACAAAUAAUAUACAAUCGUCUCUUAUUUAAUUCACUUAUAAAAAUGAUAUUUUAUUUGGGUGUAGAAUCAAAAUAUUUUGCAUAUUAACAUACAAUCUAAUCGAUUUUUGUUCAUUCUAAAUUUGUUUCAUUGCAAUACCAUUGCAUUGUAUACUGUAUUCGAAACGAUUAUAUUACACUGGAAAAAAAAAAAAUCCGAAUGUAUUUUCGUUUUAUCAUCGUCGUUGUCGUUUCAAUUUUCAAAAUCUUCGGACCGUGAAUGAAGUCGUAUACGUGUAAUGGGCACUGCGCGGCAAUAAGGAAGUAGGAACCAUGUCCUGUGCAAUGCUUCUAUUUCUAUUAUUUCUCUCUCUGUUUCUCUCUUAGGAGUUAGAGGCGACGUAGUCAUGGAAAACGGUUUGAAACACACACGCGUAUAUAACAUAAUACCGGGGGACUGAUAAAACACGUUAGUCUUUUAUGCACCGGAUAGUUUUAUUGUAGUUUUCCGGUAUAUAUGACAAAAAAAAAAAAAAAAAAGAAAAGAAAAAAAAACCAAAACGAAACGACCGUGCAGUUAUACCGGCAAACUGAUCGAAAGUAAAAUAAAUAUCAUUCUAACGGUCGUAAUAGAAAUAAAUAUCUGACCAAUAUCGUCGCAGACUCGUACGUAUAUACAUGUGUAUACUUAAAAUACCCAUUCUCCGUCAGAUCGCAGAUAUAUACGUAUGUAUAGUGUAAUAUAUAUCGAAUAUCUAAUUAAUGACCGAUUUGUAUUUCAAUGUUUAUCGAAAUACACGAAAACAGGGGGCGGGGGACUGGGACUAAAAAAGUCACCGGUAUCUAGAGUGCAGGCCACAUAAGUUAAUUGUUUAUACACAAAAAAAAAAAAAUGUUAGUUCUGCGAAUAAUUGUUGAACUUCUUAAAAUUUAGAAGGUUGUAAAAACAUGCUAAAUCGGCCGUAAGUUUUGAAGAAAUGUUGAAACGUUUUUCCAAACCACAGCUGUGUCAAUAUUAAACUCAUACAGUCUUAAAAAUGCAUUUUUCAAGAGUAAGGAUUAUUUCGAAUUUAAUAAACUUCCUUAACACUGCAGAUCCUGCUAUAAAUCGCGUCGACUUAAAUUCCAAAGAAGAAGACAUUUCUUCUAAAUUAUAUUACCAGCUGUAUACUACUAUUAUCCCCACUUGUGGACACGAAUUAUUCCGAUUUAUUUGUGUUACACCUCCUGUGGACCCCUGCAAGAGCCACCACUGUAAUGUCUACAUGCCACAUGGCCGAAUUGGGCACAUUGAUGGAAAUUUCCCUGCAUUCCGGCGGCCCAGUCCGCCUCUGACCUUAUAUUAUAUUAAUCGGUUAAACUGUUUAUAAACACCUGGCAGGAGGUUUUCGUUAAAGUUUUCGUAUAUUAUAAUACCGUAUUUUCGACCGCGCGUAAACUUUUCUCUCUUUUCCAAAACGUCUUAUACGCGUCUGAUAUACGAUCUAAACGAUAUUUCAAAUUUCUAAAACACGUUUAACCGGGCCCCGAGGCUUUCGGUCUCCUGUGGCUUCGAGCCAGCUGCGGCAUCGCCCCAUCAUCGGUGCAGUGUAUUUAAUACACCGUGACGGUGUUUAUACUUUAUACAUCUCUCAUCUCUCUCUUUCGUUAUGUAUACAGGCUGUCCCACGAAUAUAUACCCCUUGAAUAUGUCCGAAGAUAAUAAAGAUAAUCAAAUUUCGGUUUUUUUUUUUUCAUAUUAUUCACAGCGAUGAUGAUUACAAAUAUUUAUAUUUGUAUUAAAUGUUGUUUUUUUAGUAAAAAGUUAGGUUAGUUUUAUCUCUAGAUAACAUAGAUUUUCACACGGAUUAGUAGAAUUAUUUAAAACGAUUCGGAAACUAUUCAUCGGACAUAAACGUGUGAUGCAUUAAAAUUGUCGGAAAAAUUAAUUCUGCAGAAUGGCUGUCUAAAAAUGUUUUAAAAGAAAUUGCGAACAAAUAUAAAUAUUUGCGAUUCUCAAAAAAAAAAAAAAACAAAACAAAAUUUGAUUACUUUUAUUAUCUCCGGAGAUAUUCAAUGGGGUCUAUAAAUUCGCGGGACAGCCUGUUUUUGUAUAUCAAUAGUUGGGUUUAGCCGCACAUUAUGGGAAAUCAUUUCGCACACACGCCGCGGCACUCGUUACAUCCCCGAGUAUCCGAGAUCCGUUAUUAUAUCACGACGACAAGCCCGCAAAACGACAACACAUUUACACGUGUUUAUGCGCCGAGGUACAAUCGCAUAUUAUAAUACUCGUAUGUGUUCGACUGCGGCACACCGAUUAAUUACACGCGAAUGACGUACACCGGAAUUAAUUAUUACGCGACUAUAAGUAUUAUAAUAUCGAAAUACGUAUACGUAUUAUAUACGUAUAUACAUAAUAUACGUAUGCCCGUGCACAACGAUCGCGUGUUUACGUAUUGUGUACAUUAUCAAGGCGGAUAUUAUACAGAGUGAUAUAUUUUUUUAUUUUUUUUUUAUCGCGAACCAGUAAAUAUCUCAGAGGAAUUGCCAUUCCCUAUACUCCUCCGGUCUGAACUGUCAUAAGUUAUAACUCAUAAACGGUAAAUCUGAUAUUACACUAUAGUGUUAUGCAUAUUAAAAUUCCCAGAAAAAUAUUCUCUAUUCAAAUCUGUGUUCGAAAGGAAAGGGCCGGGGGAGGUUCCUGUUUGAAAAUCAAAAGUACGUGCUUAUUUAAGGCGUUCGGAGUAGGGAGAAAAAAUUAAAAAAUGUUUUUUUUUAAAAAUAAACCUUAAACGGUUCCGUAAUGGUUCGAGAAAAACCGAAAUCAAAUUCACAUAAAAUCCUCCGAGAUAAUUGCUGGUCGAUGAUAAAAAAAAAAGUCGCACCCUGUAUACCUCGCGGGUGCGGACAUUAUAUUAUCCGGACGGCCGCCGCGGCAGCGGUGUUACGACCGUGUACAUACAAAUGGAAUAAUAUCGGUCGGAAUCGCACGUAAAUAAUUGCCGAUGAAGAUUCGCGCAGUCCGCGUGUACAUGCAUAGCGCGCAAACAGGGUUUUCGAAAAACGAUACUUUGCGAAAAACGUUGCUCGAUCGUCCGACCGCGGUUCUUUUUUCACCGUAUAAACGAAUUAUACGCGUUCACACGUAUGUAUUUAUAUAUUAGAAUUUUAAUCAUAUAUAAAACGUUAUACGGUCGAUGCGGUAGCCAUGCGUACAACAGUGCUCGUGUGUUUAUAGGUACCGGUAGCGGUGGAUACUGUUUUCGCAUACGUACACGCGAUGUUUAAAGCAUCGCCUGCAUCGUACACUGUAUUAUCAUCACUGUAGACUGUUGUUUUUUCAACAGUCCAACGGUUAAAACACAACUACAUAACCGGCAUCGAAAGGACCGCGUACUUUCGAGUGGCGUGUAUUCGAACUCGACGUGGAGGGGCCACGGGGCGUUUAAAAUUCUUCUGACAAAACAUCGAUUUUAUCAUAUCAUAUAAAAAAAAAAAGGUGAAUGUCUUCUUUUUUUUCUUUUUUUUUUUUUGCCAGUUCAUCAAUAAUAAUUUCUUCUAUUGAUUGUAACAUCGCUAAUUCAUAAACGGUAAACCCGAUAUGAGUGUCAUGCAUGCACGAUAAACCAUUCGAUAAUACAUAAUUUGAAGUAACGUAAUUUUUUUUAACCUACGUUUUUUCCUCACUAUUAUGAAAACUAACUCGAAAAUCCAAAAAAACGAACUGCGUCAUUAAAAACAAGAUUAAUAAUUCAACGAAAAAAGGUCUCUUGUCGUUUUUCAAUUGGAGCCAUGUUUGUGUUAGGAAACGUGGUAGGUGUUUAUUUAAAACAAUGAAAUCCUAAAAAAAAACAUACAUUUCUUUCCCAAUUAAUAGAUUUUAUUUUAAAUCCUGUCUCAAAAAUCGAAAAUAUGGUCUAUGUAUUUACCAAGAAGAUAAAAUUGAUUUUCAGGAAAGGCGCUACACUUAAACAUCGGAGCAAGUUUUCUAAAAUAAAAGUGAUCUGCAGUAUAAAAGAAAAAAGUACCAUUGUAAAAAAAUUAAAAAAGAAAAAAAAAGUUGUCCGAUAAUUUUGGAAAUUUUAUCACGUCUAGGUAAGUCUGAUACUAAUAAGUAUUUCUACUAAGUUUUAAGCCUCUACGUGUAUUUGUAACCGAAUUAAAGCAAAAAUCUCUCAAAAAUUAAAAUUCUUUAGAAGUUUAAAAGUGGCUCAAAAGUUUUAACAAUAAUACCAUAAGAAAAUAAAUCGAAAAGGUAACAAAAAGGGUGUCUUGUAAUUUUUCAAUUAAAUCAUUUUAUCUGGUAGAAAAUGCCGUCCGUGUUUUAAUAAAUUAAUGAAAUCGUAAAAUUGUACGUUUUCCUACGUUUUAAUUUUUAAUAUAUAAUAAUAAUUAAUGUUAUUUUACUCUAUGCAUUCGUAGCAAGUCAUUUAAGACUUUUGAACCAUAUUUUUUCUCCUGGGGUGGCCGAGAUCCGGAACCCCCCCGAAAAUACGCCACUGCGCGUACGGGAGGUUUUUCCGUUCAAUUAAAUUUAAACUUAUGUACCGAUAUGUUAAUUUCAAAUACGGUUUUCCGCGUUAUUUCAACGAUAAUUAAUUUACACAUAUGCCCGACGAAGAUGGAAUUAGUAUAGUUUUGAAUUUAAAACUCUUUAAAUGUUUGCAUACAUUUAUUAUAUACCUACAUAUAAUAAGUCUUUUGCUUUACAGUACAAUAAUCCGUCUCGAGGGACUCGUGAUGUGCUGCAGUUUAAACACGUUAGAUGCAUCGGGUACGAAUGGUAGUACGAUUCUCCUACCAAGUUAUUAGAGAUUCGAAAGUAUAAAUAGACGAAAUAUAAUUUUAUACAAUAACUAUUUUAGUUUGUCGGCGGGACCCCAAGUUCAGACGUAAGUGAAUUCGAAUCGCACCAUAUUACAAUGAUAUCGUAAUGCGUUUUAUUACCCGUUUUUUUUUUUUUUUUUUUUUGUGUGUGUGUAUGAAAACAGCAAAAGCAUACACGUACAACAGAAUAUAAUUUAUCGAAAAGAUUUUGCCCGUGGCCAAACCCUCAGACAAUCGUCAUCAUUAUAUCAUACGAGUAUAAUAAUGUACAAAUAUAACGUAAUUUUCGCGAUGGCGGGCUAUGAGAAAACGCGAAACGAGAAGACUAAUUUUAUUUACGGUCCAAGUGCGUGGGGGAGGGGGGUCUGCAGGACGAAGAAAAAUGUUAUUACCCGACAAUCUAAAAGAUAGAAACCACUGGCUAUACGUAAUAUGCAAUAAGGGGUAUGUUCUAUAGACUGCCGUCACGGUCGAGUGCCGCCGAGACGAAUAAAAAUUUUCGCCAACACCCCUGCGCAGACACCACGCGCGGCUAUACCGACGCAUCAAGCGUCAUUAACGUUACAACGUCUCAUCAAUCUUAAAAUAAAAACCUCUAUAAUUUAUACAAUACUUGAUGAUAUAUAUAGUAUACAUACACUACUAUAUACAAUAUAAACGUAAUAAAUAAAAAAAAAAAAAAAGCUGAUACUGCUGAUGGGUGUGCCGGUGGCGUAGUCAGGAAUUCUCGGCGCGGCAGCGCAGAAAAACGAAAAAUAACGCCACGGUAUUGCGGGCGAUUUGUAUACACGGUCGUUACAUUCGUCGUAUAUAGGAUAUACUUGAUUUUUUCGGUUUCCGUGGUAAUUUCAACUUCAUAAAUCCUUAUCAAAAAAAAAAAAAAAUUGUGGCUAUGAAUUUUCGAAAUUCGUAUAGUACAUAUAUAGUAUGAACUUUAUUUUUGAAAAACCUCUCAAAAAAUGUAAUCCACAUGAGUAUUCAAUGGAAACGUCGGGUUUCUACGAUUUUAGAUUCUGAGUGGAGCGAGGAAUGUAUUGGUUUCACAAUGAUGUUUAUUUUUUGUUUCUGUGGACUUCCAACCAUUUUGCUCCGAUUUACUAUGAUAGCAAUUUUUCUAAAAGGAAAUUUGACUGGGAUGAUGUUUUUAGCAGAUUUUCCCAAAAGUUUUCCUAAAAGUUUAGAAAAACCAGGAAAAGACAUUGAAAACACGUAGGAAAAACAAAAAAAUAGGUAGAAUAUUAAACGAAUAUUAUUAAAGAAAAUGUUUAAUGCAUAUGUAAUUAUUUUACCAUAAUGACAAAGUAACAUUAUCGACCGAAUCCGUUCAGAAUCGUUUUUUUGAUAGCAAUGGUUUAUCGUUAUACAUUAAAUUCCCGUCUAUAUCCUACCUUCUCAACUUCUCACCUACAACAGUGACUGUACCCGUUAUCAUUAUCAUUAUCCUAUAGGACAGCUGUUUUUGACUCAGUUACAAUAAAAAAAAAUUAAAACUAAAAAACGCGAAUCGUUAUUGUGUAUUUACACAUUAUUUCACGUUUUUCUGACAUCUUUUUCACCCGAUUAUGAAGAUAACAAGGCUAAAAGAAAGAUAAAAAAAAAAAAACCACCUUCUCAAUAUAUUAAAAACUCGAAAUAAUUCGCUAAAAAUUAGCUCUCAUAUCGGUUUUCGAUUGGAGCCAGGUUUCUGGUAGAAAAGUAGUUUACAGACACAACAACUAAAAAUCAUACCGUGGUAAAACCAAUACAUUCGCUCAGAAUCUAAAAUAUCGUAUGUAAAUGCUCGAAUAAUUAUAGUUUUUUUUCUUUCGUAAUAAUAUUAAAUUCCGAGCAAAACCUAAAUUAGAUUUCCGCUGCAACUAUAAUACAUGCAUACGUUUUUUUAUCGGAAAACUCUUUUUGAACCAAACCCGCAGUUAAGAUACCGUAAACAUUUAAUCCGACAACUUUUUAGCCGGAUAUUGAACACAGAUGUUAUUACGCACAUUAAAUCUUUCGUUUUUCGAAUUUAAUUAUUUCUACGCCCUGCGAAAAAGUAACGAAAACUGAAAAUUUGAGCUAUACUAAAGUGCUAAUUAUUAAGUACAUAGUUUUUCGUAAAAUUAGACGAUUUAGGUUUUAAUAUUAUAAAGAAAUUAUACAUUUCUCUAUCGCGAGCGUCCGCCUGAACUUUUAUUAUUUUCCCGUGGAACACUUUUCAAAAUUCUCGUCUCGAAUGAUUUUUACUAAAUAAUAUAUAUUAUUUUAUUAUUUUAAAACGUAUAAACGCAGAUAUUUUAUGGAUUAUAGCUGUAUCAUAAUUUGCGAUACUGAUAGUAUAGGUGUGGCCAGACUUUUUCUUUUAGCAAAAGGUGCAAGUAAAAUAUUUGUAUACCCCCCCCCCCCUAAUUUUUUUCUAAUUUUUUUUUUCUUAAUUUCGGACAAUCAUUAUAAUAUGUAGCCAAUAUAUGGUUUACGUGUUCGGCCACUAUACGUUAGAAGAAUACGAUUGGCUAAACACAUUUUUACAAACGUUUGUGCUAUUCUAUGAUUUAUAACGCGUCAAUUGUUACAGCACAAGAGCGUAUUAUUUGCAGGAUACACGCAGUCGGUGAUACCGUUACAAUUUAUUAUUAGUUUAAUAUUAAUAUUGUGUGCGGACGAUAAAUUCGAAAAGUUUAACAAAUAUUUAGGUAAUGAACGCGCGGCGAUGACAUUUUUACGUCUUCUAAAGAAUAAUAAAACCAUUUAAAAAUCAACAUCCUCUGCCCGUUGAAUUUUUAACGAAAAUUAUUUAUAAUUUUUGAACGUUACAUACGUCUUUUAAACGCGUAUAGUAUUAAAAUAUAAAUAAUAAUAAUAAUACAUUAUAGUAUAGGUGUGAAGAAGCAUCGAGUUAGUCGAGAGCGUGCUAUACACGUUUGUAUAGUACGUUUACAGUUUUGUCUACUGUGUUUAUUUUUAAGCCAGUAUGAAGCGUGAGAUUUGAAAUGUAUAUCGGGGCAUUAGCGUUCUAUUUAAUUCUUUUUUUCUCUAUUAAUCCGCGAGUCGGGUUCCCGGUCAGCGUCGGCGGUCGCAACAAAAUCCCGGUAUCGUACCGAACCCGUAGGUUAGGUUGGGUUACCACUCUCCGGAUCGGGGUCUCCCGUAUAGAAUCUAAACUCCGUGAUGGGCCCCUGCUCGUGGGCUGCGUCCGGAAAUUCAGAGCCAUGUAAAGUAUUAUCAACACAAUAACUCGUGUUCCGGGGAAGUAAUUCGAAAUUAUUUUUUACUCGCCCGGCAAUAACCGAUGUUCGUCAGUUUUGUGCCCGAUAUAAUUUUUACGUAACAAAAAUGAAAAUAUUAAUUUAAAAUUAAUCAAUUGUAUGUUAAAAAGACUGAUAUACUUGGCAUGGGGGCGGGUCACUAUACAGACGAGAAGUUGGGAAGUCAAAAAGAAAAUUGAAUGCAUAUUAUCUGUACGCAACGGUCAAUCGUUGCUAACGAAAAAACGAUUCUGAGCGGAUUUCGGUUAACCGCGUUGCUUUGUCAACAAUAUACAUAUAUGUCACAUUACGGUAAAAUAAUUACAAAUUAGGCGUAUAUAUAUUUUCAUUUUUCUUUAAUAGUAUUUGUUUAAUAUUAUACCUAUAUUAUUUUCCCGUUUUUCCCGUUUAUUAUGAAAACAAUCGGGGACGUCAAAAAAAUGACGUUCCCAAAGUACCACUCCGGUCAAACAUUUUCUUGAAAAUUCAAAAAAAAAAACAAACGAAAUACUGUAACGGCGACUGGACGGCUGCGGGAAAACAAGUCGACUCUAUUGGCGGAACUCUUAUGCGCACAGUUAUUUAUACAGGAUGUCCCGUUUGACAAGCCAAUGUAUUAUGCGACCAUCAUGAUAUUAUUUCGGUCGUCCGUGUCGGCGGGAACAAACGUCAAGAGUUAAUUUUUCAACCGUCUCGUUCUUUCGAUGGAGAACCAAAAUCUGGCCGAUUAUCCGCACGAACCGACAACGUCUAAGAACGGUAGUCGAGGGACAAACGUUUCCAAUUGUUGAAAAUAUUCGCGCGUCGUCCGUGCGUAGGUUGUACGUAAAAAACGUUUAAUAAUACGUUCGGAGCGGCGAAAUUUCGACGAAUCGUUGUUUUUUUUUUGAAAAACGCGACAAUCGUUUCCGCAGACUUGUCUUUUAUCGUGCGGUAUUGUCAUUAUUAUUAUUUAUUUAUUUAUUUUUUUUUUAUUUCGUCGACGUCGCGCGUUCGUUAUAAACAACGCGACAUCGUACAUGUUGUUGUCGAGCGUAUACAACACAAUAACGAAAACGUAGAUCGCGCGCGUACGGUUUUUCCUCCGCGCGUAUCGGCGGGUCGCGGGAACACUGCCGCGGCUCGACGGCGGAUGGUGGGGUGGGGAGGGGGGGCGGUGAGAGAGAGUGAGAGCCGAGAGAGCCGAGAGAAAACCGAGAGAGUCGACGAGAAGCGAAGGGCGGUUUUUGUUUUCACGAGAGUGGGGGGGGAGGCUCCCGUUGAAGGGAUAAUAAAUCAAGGGCGGCCGCAACCGGUCGUAAAUCAUUGUGAGAGAGCGCGCGCGCACUAUCCCCCCCCCACCACGACUCCGGGCCCGGGGUACACAUAAGGUAUGUACGAAAUGAACGAAAUUAAUCACUGUCGAAAACCGCCCGCCGCCGCCGCCGCCGGUGCGCCGCGCUCUUCUCCGUCGCCCCCGGGUUACACACGGCACCCCGUACACCGGCCCCGCGGAGCACGCGGCCCCACGCCGGCCGUACGCCGCGCGACCCUCCGCGCGCGGAGUCUAAUUCCCGUCCGCGUACGCACGCCGCACCGCACCCCGGACCACCGCCCCGCGGCACAGCGGCACAGCCCGCGCACGACAGUACGGCAGGUACGGCCGCGGCCGCGCGGACAGUCUCCCCGCGCGCAAUCUAUCUAAUGUAUUCCGUCAGGGUGUACGAUGUACGUAGCAACGUUAAUGUAUUAUCAUCGUGUGUGUACCGGCUCACCGCCGCGUACGGUGCGCGUACCCGGCGGGGCGGGAAAAAUUACCUCGGCGAAACGCGUCCCGGACGCGCAUACGUAUUGUCGCGCGACGCGCGUGCGAAACGCGCAUAAAUCUACGGCACCUGUCGCGCGCGUACAUGACGGACCCGCGGUCGGUAAUAAUAAUUGUAAUGGUAACAACAAUAACGUCGCGACGGGUUUUUACGACGGGAUUCCUUUUUUUCCCUCCUCCCCUCCCCUCCUCCCCCCACCCCCUCCGUGUAAUUUAUAAUAACGAACGUCCGCGGUCCCACGCGAUCCACCGCCGCCGGGUUGUCGACCGGCGGCGCGCCCCGAUCUCCGCAAAGCCGUUUUCGUACCCACCGAUUGACGUGCGUUUCCCCGGCCCCGCCCUGUCCGCCACUCAAAGAUUUUUUUCAAUUUUAUUUUUCAAUUCACAUUCAUUGUACGGGGUUCGUGCGGAUACGCCCGGGCUCAUUGUCACAGGAAUAAGCGAAACGACGCGGAAGGCCGAAGAAACGUUUUUUCAGCCGUGAGAUAGAAGAGCCGAAUUUACAUGGCACCUCGUGCACUUUCCGGUGGCGGCGUGAAAAAUCGUCCUCUUUUUUUUUUUUAUAAUUAUAGAUUAUAGACGAGAAUUUCUCGCGGUAUCCACGGAAGGGUACGCCGUAACCGAAUUUAAUCCAAAAAAGAGCACCGUCGAAAAAAAAACGUUUGGAAACCGCUGGUAUAUUGAAUAUUAUACAAAACAAGUAUAUUGAAUAAAAACGAGAAAAUAGAAACGCGUCCGCGUCGAUGUUCGGCGUGAAAAAAAAACGUCUUUGCCGAAGGAAAUGUCGUUUAUGGCCGAAAAAUUAUGCGAUUUGAAUGUUCGCGUGGAGAGCUUAAUCUGUAGAAAUGCAAUCAAUGUACAAUGUGGUCCGGGGGAAAUGACCGGCGGGCGUCAUAUGAAAGUGUACUAAAAAUAAUGGCGAAACUCCCUUAAAUAGGGUGUAACAUUUUUGUUUUUUAAGAAUUUCACUCGAUUUAUUUUAAAAAAAUACAAAUUUUUGACAUAAAAGUUUUAUUGUUUUCAAUUUGACUUGUGCAUUUCUGGUUUUAUUUUGUAUGGUGAUUGGUGUUGAACAAUAGAAUAACCGUAAAAUAAAAUAAAAACUUGAUUUGCCCAUAACCUAAAAAAUGAAAAUGUUAAUUCUCCCCCCUCCCUUUAAUAGAGGUUUCUACGUCAUUUAUGGCGUACUCUCAUACGUCACCCGGUCACUUCCCCCCCCCCCCCUCGGAACACAUUGUAUAAACGAUUGGUAUCUCAUACUGCACUUUUAGGGGCUUUAAAUGCAUUUUUUUUUAAGGUUUUAUAGCGCCUUAAAUUCACACCUCCGAAUCAUUUCCAUAUCAAAGCUAUACGAAAGUUGAAUUUUCAUUUAUAUGUGUAGAAAACUGUUCUAGAUUUAUAUAAACACGCUGAAAAAUCGAUGAUACAAAGUUCACAUCAAUAUAGGCACUUAAUUCGUAUAUGGUCUAUUGGGAAAAUCAUAAACGACAUUCUAUAGCAUAUUCAUUUCGAUAAUUUAUACACAACAAAUGCUGUAUUCGAUUUUUAUUAUCUAAAAAGUGUAAUAUUCAACAGAAAAAAAAAUGUGCAUAUUCUUUUAAAACUUUAUGAUCUUUAUUAAUCUGAAUUACGAAAAAAAAUAAAAAAAAAAAAAAAAUACUUUUAAAAUUAAAUCGUAUACAUUGUAUGAAUGUUUAUCGAAUCAAUAUGUUUUUAUCAUCUUUAUAAUAAUUACGUUCGUAAUAAAACAAUAUUAUAAUUUCGUAUCUCAACGUCUAGCCGAGAACGGCAUCUGUAGGUUACUGUUUGAACUACUUUUUAAAGUCAGAACACUCAGAACUUUAGAGCUUUACUAUUUCGUAUAUUCUCGAUUCAGAGUUUUUUAAAUUACUAUCAGUUUGUGAAAUAUUCGAAAUUGUAUGGCGAAUUCGAAAUGUUGUAAUGACCGAAUUAAAAACAAUCCGAGUUCAAUAAUAAUAAGAAAAUUGUUCUUUCUUUAAAAGAAAUUAUAAUUUUUACAAAUAAAACUUUUACAUUUACUUUAUUAAUACCUUUUUGUUAUUUCUGCUAAGAGCGAAUAUUUAUUUCAUUUUUUGUGGGCUUUUGACUUUUCUACCAGAAAUCUUGCUCCCAUUGAAAGAUGAGAGGUGAUUUUUAUUUUCUUGUAUUUCGUUCCGUUAAAGAGGUAAUUUUUUUUGAUUUUCCGAUGAGUUUUCAUAUAGUAAUCGGGAUAAACCGGGAACAAACGUAAAGAAAAGUUUGCACUGUAUAAAUGGUUUCGUUAUUUUUUUUUUUUUAUAAAUCGGUUAAAAAACGUAGUUUAGUAGUUUUAUUUUUAAUGGCAGUUUUAAAUUUUGAAAAUUGACGUAUUUCGAAACAUGUUAUACCUAUUAUAGCUAACCAAUCAGUUCAUUUGUACAACAGAACCUGAGAUAGGUGUCAGCAAUACUUAUAGUAAAACAGUAAAACCUCUAAAUACCGGACACUCUCGGUCGCUGAAAUGUUGUCCGCCAUUAAGAGGUGUCCGCGAUUUAGGGGGAAAAAUCGUAUUUUUAUUACAUUAAUUAAUUAAAUACAUUUUAAAGUUGCAACAAUUCAUCGGCGCGAUAAUAUUUCAACGACUGGACGGAUAAUAUGGGAUAUAAUACAUACACUUACAGUAUAAUAAUAUACAUGCAUAGUAAUAAAAAAUUACUUCAUAAUAGUGUAGACUUUUAUUUAGGUAUUCCAUAGUUAUACUUAAUUAUCAAUAUCAAUUUUAAAAAGUGUUCGUUAUUUAGAGUGUCCUGUAUAUCGAGGUCUCCGUACGUAUGAAUAGUGAAAAUGUCGCCGUUCUCGAAAAAAAACGUCAGCUAUUUGGAGGUGUCCGAAGGUGUUAAAGGAUAGUUCACUGUAAUUAUAUCAUUUUUACAUUUGUAUUCGUAUUUGUUAAUAUGGAUAAUAUUUGCGUAUUAACACGGAAAUACUCAUAGAUUUACGAAGCGUUUUAAAUAAAUUCGAGUACGAGCGUGUACUAAUAUUUUUAUUACAUAUAUAUUAUAAGCGUAGUUUUGUUUGUAAAACGUAUAUAAGCAGUUACGAUUUUAAUAAGUAGGUAAUAACUUAUUAAACCCGAGGGCACACUAUAAUGCGAGUUACAUUUGAAAUCCGAACGCAAAUAGCGCACAUGAUAUUAUCGUGGGUGCGUUUAUGUAGGUGUACCGUGUCGACGUAUACAGUCUCGCUAACCUGCCCUUCUUUUUUCGUUUUUUUUUUUUAUAUUUCCCGGAUGACAGUGCGCUCGUACGAGUAUUAUUAAAAGUCACAUUCCGUAAUAUUAUGUGUACACAUUUUAUUAGAGAAGAGGCUAUAUCCGAAUUUAUCGUCUCGGUCCAACCAUGUACGGGGCGGUAUUAUGUAUGGUGAACGUUACGUUUUUGUUUAAACACGCGAAUUGCGGCGUUUAAGAGGGAAUCAUUGAGUAAAAACACUGUAGACGAUGCGCAACGUUAAGAGGAAAAAGAUUCGGUUAAAAAUAAUCGUAGAGGCGUGCGAUUUUCACAGAACACUCGGUAUUUUCGGGAGCGCGUACGGAAAAUGUUCAAAAAACAUUCUCCAGACUUUCGUUAUAUUUAUAACCGUAUAUUUUGAAAAUUUCGGGGUUUUUUUUUAGUUUUUACGAGGAUAAAUUAUAGUUCUGACCGAGCAGAAAGGAUUUUUUAAUUUUAGGCGAGGUUCAUCAUUACGUCGUAUUUUUAUAGUGGUAAAAAUAAAGACGUAUAACGGAAUGUAUUGUAUUUUUAUGCGCUUUCUAAAUUUUGACGAAAAUCGUAUAAAUCACUUUAUAUCACUAUGGUCUUUAUCAGAAUCGUGUUUCGCGAGUAAUCAUUUGUAGUCGUCGCGGAACAGGAAUCUUUAUGAUUUCGUCGGUUUAGGCUGGUUUUAAUCAUUUCCAUUAGACUUUGACUUCUUAUUUUAUAUUUAAGAAUUAAGUACUGCAUAAGAAAAAUGUUCAUAUUAAAAAUCUUUGUCUAAUCACAAAUAUUUGUAAUUCAAUGCCUUUGAGAGUUUAAGUUAAAUAUAUAAUACUAUUAUACUCCUAUUAUGAAUAUUCAUAGAAGUCCACUGUACGAUUGAAUUGUAAACGUUGAGAGGAUUCGGGUGAUAUGACCCGCAUAAAAUAUGUACAUCAUAUACCAGCGAAAACUAAAUAAUAAUAUAUUUAAAAAAAAAACAGAAAUACCUAUUUCAAUUUUAUUAGUUAGUAAUCGUACUCAAAUAUAAUAGAAAAACAUACGAACCGCAUGAAUAAGUGGUAACUAUAUGUUAUGAGUAAAUUGGGUACCAUACAGGUGUAGCAGUGGUGUGUUCAGAAAUGUUUAAUGGGAUGGGAUGUAAUAGCAAAUAAGAAUCGUAAAAUCGUCGUGUCUACGCAAACUCAACUACGGUAGCUGAUAAUUUAAAAGCCAGUUCCUAAAAAAAAAAAAACAAUUUGUAAUAAUAUAUCAAGCUUUUCCUCGUAACUUGCAAGCUGAAAUACACGCAUUUCAAUAUUAAAAUACUUAUAUUUUUUUAAAUAGUUUCAAGCCGGUGGGAGGGAUAUAAUACCUAACCUCCCCUUACCCCUUGCGUUGGCCACUCAUAUAGGUAGUACAUUAUAAUGUUAUUAAAGAGAGGUGUACAAAAUGCAUACACAAUUAUAUAUUAAAUCACUAACAAUAAAUGUAUGAAUUAUUAAUGUAGUUGUUAGGUACAUGAUGUAAAAAAAAAGAAUUAUAUAUUAUUGACUCAAGGACUUUUUUAUUUUAAUCAACCUUUUUGUUCUAAAGACUACUACUGGUCUUCCUGCUUUACGGAUAUCGUGUUACGUCUGUGCGGCGAUAAAAAAAAAAUUGUUACGUAUAGAUAGGUACCGUACAGGCUACGGUAAUCUUGUUUUUAUAAUAGAUCCGUUUUUAAUUGUACCUAUACUUUUGUUUUGCGUUCGCAAUUUUUUCGCGCGCCGAUCACGCGUCUUGUCGACAACGAAAUAUGCAUUAGAUAUGCAUAUUGGACACAUUUGGGCGACCGAUGUUUGUUUUUCGAUGUCAUAUACAAAAUUAUUACAAUAAUAACGGACAGAAGCAGAGAACGGUUCACGCUGCAUCCAGUAAACGGUUUCGGCACACGAUUUAUUGUUAUCACGGCGCCCGCACGUGUAGAUAACGAUCGGAUUCGAUGACAACUCCGAAACCGUUUAUGAACGUACGUGUAUACUGCGAAUUGUCAUAUUAUUUCCGGAAAUACAACGAUGAAAAUAAUUGUCAAUAUUGUGCCGUCGGACAGCGUCCUCGUCUGUGAUCUACAACUAUUUCGAAUAUACAACGGGUGUCGAUUGCGUGGAAAUUGACAUUUAUAUUAUUGCGAGCCUAUAUACAGGACGCACGUCGUAUUAUUAUAACACGGCAAUGGUCUCGUUUGUUGACGAUGACAUUAGGUGUACACUUUACAGAUCCACGCGUUUAUAUAGUCGAAUCAUACAGGCACAACGAGACCGCCGACUUUGAGGGUGCUAAAAUUACGGACACAUCAAAGGCAUACAGUCGCUACGCCCUCACAAUUCCCUAUACGCGACUCUUCCAAUAAAUAAAAUACACAUUUCGUUUACAAUUUCGUAUAGGUACGCAAAUUUAUCAUAAUUAUUUUUUAACAUUAUUUUUCGUGUACACGCGCGCGUUGUCUGUAGGAAACGUGUAUUUUGUUCGGUUCGCGAAACACGCGGAUAAAAUGCUUAGUCGUUACUGCGCAAGAGCUCCUUGGGCUUACUUCGGGACCGCUAAAGACCCGCAAGCAUCCCCCUAGUCGCGCCGAUGAGCCACCUUAUUAAUAUUAUUACUACUGUAUAGGUUUAAUUCGAUUAUAAAUAUUACAUCGAGAUAUCCGUCGGAAUUUCAAACCGAACGUAACCGAUAAAACCUCUGCGUCAAAACAGAUGUCACGGGCCCGUCAUGCCGCCCUAUCGGUACGCCAAUGCUUUUAUCGCGCGCGUACGAGGCGCGAUAAAAAAUAACGAUUCGCGUACAAAACGUCGUCCGGAAGACUUGUGCCGCGGUCGAGGGAGCGUAGCCGCGCACUUAUAUCCAAUCGCCGCGACCGGUACUCGUCAGGAUCAUGCCGACGGGAGGGACGGGCUAGGCAUUUACGCCCUUUGUCACCGGCGGGCCUCUAUUGGGUCGGCUACGGGGUUAGUUUCGGGCCGCGAGCCUGCAAACGUAAUUCAUGGUUUACGUUGCGCACGGCCACUGUGAGCCACGGUCUUUUAAGAUAUAUUUGUGAUAACAAUUGUGAUAAGCGCGAUAAUUGUAUACAAUCCCUCUCAAAAACUGAAAUGACGCCACUGAGAUCGCCGCGCUUUCCGCUUUGUCUGGUGCCGGAGCCGCAGGUAUCCAUCAACAAGUCGCCUAUAUCGUAACGUUUUACGAGGCCGCGCUUUUAGUCUGCUACGACUUGAAUCGAAAACAAGGGGUCGCGGCCACAACGCGGUAACGGUAACGCGUGACGGGGAAUCGCCACAAUAACGUACAAUACGAGACAGGAGGUGGUUGGGAGGGGAGGGGAGGGUGCCGUCGUCGGAGUGGUGUGCGCCUCGAAAAAACCGACUAGAUUACGCGGUGCCAUUGGACGCGACCGACUUAUUAUUACCACUACCGAUUAUCCGUUGUCGGUGUCCGUACUUCGUAUGUACAUUUUAUUUUUGGACUCUGAGUGAGGCGAGGAAUGCUUUACAACGAUGAUUAAUUUUUUUAUUGUUUUCAUGCUUGUACUCCGAUUACCAAGUGUAGCAUGCAUCUUUUCUGAAAGGAAAUGUUCACUGGACGGCCAUUUUUUGAAACUCUCAUUAACAUUCGGAAUAACGAGGAAAAUCUGGUUCUUUGGUUUAAAAAACAUUGAAAGAUUAAAAAUAACGUUGUCAUUGGCAACCGUUUUUAUUUACUUUUUGUUAUUGUUUUAAAAUUUUUUUUAAAUUUAAUAUUUUUUUAAUUGCUGUCAUUUUACCAUAAUAUGACGUAUAUAUUGUUGACAAAGCAACACUAUAUCAACCGAACUCCGUUCAGAAUCGUUAUAAAAUGAAAAAAAUAUCCCAGCCCUACACCCAGGCGCAAUACCGAGCGACCGGGUGUUGUUUCGCGAGCGGAAUGGCCGUACGCUAACGGGACAGCCGCUACGGCGGAAAUAAAAUUAACCGCGUUUAAUGCACGUGAACGAAAUACCCCGGAAUUUUGACGACUUUAACCCCGAGUAUAAAAUUAUGCGCGACGACUGCUUGUUCCCCCUCCCCUCUCGGCAGUUCUUCUAUCACCUCCCGAAUAAUAAUAAUACGGUAUUCCUUCGCCGCGCAAUAUUUACGGGGACCCGUCGUCGUCGGAAUUUAAUUUUCUUCGCCGCACUUUUUUAUCCCCCCUUAUUAAAAAAAAAAAAAAAAUUAAUUCGGAUAUUUAAGAUCCUUUUGUGGGGCGGGCCCAUAAUAUUAUCCUCGCCGUGGCUAUCGUCAGACGAUACCGUUUAACAUAUUUUAUUAUAUCUCGGUACACACAGACUCUGCUCGUCUCUGACCAUAUUUUAUUUAGGUACAUGAAUUCAAUUAAAAAAAAAGUGAACGCGUUAAAAAUCAAUCAUUUUCAAUUAAUUAACUGAGUUUGUUCGACACGUAAACGCACGUCAUAAGUUUACAUUUUAUUUUAGAAAUCACGCCUUGUGUUUGUGUUUUUUGUUUUUGAAAAUAAGGACGUUAAGGAGGUUAUUCUUAUUCCGGGGAUAUCAAAUUACACUUAUCAUAAUGUAUAGGAAUUAUGCUAUUAGACAGACCGUUGUAACGCGCGGGAAGUUUGAAAACUAUACUAUACGAUGUAGGGUAAUUAAAUUUAUCAAGGAACGAUAAAUAUUACUGCAAUCAAAAAACGAUUUUGACCGGAGUGAUAUUAGUUGUGUUUUUCUCUCGUAACCAAAGCAACUCGGAAAUCUACAAAAAUAAAACCAAUGUAUCUACAAACAUUCGCUGUCGGCUUUUUUAGAUUUUAUAGAAAAACGGUGGGGAAUCUAGACCAUUUUUAUUAACCGAAAAAUCGUUUCCGAGAAAAUAGCGUUUAAUAGUAAAAGAUAAAGUAUACCUACUACAUAUUAUAGAAAACUGAAUAAUACGCAGCUUCGUUUCUACACCGAGAAUCUAAAAUAUAGGCACGGUAUUUUUUAAAUUUUUUUUUGCAUUUCGAUCGUGUAUUUAACCACAUAAUUUCGCAACAUUUUUACUAAUAGCAUAUUGAAUACAAGAAAAAUUCGUAAACUAAAUUUAAUUAAAUAGGUGAUAAUAGCUGAUUAUUAUAUUGUACGCCACUGCGCGGUAUAUAACAAAAUAUAAUAUUUACUGAUAUAAUUAUUAAAUAUUUAUUUUAUUCGAGGUGGGUAUAUAUUGGGUACAAACGCGGGUACUACACCGAGGUAGGUAUACGGUUGAAAAAAAAAAAAAUAACACGACACAUAGAAUAUUACUAUUACCAAAUCCGUGUAGGACUAAUAAAAUAAAAUAAUGGCCGACCAUUAGGCUCGUACACACACACGACGUCAGAACCGUAUAGAUUUAUAUCCGUUCACACAACUGGCGUACUUGAUUUAUGCGGUAAAAUCGGAAUUACACAUUUUACAUUAGUCCAUUUAUAGCGCGUGUUCAGACGUAUACGUACAUAUAUAAUAUACUCGUAUAUUAUUUUAGUAUUCCGGAUGGUUUUUAAAUCGUUUUUACAUCUGUCCCUUCCUCCGCGCGUUUCGCCUAACCCGCGCGAUAAUGCCGCCCGCCGCAUCGACCCCUCAUCGAUCACUAUAAUAUACCGACGUUUCCGGAGAUACACUAAUAUAUUAUUCGACGCGGAUAGAUUAUCUUAUAUUAUAUAUACAAAUUUUACUAAAAAAAAAAAAAAAAAAAUAGUUUCUUUCCUCGAAUAAAUGUGAAAAUUAUACAUUUUUAGAUCCGGUAACCUUUUUCUGCUCCGGCUUGUUACAAUAUAAUACGGUAUAUUAUUAUUAUAUAAAACGGCGAUUCGCGAUCACGAGAAUAUACAAUAAUAAUAUUAUAACGUUUAUAGGUUUUGUUUUCUCCCGAAUAGUUAUUAUUAUUAUGUGUUAGGGGAUUGGCCGAUAAACCGUAAACCGUAAACUCAGUACGGGGGGGGGGUAGGGGGUCUCAAAACCGAUAUUUUAAGAUAUAAUUGUGCAUGUAAUAUUUCUGGAAUACGAAUGACAAAAAACAUUGAAAAAACGAUUGAUUCCGAAUUUCAAUUCGUGGUUUUCGAUUUUAAAUAUCAGGUACCGGUCGUACGUCGUUAGCGUGUUUCCUAUGCGAUACGUCGAAUAUCGGUAAAAAGUGGCACUGCCCGUCCCUAUUAUACGUAGUACGUGUAGUACCACAGCGUGGUGAAAGAAAUUUCGAUCAGUAAACAUGUACCGUGAUAUUAUUACCGCGAAGGGAUUACAAUUUCAUCCGUUUAGUAUAUUAUGAAAUUAAAACUUCCCAGCUCCGGUUUAAUCGAAAACCGAUUGGGUGGUCCAAGGUCACGUGUUUAUACGUCCAUUGUUUUACUGGGGCGAAGACGUUGUAAACGAAUUCUAAAAUAAUUGGAAUUAUACAUUUAUACUAAGUUUAGCGUUAUACUAUAACUACCCGCGAUGCGAAAAAUUACAAAAUGACGCGGUAGGGAGGGAUGGGCUGAUGACACUUAGGCCGAUUCUCCGCCACGAAUUUUCGUUCGUAAUUUUAUACGAGAAACUGUUGUUUUCUAUUAUGUCGAAUUCUAAUUCUGAUUCUUUAGAUUAAAAAGUAGAAAGUACCUAUACGCGCAAAUCGUUUUGGCUGAUAUAAUUUUUAUUACUUAUUAGGUUAGGUUAGGUAUACCAAGGUUGUAUAAAAUUAUUAUCGAGAACAUUUAACUCAGAAAAGUUUUAAAAUUUAGACACACAGUACUAACGAAUUGUUUUCUAACAUAAUAUCUUUGGUCCAAAGAGAGAAGUGUUCGAGUCGAUUUUUGACACAUUUAUUUAUAAUUUCGAUUCAUUUGUUUUUCAGCUUAAAUGACAUGAGUUAAUUAUUCUUGUUGGACUGAAAAUUAAAAUAAUAUCUUAGGUCAUCACGAUGCACUUUUUGUUGGGAAAAAAUUAAAACACGGUUUAAAAUGUUUAUAUAAUAUUAUUUGAUUUAGGCCAGUUAGAACGGUCAUUUGGGUCGGGACAGAGACCCCAGAUAACGAGAGAGCGACCAACUGCUAUAGCGGCCACACAUCGCUCAAACGUUUCCCUCCGUUCUUACGUUUGAAAUUGAAAUUGCAUUUCGUUUCGUAUAAAAUUAUAAUAUCGUGCACUAUUUUAUAAUUAACAGUAUAAUAGUUUUAUAACAAUUCAAUUUCAAGCGUAACAACGGCGGGGAAAGUUUGGACGAAAAACGGCUGCUAUACAAUGACGGUCGCCCGUUUUCUUAUUAUCUACGUGUAGGCUCUACGGGUCAAGUCCACAUUCAACGAUUCGGCAAUUCAGUCGAUUCGCUCGUAUUGAAAACUAUACGAAUUCAACUCGAGCAUUUCCCCCCCCCCGGGACCGAAUAAGUAUUAUCUGCGUAACGCGUAUUCGGCAAAUAUCCAUUUUAGUGCGCCUAUAUUUCACCGUUGUGUCGUUAUGCGCGUACAAUAACAUUUAGAUUUAUAGAAAUCCGCGAACGAGUACGCAAUAAAUCGUGCAAUAUUUACAAAAAUAUGUAUCACGGGCAUAUUAGAUUAUAUUAUACGGCCGUACACACACGAAUUCAGCCGAAUAAACAUCUGGCGUGUUUAUAUCAUCACGCGACUAUUUAAUGUAAUGUAAAAAAUGUUGGACCAAAAUAUGUGUUCCUCUAUACUCUCUGGUUGGUACUUAUUAUUACCCGUAUAGUCGUAUACAAUGUGAAACGUUGAAUAAAUCUUCGACGCCGCGACAAGCGUUAUUAUACGAACAGUGCGGUGUACGGUUUUUUUUUUAUCGCCACUACAAUUUCGAUAGACACGACUGUAUUUUAACGAAAUAUACAUCCCCGUCUCCGCCCUGCGCGGCGUAUUCCAGUGUCACGAAAUCACAACGCAGGCCAUUACGAUAAUACUAAAUCGUAUUGUUCCGAUCUGUCAACACUGCCGAAACCCGUCGCGUACGCGUCUUAUACGAUACGCGUGGCGUAUCCCCGACGCGGUAUAAUUCAUAUUUUUUAAACGCGAUAAUAAUUGUAUUAUUGUACGCGUAUCGCGCGAUUAACGCGCGGAAUCCAUUUUGCGAAACGGACUGAAAACCGUGCGCGCUUGUGCGGUCCAAUUGUCGUUAUAAUAUUAUUAUUACAUCCUGCUGCUGCGGGGAUACAUUCGAGUACGGCGGAUAUGUUUCAAUGUUCUUUAAUAAAAAAAAUAAAUAUAUAUAACAAACAAAAAAAAAAAAAAACAAACUAAAAAACCGUAUAAGCCCCGUUCCCCCGGGGCUCGUAUACAUUUUCUAUACCAUAUACGAGAAGGGUUUGCGUGUUGCUACAGCGUGUGUGUGCGUGUGUACGCGCGCGAAACGUAUGUAAAAAAAUAAAUAAAUAAAAAUGUAAAAAUACGAAAAUAAACGCCGUCUAUUUAUGUUUUUUUAUUGUCCUACACUCUUUCGGAUACAUAUACAUGUAUAUAUAUAUAUAUAUAUGUAUGUAUGAUAUUACGAGGGUUUUUAAUCAAAACGACUGGACGAGGAGGGGGAAAAAAAAAAAGGUUUUUUUAUUUUAUUUUUAAAUAAAUCGUAUUCGGAGACUGUGUCGGAGAAACGGGAGGGGGGAUCGGGGGAACACCGAAUUUAUCGGCAAAUUUGUCCGCGUAAGCCCCGGCGCCCCGGAUCGUAAAUCACGACACUGUCGAUGGAUACGCGCCGGGUCUUCCGCUACAUUUGUUCUUAUUUGCAGACUGGCAAAUAUAAAUUUACGACGAACUAUGGCGGCGGCGGUGGAUGUGUUUUUAUUUUAUUUUUUUUUUCCGGGGAAAAAAAAUAAGAGAAAACUGCAACGCGCUGCCGCCGCCGAGCACUUGUGUGUGUACAAUUUUAUCAAGAUAAACAGAUCUAGCGGCGUUUUUAUUGCCGGUCCGUGAUAAGUUUUUGUAAAACGGUUUUUUUUUUUUUUUUUGCGAAAACUAUACAUACAUAUAUAUAUAUAUAAAAAUAUAUUUCGUCCGUAAGCGAAAAACGGCAGUAUAUAUUAUUGUAAGAUCGUCCGAAAAAUUAUUGUUGUUCUCGGUUUAUAUAUUAUUUUCGUACGGGCAGACGGACUUUAUGUAAUAUAUAAUAUAUUAUAUUAUAAACUGCAAUAACGGCCGCGGAAUAAAAUACCGUGUAUAUUGUAACGCUGUAGUGCGGCGGUUCCCGACCCAUGGGCAGCGGGCCACUUGUGGGCCGCGAGCAGCAUGGUACUGGGCCGCGAGCCAUAGGUAUAAUAUUAAAUAUUAUAUAUAAUUAAAAUAAUAUUAUUAUAUAUUUUUUGUUAUAUUUCUAAUAUCAUAAUAAUAUUUAAUCAGUUUUAACUAUAGUGUACAGUAAUUGCACUGAGAAACUUGAUGGGCUUUUCGGCAACUUAUUUAUGUGAACGUGCUUUUUCUACUUUAAUUUAUUUAAAAAAUAAAUAUAGGAAUAAACCGAAUGUUGAGAGUGAUUUAAUACUAAAACUGACAAGUUUUAAUCCAGAUAUUGACUUUCUCGUGAAGAACAAGCAAUGUCAAAAAUCACAUUAAAUUGUUUAUCUUGUGAUAAAGUUGAAUUAAGUUUUUUUUUAAUUUUUAAAAUUUUUUAUUCCUAAUAACUAUAUAUACAUGUAUAUAUGUAUAUAAUAUAUAUUAUAUAUUAUAAUUUUAUGAAAACGUAUAUAGGUAUGUUAUGGGUGGGCCUCAAAUAUUUUUUUACAAAAUUAGUGGUCCGCGAAACUAAAACGGUUGGGAACCGCUGCUAUAGUGUAUCGUACGCGCCUAAUGUUAUAUAUUUUCUCAGAUUUUAAUUGCGAACAUACUGCACGGGUUUACCGAUCCGACGAAUUGUCAUCGUUACACUUGUACACCGCUCAUUUCAGAUCCAGAGUGGAGCGAAGAAACUUGCGCUGGUUUUACAGGUUACUGGUUUAUUGUUCUGCGGACAACUUUUCUACUUUUCCGCCGGCAAUUUCGCUCCGAUUUAUAACGAUAGCGCUUUUUUUAAAAUUAAAUCUGAUCGAGGGGUACUUUAGGGUACUUUAAUUUAUUGGUUUUUCGAAAAGUUUUCCCGAUAAAUGGAAAAAAAAAAUGAAAACAGAAAAAACGUAGAAGAAACGGGAAAAUAGGUAUAACAUUAAACGAAUAUUAUUAAAAAAAAAUAUUGAGGUAAUUAUACAUGCGUAAUUAUUUUUAUUAAAUUAUGACAAUGACAUAGUAGUAUUGUUGACGAAACAACACUAUCAACCGAACUCCGCUCGGAAUCGUUUUUACGUUACCAAUGGUUUAUUAUUGCUUACUACAAUUAUACAUUAAAUUACCACUCUACUACCUUCCCAACUUUUAACCUACAACAGUGACUGCAAAACAGUUUACCCAAAAUAAACGAACGUAGCGAGAAAACGAUAUUCAAAUUCCUUUUUCCUUCCAUAAUGUUUAACAAUUUUAAUUGUAUUGUCUCCUUAGUUUUCCUAAAUAUCCUUAGUCUUUCACCGUGUAUACGCCAGUGUAAGUCUUAUCCUUAUAUAUCUUGGAUUCUAUGAUACUGUAUGAUCUCCAUGAUGCUCGACCUUUGUUUCAAUACUCCCAACACAGUUUAGGAUUUGUGUUAAUAUACUAAUAUAGGUUAGGUUAGGUUUCUCUCUUACUAUACUGUCUAUAUAAAUUUACUAUACGAUGGAUUUAGGGUGAAACACGUUUAAAGAAGAUAUCAUAUUGACUAUGGAAUGAAGUCCUUAUUUGAAAAAUUUGAAUCGCAUUACCGUUAAAUAAAGUUUAGAUUCUGAGUGGAGCGAAGAAGCUUAUGGUUUUAUAAAGAUGUUUAUUUAUUUUUAUUUUUUUUUUAUCUAUCCGUGGAUAACGCUCUACUUUACAAAUGAUAACAAAUUAUCUGAAUGGAAAUCUGACUGGGGUGGUACUUUAGAGAAGUCGGUUUUUGAUUUUCUCUCCAGUUUUUCCGAUAAAUGGGAAAACCGUAGGAAAAUCGGGAAAAUAGGUAUAACAUUAAACGAAUAUAAUUAAAAAAAAAUAUACAAUGCCUAUGUAAUUAUUUUAUAACAUAUUGUUGAGAAAGCAUAGUGUAGUGCAGUCACUAUCAACUAAACUCGUUGCAUACAGAUGUACAAUACAUAUUCUCUUUAUUAUUUUCCCAACCUCUCACCUACAACAGCGGCCGCACCCAUUUUUCGGUACACUUUAUAAACUAUACAAAUCCUAAGACUGUAUACAUCUAUACACAAUAGACACUCUAUAUUAUAUGGGGCGUGUAAAAAAUUGUUUUACAUUCCGAUAACUUUCUUCUCGCGGAGGUCACGUAUUUUGAAUUAUUUUGUUGCACCUAAACAAUUAUUAUCAUUUGUGGAACUGUACAUAGAGCAUACAAUUUGGUUACCAUGACAUUUACUGUGCCUAUGUGUGUACACAUUUUUAAACCGUAUACGUGAUUUAUAUUGUACAUUAUACAGUAUAUACGUUUUAAUAUUUUAUCAUUAUUCAAUAUGCUGUUAUGUAUUUGAAGAUUCAUUAAGUUUCGAGUCAAUUCGAAAUAAUAAAAACAAUACGGGUAAUCGAUAUACAUAAGUAAAUACCCGGAUCCUAGGCACACUUAAAAUCAGUAGCGCAACCACAAUUUGUUCGAGGAGGGGGGAGGUUGAUCAAAGACUUCUAUUAGGGUAUAUGGCCGGACCUCGACACCUCUCCCGGUUGUGCCAUUUCUUAGAAUUUAUUUUUGCCAAUGAAAUUGAUAUGUAAUUAUUCAUGUUACAAUAAAAAUAUAGAAUUUUCGUAACCGACUAAUGAAGUGUCCGAAUGUAUUUUUAAAUACUUGACGAACAAGUUAAAACGAAUAAAUGUUUUAAAAAAAAAAAAAAAAACAAAGAAUAUUAAAAUAUGUUUUCAAAAUCAAAUUCGGCGAGUUGGGGGUUGUGAGGAAAUUUGUCUCUAGCUUGUCGGUCUGAUUCAUGAUAUUUACCCGUAAAAACGGCCGUACCACUUGGCCUUUAAACGGACAAAUCGGUCUUGUCAAUAAUGGACGGCCGUUAAGAGGUGGAAAAUGGUUUUCAAAUUUUACUCAGUAGAAAUCGAAAAAAAAACCGUUUCCGACCUCGUCGAAAUAUUAAUACGAUCGCUAUAUGCACAUUGCGCGUUUGCUACAUAAUAUCAUUUCGCAUAUUAUAAUAUGCAUUAGGGAGCUCUACGACAUCUGUACGUGCGUUAUAACACAAGUAGGCACUUACAUUAUAACACUCCAGGAACGAAGUACACGACGGCAGCGGCGGCGGACGAAUAAUGGUCGACGUCGGCAGUAGUUGAGCAUUACUGCAGCAGAGCCGCUGCGGUGUUUUUAUUUUCAAUCAUUAAAUCGGUUAAACGUAUCUGACGGACCUCCUUUUCCAUUCUUCCCUAUUCAUCACGGGUACUUUAUUCCCUUAUAAGUGUUCUGUAUUUCCUAUACGAUUUGUUACGUAAACAGAUACCUUGGUCAUCCCACUUUAUCCACGACCUUCCCGUCCACAAUUAUUUUGUUGCCGUCCGUUCAUUACGUCUCAUCAUAAUAUUAUGUCCGAUAAUAGGUACAAUGUUAAAAAAAAAUAUAUUAUAAUGUCUAAUUAAUUAUUUCACUAUAAUAUGACGUAUAUAUUGUUAACAAAGCAACACUAUUAACAGAACUCAGCUCAGAAUCGUUUUUCCUUAGCAACGGUUAACCGCUACCUACAGAUUGACAUGCAAUUUCUCGUCUACCGUUCCAACUUCUCACCUACAACAGUAGCCCACCCACGUGCUGCGUUUGAUCCGUUUCUUUUGAUUCUUUCUCUUAUCGUAUUCCGUAGCGUUUUCCGCUCGUUCAUUGUCGAGUAUGCGUCUUAUCUAUUUUUCGCUCCCCCUGUGACCGAGAAAUGUCCAGCGUUUGCGUCAUUUGCGUUUCCGUCCCGCACAGCGGUUGAGCGGUGCGUAAUUCUUUUCACGCGAUACUAUAGUUGUUGUGCUAUCCCUAGUGCACUAGCUAUUUUGCAAUAUUGCGCGUAAUCUGGUGUGUUAGAAUUCGUACUAUGUUCUAUUCACACUAUUAAAACUAUAAAAGGUACUAAAAACUAGUAGCAAAGAUAAAAAGGACGAUAAGAAAACUCCUAUAUUUUGUGCAUCACGUUUUUGAUUAUUAUUUACAGUACGAUGUAUAGUAUUUUAGCGUAGGUGCCUGGUAGUUUUUGUAUUUACGUUCGUUUACAGCCGCGAUAACAUAAUAAAUGUUGAUCAAACGUCCGUGUUCCGACCGGUGCCGAAUAUUUCUAUGCCGGUAACUAGCGUGGAAAACAGAAUACGUUUUACUAUCAAAACUACUAUACUAGCUAUCGAACUAGAGACAGCACAACAACUAGUAUCGUGUGUAACGGGCCUGAUAAGGCAUCUCAAAGACCUGCAUUAAGGCCCAUCGCCGCAACAACAACGCCCUUCUACUUCUCCCCGCCCCUUGACGCUUCCACCGCGUUCUCCACUCCAAUACCCCAUUGGCCCUGUCGGCCCACCGUGGUCCGGGUCGUCUCCGGUGCCGUUUCGCUACGUUCCCCGCUGUCAUUCACCGGAAUCUCCUUAACACGGCCGGCCCGUUUCGUUCUACCGCCCUCCGUGAUAACGUCGGCUUUUCCGAAUAACCGAAAACGUAGUGUAUUAUUGCUGCGACGUACGCGGGAAGCUCGGCGCGCACGUGCGUUCUAAUAUAAGUAGGCACUUAUUAUAAUACCGCUGCGGGAACGAAACACGCGGCGGCGGACAGUUAUCGGCGGGCGAGUAAUGGCCCGGCGUCGGCGUCGGGAGCGGUCGAGCGUCGCCGCGGCAGCGAUGCAAAACGACCGCGGCGUUUUAUGCGCCCGUAAAUCUCUCCGGCGCGCGGGGCGAGGGGGCUGCGGCCGGUCCGCGGGUGUUACUACGGUCCGCACGGGCAGUCCGCAAUUAGCGAUCGUUCGCGAAACGCCGCCGUGGCGAUCGACGCGGCGCGUACACGGGGGUCGCAAGAUAAACGUGUACGGAGGUGUCCGCGCGCGCGGUCCCGACCGGUCGGCGCGCGUUCGAGAAGACGUACGGCCGCGGCGCGCCGACCGGCACAUAAAUUCCCGGGGCCCGGCAGGGUACGCCGCCGCGGAGUCGACUCGGACGCGGGAAAUGCGCGGCGGCGCGGCGACCGGCCGGGGAUUUAUUCGGUUUGAUUUUCGAACGGUCCGAGAAAUAAAAUCGGCCAUUAAGAGACCGCCGCCGCCGCCGCCGCCGCAACGCCCCCCCCCCUCCCCCCCCCCCCCCCGCUCGCGAAACGUUAAGACGAAAGAAGAUGGAAAUGACCUGUACCCGCCGUAAUAUAUUACGCGCCCGUUAAUGUACACGCGUAUAUUGCGCGCGCGCGCGCGCGCGUACGCAAACGCCUCGGGUUCGAUUUUUCGAAAUGGCUUUUUAUCGCGUUUUCGCGAUUUACGCGUUUCCGCGCGGUACACAAGCGGCGGCGGCGGCGGCAGCGAUUCUUUACUUAUCCGCGCGUCUUCCGCACACGCGCCGCUCGACAAUUUCGGGCGGGGUUUUUUUUUUUUUCUCCGCGCUUUUCGGUUUUUACCCGAUUAAUUUAUUCGGCCGCGCUCGCGCCGCGUAUAAAUCGUCCGCGCAACAAUAAUAUAUAUCAUUGUGCCGGUCGCAAACGGAUAUCCGAAUUCUCGCCAAUAUCGUUAAAUUUACAAAUUACACGGGAUGCGGAUCCGGUUUUUUACGGACGUUUUACACCGGCGGGCCGCAGUGAUACGCACCUACGCUGCCCGUACCGCCGCGAUUUAUGUUCCGCGAAAACUCUAAUUUGAAUUAUCCGAUAUCUCGUCCGCGCGGUUUCGUGCACAAUAUCGUUUGUUCGGUUUAUCUCGUUCAUUAUUCCGGUUAAAUUUCACGAUAAGCGGCGGCGUGCGCGGGUGGGGGUCAUACGCCCUCCAUUUUGCUUUGCAAAUACAAUCUACGGCUGUUUAUUUCGCAAUUUAAUCUCGAAGUGCAUAUGUAUUUCGGCCAAGUCACGUGGAAAAGUUCGGUCCGUCGAUUAAAUGUUGGUGUUUUUGAAUCUAGCUUUUAAAAUCCCACGCGGUCAAGUCGAGUCAAGAGAGAAUACGCGUGCACGGUUCGUGCAUAGUUAUCAUUCGCUACGUCCUCUCUCAUUGAAAUAUUUUGAGCACGCCACUGUACACGAUUACUCAGAGGAGUAGCCAGUUUAUCAUUUUUUCUUAAAACAAAUUCAAAAAAAUACACACAAACAAAAAAAAAAUGUUUUUUUCAGAUUUCAAAAGAAUUAAACACAUUAUACAUAAGUUAAACGAAUGAGACAUAUUGAUGCCACACACAAUACUAAAUAUUAAUAUUGUUCUCGUUCUUAUUUAUCUAUUAUUUCAUCGUAGUGAUUAAAGAAGGAGGCCGGGGGAAAUCCUACCCCUCCUUAUUUAAGGUAAAAUUAUCAGUCUUCUUUAGUAUAAAUCUUCAAAGUUAGCGAGUAGUUAUUUUCACUGAGAUAUUGUUAAUCGAAUAUUAAGUCUAAUUAAUUUAAUUAAAAUUUAAGUAUUUUAUAGAUUUGUUUUUAUUAAAUUAACCAAACUUAUAAAAAUCUAUUGUUUUCUGUAUAGGUCCAUUGAUAUGUGUGAAAUUUGACACGUUAUGCAACAAAAAUCUUCCACAAGUUCUAGCUGUACACCAUCACUCGCGGUGAUAAGGUUAUCUUUGCUUGUGACGCUGAAAAAGAGUCAAACUGUCACGGCUUGUACGGGGUGAAUAUGGCCAAUUGAAUUAAACCUGUAAAGUUUACGCUACUCGAGAUGUCUUUAUACUAAAUUCCACCACAAUUAGCGACCAAGAGUGAACAGAACCGUCGGUUAUUAUAGUCAAACAGCCGAAAAGCGGGUAAAGUCGGACUUGAAUUUUGUGGCCAGCUCACAGGAGUCAACGCCAAAAUCGUUACUCGAAUAAACGCGAAAUUGAGAAAUACGAUUAUCUUGUUUAUACUACAAUUUCGGUAGGAGGGGUUUUUUUUUCUAAUUAUAUUUGCCAACGUUUUAGCAAAAAUUCUUCAAAAGGACCACAGCGAUACACGGAGGAUUGCGUUUUUAUAUAGUUUACCGAGCCGCCAAGUCAACUUGGCGCACCAUUCCUUAAUAAGUUAUUGACAUUUCAUCUUGGGAGGUGCUGAGAACAUGAUUGCACUCCCCGAUUUUAAUUUAGGGUCAUAGUCUCAAACUCAAUAAUAACAACAAUUGUGCUAGUUAUUUCUGUAUUUGGUGCUCGUUUUCAAGCGCAUUUGAACUUUUGAACGUCGUCCAAAAGACUGCCUGUAUAUACACGCCCUAAUGUGUUGAGUUGGUAUAUAAUUUAGGUGUUAUUAUAAUGCAUCCCUAUAAAUAAUAUUAUGUUGCAUUAUCUUUACAUCUUUCGGACCCUCGCUGAACUAUCUUUAACGCGAAUCAUUUUUUUGUGUUUUUAUACAAUAUUUUUGCCGAUACAAAUGAAAUAAAAUAAUAAUUAUCAAUCGAUAUAAAGUAUUAUUAUUAUUUUUUUAAUUUCUAUUGGUCGUUAUGUCAAAUAAUUCGUGCAGAUAAACAGAAAAACAAAGGACUGUUACUGCUGAUGGAUGCGCCUAAAGUUACAACAGUAGGGCUUACAUAAAGUAAUUUGACUUUCCGGGUUUAUCUGUACGUGACGAUAAAUCGUUGCUAACGAAAUGCGAUUCCGAGUGAUUAAACAUGUUUUGAAAUGCCGUGGUUUUCGCGAUUCCUAUAAAAAUAUAACUUGAAAAAUCUAAUAAAAAAAAAAAAAAAACCCAUUACGUUACGUUUGAUUUAACCUCGUAUUAAAUUUUCAAAUAUGAUAGCAGGACAGACAAAAUUACGUCUACAUAAAAUCAAAUAAAAAUUUUAAAACUUUUUUUUUAAAUUAAAUUUUAAGCAUAAUACUCUGAGUGGAUUAACAAUAAUUAUAAUAUGCAUGUCCGAUGAAAAUUCAAUAUAGUAAAUUACAGUAUUGUUACAAUGCACCUAUUGUGUUCACUUAAAAAAAAAAAAAACACUGAAGUGGCCGUCAAUAACAACGCGUAUAUAAAUCGAGUAAAUUCGAAUGUUGAUACUAUAUUGAUAUAAAAUCACCUGUAUAUACGCACAUUCAAUUUAAUCGAUAUGAGGUUUUAAGAAUUUUCAAAUAGAUUGAAGUACAAUAAUAUUAAUAUAAGUUUCCUCCAUAUAUUUAUCAUCGACCUCCUAAACUGGAGAAUUUAAAAGUUGAAAAAUUUGACUGUUAUUUUAUUUUUCAUGAUAUUUCAUCACAUUCAGCGCUAACAUAUUUCGUUUUACCGUUCGAGUGAAACAAACUAUAAAAGAUAUAGUUGAUUGACAUCAACGAAAUUUAUAAAAUAAUAAUAAUAAUAGUAAUGAGAAAAGUUAUGAUAAUAAUUAUAUUGAAGAAUUAAAAAACUUAAAAAAAAAAAAAAAACGGUUUUCCAUUACUAUUAUAUUUAUAAGAUUCAUAAAAUAUUCAUAUUGUAUUGUUGGUAUACACCUACGAAUAAUACCCUUAGGAUACAAUAUAUUAUCGUGGCCGUGAUAUUACUCGCCGCAGUAAAGUUAUAAAUCAGAGCGUGUUAAAAAAAAAAAAAAAAAAAAAACACACGUCGAUAAUUCCAUAGGCCGACUACCUAUUAAUAAUAAACCGAUUUAGGUAUACGUGGUAACCUGGUGGUGCAGCAGUGUUUGAGAUACCCACGAUGAAACUACAUACAGGUACAUAAUACACGCGGUGCAAUCUAUAUUAUAGGUGUACGGUUACAAUAAUACAAACAUAAUAUUGUAACGGUAAUAAAAUAAAACAUAAAUAAUAAUAGUCACAAGAAAAUUGUAUAGCGUUUCUCAUUUUGGACUGAACGGCUGCAGUUGGACACCGCACACAAAACGUGUGCGCCUAUAUACUUGUCUAUUGCACGGCAUCAAUCGUCACUUAAAGAUCAAAUUUAUUUUGACGCCUUUAUGUUAUUAUUAUUAUUAUUAUUAUCAUCAUCGAUGGGCAUUCGAUGUUGUUAUUGACGGCUGUCGAUUCGACUGUCAUUGUAAUCGCGUGAUGGACGAUAACGGCCGAAAAGAAACUUUCGGGUAUGGUGUCGGACAGCGGCAUGUUGAUGCACAGGGGCAAAAAACGAUCUACCAGCAAACGGCAUGUAUCAAUUACCAUUGAUACAUGAAAAACACCCUACCGUGCUGUGUAACCAUAGGCGUGCACGCCUAUGCCUAUGGAAGUUAGGUUUGUGUGCCUGAGCGCCUCAUGACAUUUUGUAAUUGGGACCCUAAAAUCUAAGUCCCAGAGCAUAAGGCCCGUAUUUUAACUGAUGUCACUAGAAUAGUGUGUAAUACAUUUCUAAUUUAUGUGGUAAAAGUAAAUCAUGUUUCCUGAUAAAAAAAUAAAACGUAAACUGUGUUUAAUUUGCUUGGAAAAAUGUAUUAUGACUACAACAGCUAGAUACUGUUGACUACCAAAGUACAAAUAAUAAGUAAACAUUAGAAAUAUAGUGGAAAUAGAUAUUAGAUUCAAGGAGCAUUGUAUACGUUACUUGUGGUUUGUGUGAACGGGUAUUUUCAAAAUUAAAUAUUGUGAAAAUUAAAUGGCCCGAGACCGUUUGGAAUCAUUAUUUUUUUCUUUUUAUGCGAGAAUAAGAAAUGGCCUCUAAUGUCGAUGUGCUUUAGGUUAUUAAUGAGUUUAAUAACUUAAGUAAGAGGUGCGUGUUACUAUAAAUUUUUCAUUUUUGCAUUAAAUAAAAAAAUGUAAGUGGUGUUCAUGAGUAAAUUAAAAUGUAUUAAAUAUACAAGUCUUGGUAAGAAAAAUUAAGAAAAUAUUGUAGGCAUCCCCGGAAUUCGGGUCUGCGCACGUCUAUGAGUGUGACACUGUGAUUCGUCGAAUCACCAUAAUGGAUUUGUGAAACGGAUCGGGAAAAAGACCGACGGAGACUCACGUCCACGUCUAUAGAAAGCCAGCCACGUUGAGUUACCUAUGCGAAACAAUAACACUUAACACAUUUUUAGUCGACACAAACUAUGAUUGAAAUUAUAAUAGCGCGACGUGUAUAAUAUAUUGAUUAUAUUCUUAUGGAAGAUACCCACCGUAAGAUUUUGAUUGUAAAUUCGCCGGUAGAUCGAACCGUUGGUCGCUAUUAUACCGGCGUUUAACACAAGUGGAUAAGUAUACAGAUGAAGAUAAAUAAUCAGAAAUUUUUUAUCUUUAUUAAAAAAAGUUUAAGAGAUUGUUUUUUUUUUUUUUUUUUAACUGUUACAAAACUAAAUGCUAAAAUCAGGUUAAAGCGUACCUGCAUCUACAUAUAGUAGAUACACAUCAAUAGAUUUCAUAUAAAGGUUGUGCGGUUGACGUGAACCGAUGACUAAUUUAUCAAACCGUAUAGUAUGAUAGUAUGAUAGUGUAUCAUUGUAUAACAUAGUUUAAAUAUUUUAACAAUUAUUUCUAAUAAACACGGGCAGCUAUUUGUCUCGGAUAACUCAUUUCUCGUUUAUCCGGAUAAAAAUUAAAAAAAAAAAAAAAAAAAUGCAAAUAUAAAUAGUUAUUUAGAUAAAACAAAAUACGCUGAUUGUAAGAGAUUACGUUGCGUUCAUAUUAUUAAAGUUACGGCCGCGACAAGUGGUCGAUUUUACUCGUUUCCGUCGUCGUUGUCGUAGCGUUUACACGGUAAUUAUUACCCCGCGAAGGCCGCACGCCCGUCGAUAUCUGCGUGUUAAAAUAAGGAGGGCACACCCGCGUUUAGUGUCUCGGCGCAACACCGACAAAGGCAACGGAAACGUUUAAAACAAAACCCGAUAGUUAACGCGGUCGUGUAACUUUUUUUAUCUUGAUAAUGAUUUUUGGGAAAACUGCGCUGCAGAAACCGUCCUCGAAAAUAUUUCUCGUCUCCUCGAUAUAGUUUGUUGUCCGCAUUUAAACUCUAUAAUAUUUCAGUCUAGACGCCAUAAUUUACGUUUAUGUUCCGAGCAACGUUGUGCUGUGUCGCCCGCGGAUCCACGCCGAUAAAUAUGAUACAAUAUGAAUUCGAAAAUAACAGACAACGUUCUCGUUUUCCCGAAUUGUUUUCUUUCUGGUUUUCCUCGUCAUUAAAAAAUGACUUCCGCAUAAUCGUUUGAUUACGUAAUUUAUGUCCGUAUACGGAACGAUGAAUAAUCGCCAACAAAAUACAAAUUCAGAGGUAAGUUUUGUUGAACGUGUUUUGAAAUGCCACGGUUUGUACGAUUUCCUGCACUUUCUAAUCUAUUUAGAAUAUUGAACCACACGACUAUACUCCAGUACUCCAGUCCAAUAUCGUAUAUCUUGAUAACCGAACGGCAUACAGUAUUAUUAUCUAUACGGAGCGAUAAGCAUAACGUAGUAAGACGUUUAUAAUUGCCGCGGAAAGUAUAAACUUUUUUCAGAAUUUGUUUUUUAGAAUAUAUAAAAGAAUAAGCAGCUCUACGAUUUUACGCUAUUUUCCGUUACCCUUAUAGUCGGCGGUCAAACCACUACCUACAUUAGAUUUUCGAACGGCAACUUUUACUGAAAAUUCCGCCAAACAGGCGGACCGUUAUAGUUUAAAUGCGUUUUGCCAUUUUUUUUUUCUUUCGAAGCGGUUUCGCCCGCCCAGGGCGGCGAAAAAUAAACCUAUACUAUUUCAGAGCAUCGCGUUUCUUAAACGAUCUGGAAAAAAAAAAAACGAAUUCCGAAAAAUUCAAUGCUUUCCGGGACGUAUAUGAGUACCGCGUCAAGUCGACCGUCCUGUAUGUCGACGCGGUAUGCCGUCGUCGGCUCCCGUCCGGUGCGGUUAUGCGGAUCGAGACUAUACAUAAAUGCGGCUAUAUAGGCAUAUUAUUAUUAUUAUUAUUAUUAUUAUUAUUGUCGUACAGCCCCUUUGUUAUUACUUUACGAUCGAGAACCGAGAAAAUAUUGUUAUCGUUACCAUUAUUAUUGCGGACGGCUUCUACUCGCGAACUGGUCUGCGUACGAACGGCACGCGUUACUACGAGCGUUACUUAUCCGAUAUAAAUUUAUAGAAUGUUGUUGUUUAUCGAUUAAAACAAACAAAUAUUGUUGAGAAACAUUAUGUUGAAAAUGAGUUAUCCCCAUUCUUGUAAUGUCAUUUGUAUCCCUGAAAACUACAGUACCUUUCCCCUGAUCGGGCAGCGCAUUAGUCGGACAAGUGUUCUUCUUUUUUUUUUUUUUUCAAGAAGGCGAUUGGAAUUGUAAAAGUAAAUUUCAAAAUUCACGAAAUCUGAGAAAAUUUGGAAAACCGACAUUGUGUCCCGUAAAAAUUUAAAUUUUGGGCCGCUAACUUGUCAUCGAAAUGAUCGAAUCAAGCGUAGUAGGUACUACUCGAUUCGUCUGACACUGUUAGACAGGUCACAAACAAGUUUUUUGUUUUUAGCUCUAUGUAUGAAUCCGGCAACGGCGACAACUCGUUUCGUUAUAUUAUAAUGCGCGUUUUGAUUCCAAACGGCCGCCAUACAAAUAAUAAUUCCAAACGGUAGUCUAGACGGAGACUUUUAGACGGUCAAUAUAUUAUAGACGUAGGCGUAGACGUCACACAUUAGUUUAAAAUUUAAACGCCGCACGCCGAUAUCGGAAAAGUUAUUAAGUGUGUUUGCGCGCGGUUAGGUUUUCGGUACAUUGAUAAUAAUUGAGAUUUACGCGAAUCGCGAUUUUUACGACCGGGUUUCUCGUGGAAAAAUAUUGGCAACUGGAAGAGAAAAACAAGAAACAUAAUACGUAUAAUAUAUCAUUAUUGUACGGUAUCGCCUUUAUCGCCUUUUACAAUUCGUUUUUCUAAUAUUUAUUAUCAUAUCGGGCGACCGAAUUUCAUACGUAUAUUAUUAUAGGUGCGCGUCCUCGCAGUGCGGCUGCGGCGCUUCCCGCCCGCGCGAAACAAUACUUUGCACCCGCCGCACGACGAGAUAAAAAUGUACAGGGUUUUUAUUGUCAUCGUUAUUAUUAUUAUUGUUGUUGUUAUUACUACGCCAGCCAUUGUCGUCGCCGUCGUCGUCGUUGUCGGGAGACGUUUUCUGUUGUGUGAAAACAUUGUGUGUGUGUGUGUGUGUUAUGUUUUUGCAUCGGAAUAAACCUCUCGCCCGUCUUUAUAAUACUGUUUACAAACGAAAUCAUUACGACUAAAUUUUCGCCGGGGACCGACACAAUGGUUUUCGGAGUCAUUUGGGAAUAAAACAAAAAACCGUUUCCGUAUGAUUCGAUAUUUAUACGCCAACGUUAUAUUAGCUGGGUCAUUGGAAUUUUAUCGCGGACGAGAUAUGUUUUUUUAUGAUUUUCGACGGUUUUCGGAAUGAAUUAAGGGCUCAAGUCGCAAACGGUUAAAUUUUACACAAGAGACGAAAAACCGAUCAAGACCUUUAGCGUUUUACCACUUACAGGGCUUUCUUGUGUCGAAUCGACAUUUUACGAGAAUUUAAAAACGUUCGAAUGACUGCACUUAUUGCACCACAAACCUGAAUGCUGUUAGCUACUGUUAGUCACCGUUCAAAGCGACUUGAAAUUUCACACAGCGAAAAUGGUCAAAACCUAUUAUCGAAUCAUUUAUUAUAAAAAAAAAAAACCGUCUACCUAUUAUAAUAAUUAAGACUGCACUGUCAGUUGAUUUUUUCCGUUGGUUUAUAGGUAAUGUCUGGUUUCUUCGUUUUUCUGGACAGCCAUGUAUCAAACCUUUUUACAUAUUGCAUCGAAUAACGUUCACCAUACUAAAAAAAAGAAAAAAACAUAUGGACAUAAUUCGCACGAUGGAUAGGCCACUGUUGUAGGUGAGAAGUUGGGAAGGUAGGAUAUAUAAGGGAAUUUAAUUAUAUGUCUGAACGCAACGAUUAAUCUUUGCUUACGAAAAACAAUUCUGAGCGGAGUUUGGCUGUACAUCGUGUUUUAAAAAGCCAUAAGGUUAGGUUUUACGGUUUGAAAAUAAUUAAUUUCGUAAAUUUUCCCUUUUUCCAAAGUUUUUCCCCGGUUUUCCCAUUUAUUCUAAAAACCCCUAGAAAAAUCGAAAAAAAAAUUAGGUACCAUCCCAGUCAAAUUUCCUUUCAGAAAAAUGUUUACAUUUGAAAAUUGGAGUAAAUUUGCCGGUGGAAAUGUCCGCAGAAAAAAACCACGUGAAAUCAAUAUGUUCCUCACUCCGCUGAAAAUCUAAAAUUAUGGGAUAAAUAAAACGUACGCAUCAGUUACGCCGAUCAAUUUCUAAAUACGAAUAUAUAAAAAUGCGAAUUAGUAUAUUUUGUUAUUAUCUCCUCGAUACGUACACUGCUGAAUAUUGCAUCUCUUUUACCGUAUCUUUGGGCAUCGUAUGAUACAUCAGGCGAGAGAAAUACAAAUUCUUGUGCGUCGUUUUUCCCAGUAUUGUCUCUGGAUAUAUAACAAUGGGUAUAUAUUCGUGGGACACCCUGUAUAAUAAUAUACAGGUAGUGUUCAAAAAUCGGUGCAAUUGCUGAACAAAGACCUAUAUUAUUGUUACACGAAAAAAGCGAAAAAAAAAAAUUAAAAUAAUAAAUCCCUUUUGAUCUCAGGUAUAUGGGUACCGAACAAUUCCUCACUGUUUUUUUUUUAAAGAAUUUUUCAAUAAUAGGUCAAUACGAUAUAAAACCAUCAUGCGAACAAAAUAUUUCCGAGCGGAACUAAUCGUUAUUGAAAACACGAGAAUAUUCCGUAUGGUAUAUAAAUCAUCGGUGUUUGCAAAUAUUGGUACAAUAAGGACCGAUUUGUCCUUGGGCACUAAAAACCAAUUUCACGGUUUACGUUUUGUCCUUUUUAUUAUAUUAUUAAAAAUUAUAAAACCCAUACAUGUACUAUACACGCGUAAUACUCGUAUCGUAUUCACCUGGGUGGACCUGCUUGAUGGUAUUUUAAACACGAUGUAUACGUAUACAAUACCGAAUAGGUUUGCGUGAGGUUUUUCAACACUCGAAAUGUAAUAUGAUGUUAAAGACAAAAAUAAAAAAAAAAUUAACGACUCGAGAUUUUCGAUUAUCGAAACCGAGUGUUUUUUCCCCGACGGUUUUAGAAACCAACUCGUUUAUCUAAUACGAUAAUAACACGGUGUAACAAGUAUUUUAUAAUAUACCUGGUUGGUAAUAGUAGUAGUACAUGUAAAUUGGUACCUACCGAAGGUAAGAAAAAAAAAUUAUUUAUCAACGAAUCUCCAGCGUCGUCGUCGAUGUAAAAAUGUUUCGGACGAAUAUAACGGGACUCUAUUUUGGAUCUUCUAUAUUCAUCUAAUUUUUUUUUUUUUUUUUUUUUACUAUUUCAACUAUAAAUAAACGUACGCGAUAUAAUAUGAUAAUACUGUGUAAAAAAAAAAAAAAAAAACUUUCUAAUAUAAGGGUAAGUACUUACAUAUAGGUAUUAUUAUUAAAUGACUAAAACGCCUACGGUAUAAAACGUAUUUGUUUUACAAUCAAACCUGUAGUGAGGCGUGUAGGUAUACGUAAAAACGAACAGGUCGGUUGCGUAUUCCAACAAGGUGUGUGACAUGAUUGAUUGACUGAUAGGUAUUAAUUACUGUACAACAAUUACGGUGACGAUAGGUUUGAAUUAUUUAUCUAUUUCUUCAUCGAUUGCGACGAUGGCGAAGAACAUUAUCUGGACGCUUUACAAUAAUUACAUUUUAGAUUCUGAGCGGAGCGCGAAAUUUAUCGGUUUUACGAUAGUAUGAUUUUACAUUCUGAGUGCAGCGAGGAAUUGGUAUAUUAUUUUUUUUUUUUUUGCGGACGAUUUUUCUACCAGGAAUUUUGCUCCGAUUUACAAUUAUAGCGCUUUUUCUGAAAGGAAAUCUGACUGAGGUGGUACUCUAGAGAGGUAAUUUUUCGGUUUCCCAAAGUUUUCCCAAUAACCGGGAAAGAACAUGGGAAAACCGGGAAAAACGGGAAAAUAGGUACAACAUUAAACGAAUGUUAUUGUAGAGGAUAUACGUUCAAUGCAUAUGCAAAUUGACCAUAAUAUUAAGACAUAUAUAUUGUUGACAAAGCAACACUAUCAACCGAACUCCACUCUGAACCGUUUUUUCGUUAGCGAUGGUUGCGUACACAUUUUCCCCUUACUACCUUCCUACUUCCCACCUACACCAGUGGCCCUACAACACUUGCGAAGUAUGUCCGUUAUUUUUGAUUUUACCGUAUUAAUUUUGAUUUUCUGUCUGUAUACAACAUUUCCGAUGGAUAUCGGGUUCAAAUCGUUAGUUUUAGAGGCGAUUACUGGUUUCGGGAGAGGAUUCCGUCUAGUUGUUGCAUUAAGUAUGUAAUUGUUGUCGAUUUUCCCUUAUAAUUUCGCGAAUAAUCGUAGAAAAACGGGAAUGUUUAAUCAUUAAUGGUUUAUUUCAUUGUUUUUUUUUUUCUUUUGUUUUCUGGUUGAAAAUAAUCAUAGAAAUCUGCAAUGUUCAUCGAAUACUCUUAUUUGAUUUUUCUAAACUUGAUAUUAUUUUCGAAAUAUUUUUAUCCAAUUAUUUAUAGUUAUUUUCGAUUUUAUUUUUUAUUCCAGUUUAACGAGGUUAAUAUAUUUGUUGUUUUUUAAAAAAAAAAAUACUACACUAUUUUAAUCAAGUAUCUUCAUAGAUAUAUUCCACAUGUGGUAGUACAAAAAUAUCGAAAAUCCGUAAUCGUUUCUUUUUUUUUUUUAAUAUAAUUUUUAGUCCAGAUUUUGACGAAAAUCGUAACAAUCAUCAACAUUUGCAUAUUAUUAUAUUAUUUUUCGAUCUAUGUGAAUUGAAUAUUAUCAGCCCCGUUACCAUGUUCAAAAACUUUACACAAGAAUCAUCGUACGUUGUACUCAUAGUGGUUUGAAAAAUGUUUUAAAUGUUUAUUUUUCUAAACUUAUUCGAGUUGAUGCAUAUGUGUACACUUACGUAUUAUACUUAUGUAGUUUUCAUAUUGGAAUAAAAUUAUUCAACUUGCGCCUGUAUGCUAAACAUUUUAUUUCACAAUAAAUUGCUUAAUAAUUUAUUUUUUAUUAUAGUUUUUAAAUCAGGUGCAAAACAAUAAUAAUAUAUCGAUCUACCCAUUAAACUAAACCAUUAUAAAUAUUACUCGAUGAAACGUUGUAAUAAUAUAGUAUACCUAAACGUAAUUUACAUGUAUAAUCGUGUUGUGCGAGUGAAUAAACAUCAAUUACUUUAUAAUAACGAUAAAUAUUAUAAUAUUAUAGCUAGACAGUAAAUUAUAAUAUAAUUUAUAGCAAUAAAUUUAAAUGCCAUAUCAAUUAUUACGUGUUUAUUGAAACAAAUUUUUUUUUAAAAAAAGGCUGUUUAUGUUUGUGUAAUGUUGUUUUAGGCGGGCAGUUGGAAAAAAGUAUGUCUAGUGUAAUUGAAUUUAUAUCUGUAUGCAAUGGUAAACGAUUGCUAAUGAAAAAUGAUUCUAGGAUGCAGUAUAUUAAUAGUCGUUAAGGUUGUAAUACUUCAGAAGGGCAAUCGCUUUGCUGAGUUAGAAAUAGAAAUUAAAUUAACAAAUUAAUCUCGUUGCGAGGAGACCGAAAUUACUAAACUACUUUUUAUGAUCCUGAAACAUUUUUCGUAUGGAUGUUUAUUAAGACACGUGUUUAUCAAAAUAAAUCUCGAUAUUUAUACAAGAACUCGUACGAGAAAUUUAACGUGUAAUGGACGUGUGUGAAUGAGUGCACGGGUAGUAGGAUGAUGGGAUAGGGGGAGAGUUUUGGGUCACAUGCCCGAUAUUGUUUUUCACGUUUGAACCUCAGGAUGUCCCGAAGCGAAUAAUUUGUGUUAUGUACCUUUUUAUGAAAAAAUAUUGUAUAAUUCGAUUAAUGUAUAUAGUAGAUUUAAUUCCGGUAUUCAUCAUACCCUAUAUUAAAAACAAAAAUAUUCUUUAUAAUAUUUUAUAUAUAUUUUUAUUUUCAAUUUUAUUUAUCUUUAAUAUUUUAGUUGUUACAUCCCCUCCCAUUGAAAAUUCCUGGGCACGCCGCUGCCUGAGCUACUGCAGGACAAGAUAUUUCAAAGUUAUCGGCUUAGUAUGAUGAUGUUAGUAUCGACAAUGUCUAUAAACAAGAUGCUGACUAUUUAUGUGACCGGUGAUGCCUGCUAGAUCUUACGUUUUACGCAUUUAAAUACUAUAUACUCCAUACGUUAAAAAUUAAAUUAUUAAUAGCGUUUUUCACGCUCGUCGUGGUAUUUUCGAAAAAAAAAGUGAUCACAUUCCCUUGGAUUUCACUUUCGCUAUUAAAUCGCUUUAAAUAUGUAACGUUUCCGAAAAUCCGAAAUUUGGACGCGACUCUCGUGUCGACGGAAAAUAUUAUUUCUUCUCCGUGCCAUACACCGUACCAUAGAAACAUUAUUAUUGUAAAUGCGGUGCAAAUAACGUCGGCUCCGGGCGAGGGGGGUGGGGGUGGGGGGUUCGGGCGCGCGCGCGCGAAAAAGAUAAAAACGAAAAGAGACGAUAUAGAUAACACGCACGACUCCCGACGGUAACGUACAAAACGCCGGGCUCCUCGAACGUUUCGAAUGCGAACCGGCCGUUUAUCAUUUAUAAAUAUAUACGUAGGAGGGGGACCACGCGUAUACAAUAUAAUGUAUAGAUGAUAAAAAAAUACUAAAAUAAAAUAAAAAAAUUGGUGCGUAGGCGCCCGGUCGUUUUUCCGCCGCGCCGUCGCGUAGCCGGGGACGGUUAGGACGCGCGCGCGCGCAAUAUCGCGUAAUAAAUCCUCGGGAUCAAAAACGCGCUUGCGCGGCCCGGCGGCGACCCGAACGUGAUAAAGUGCCCCGAAGGCUUUUAUUUUAUCUUAAAUUUCGCCGAGACGCAGUUUCCCGCACUGUUUCCCCGUCCCGCGCGUAUACAUACACACGGCAAUAAUACGUAUACAAUACACGCGGAGGCGCUCUCUUUUCCGCCCGCUCCCCGGGCCCCGAAAAUCGCUCUCGAUCUCUCUCGUUUCCUCCGGUCGUCCCGCAGUCCGUCCGUCUUCGAAACUCGAAUUCUUCUUUAUAUCCUCGCUGCGUGUUUACAUUUUAUAUUACGUGCACGCGCGCGCAUGACGCCGCGGAAAAAAGACCGGGUGAACUGCCGCGCGAGGGAUGAUGGGGGUGGGGGGGGGGUGGUGAAAACGGUUGUUCCGUGCAAACACAUAAUAAUAUAAUACGAAUACUAUGCGAGUACGCAACACCGCCCGUUCGUCCGGGACGUCCGCCGCUGUCCGGCCACUGGUUUUUAUAUUGUUUUAUUGCCCCCUCCCCUCCUCGCUCUCCUACUCCUUCUCCUAUAGACGCCGCGCGCGAUAUAUAUAAGUGUGUGUGUGUGUGUGUGUGUGUGUGUGUGUGCGCGCGCGCGUAACGAUCCCUUUGGUCCUCGCCGCUCGCGACGCGGCGUAUCCCGCGUAUACAUGGCGGCAAAAAGAGCGUGUACGAGGGCGAGCGGCGGCGGCGGCGGCGGCAGCGGCGGCGACGACGACGACGACGACGGGAGGGAAAAAAAUUAUUGCGCGCCGACACAGAGUUAUAGCGGGCAAUUUCGGAUGCGUCCGAGUUCCGGCGCGCGCGGGACGGCCUCCGUUCGGAUAAGCCCCUCGUCCGUAUAUUAUACGCGGACCUUUUUAGGCUUCGAUUCGACGUUUAUGUGCGCCCGCGUCGGCAGAUCCGUGUACGGGCGGCGUCCGUUUCGGCCCGGGGCCCCGGACCGUUGUGCGGCGUACGUCUUGUACAUUGUGGACCGUUCGCCGUGGAAUCAUACCGUAACGAUACACGCGUACACGGCACGCCGAGGACGUACGUCCUCGGUGUGCCGGGUUGAAUAACGACGCGGCGCGUGUCUGGUCGCGGACGAUCCGAGCGCGAUUAUUGGGUUCGGGGCGGACAGACGACAGACCUAUCGGGCAUUGUCUGUGCGCGGUUUUUCGUCCGGCUUUUCGACCGGAAUGCUUUGUAUCCCGAUCGUAAAACGACGCGAAACGACGUUUAUUUAUAUUUCUAUCCGUUUCUUUUGCGUUUUGAAACCGGUCGGGGCACACUAAACACGUUUUUGUUUGAUUUUCCGAGGGGUUUCGCGAAUUAACGGAAACUGAAUCAUAAAACGGCAAAUGUUCCGUUCGGAAUUACCGCGAGAAGAGAAUUUAUAUUUUCAUAGAGAUUAUUACCCGAAUGAAAAUUCUUAAGAUUACGUUAAAACGUAAGCGAUUUUGAAAUGGAUCGAACGAAAUGCGAUAGUAAUAUUACACACCUAAUUUGUAUACAUUUGAUGCGGUUAGUACGGUAAGUCCAAGAUAUUUGAGUACGUGACGUGUUGCACUUCGGUUUUGUUCACUCUCUUAUUCACCAACUAGAUCAGAAAUGCAACGAAAAAGAUACCUUGUUGCUUUUCUAUUGGAGUAAUAUCUCUGAUAGAAAACAUAAAUCAUAAAUAUAAAAAAUAAUGAAAUUGUAUAACGCCGAAAAUUUGUCAGUUUUUUCGAAUUUUUAUGAAAAAUGCUCGAGAAAUCAAAAAAAAAAACUUUUAUUGUGAGCAACAAGAUACAUAAUCCAACGAAAAAGGUCGGUUGGCAUUUUUUGAUUGAAGAAGUAUUUUUGGAAGAAAACAUAGUUUGCAAAAAUUAAAAACAAAAAUGGAAUCGGUAACGUUACGGCGCGUAGUUGCGCCGUUUUUCCAAUAAUUUUUUUCUCCCGGUUUUUUCCAAUUAAUCUGAAAACCCCUUGGAAAAUCAAAAAAAUGAUCACCCCAAUUUACCAACUGAACAAUUCUCUUUCAAAAAAGAUGCUACACUUAAAAAUCGGAGCAUGAUAUCUGGUAGAAAAGUUAUCCACAGAAACCUUUUUGAUUGGUAUUCAGGGUCGAGGUAGAUAGAUGCAGGUCCGUUGGUGUAUGAUUGACGACGAUUGUCAAUCAUCUGUUUUUGUACCGAUGGAUAUUAUAUAUAAUUUGUACAAACGCCGUUGUCUUUAAUUUAGUGAAAUAACUUUUUUUUUUAUUAAAUCUGUAUUAGAGCUAGGACAGAUGGAACUCAAAAAAUAUAUUUUUACUAUAACGCUCAUUAAAAAGACAUACUUCAAAUGUUUCUGCGGCAUCAUUUAUUUUUUUACGUCCUCUAUAUAUUCUUAUAAAAUACAAAUAUAUUGUUAUGUUAUAAUAAAACCAUUUUCAUUUUAUAGGCAUUUUUAAAACUAUAUUUCAUGGAAUUCCGAAAAUUAUUAUAGUAAGUGCGAAAACGUAAAUAACAUCACGAAAAAGUUAUAAAUAUUAAAUCAUGAUUAAAAUAUAAUUUUUUAUCAGUGUAGAAGCUCUGAUAUUAAAAUUUAAAAGUAUAAAUUUCAGUUAUUUUGUUUGUAUAACUUAAUAAUCAUUUUUUUAUGUGUAACAAAGUGAAAAUAAUAAUUUUUAGAGAAACAUAAAAUAAUAAUGCGUUCGGCUUACCUAUUUUUGGAAAAUAUCUUUAUCCUAAAAGUAUGUGUGGUUUUUUUUAACGAAAACAUGUUUUCUCUAUUUCUAUGUUUAUAUGUUUGAGCGUUUUAAUGACAUAUUUAUUAUUAAAAUGUACCGCAAUAAUUAGUUAUUAUUAUAGUAAUGGAUGUAGAUAUCGUCGUUGGUCGUAAAACGUGAGUUACACAAAAAUAUUUAUUUAAUAAAUUGCAACGAGUUUGCAAAAUAAUGUUACACCGAAGUGGCGUGCAUAAACAAACGUUUUUAAUAAUUAGAACAAUAUUUAAAGAAUGAAAAACAAAGUCAAUACUACUCGUGGGUUUGUCAUUGUUAUAGGAGGUAAAUCGGAACGGAGGAUAUAUUAAUUAAUUUCCAUAUACGUAACGAUAAACCAUAGAUAACGGAGAACGAAGAAGAGAGUACUAUGAACAGAGUACUAUUAGUCGUAUUUUCCCUUUUGUCCAACGUAACUCAAAAAACAACGAAAAUUAUAGAAAAACUGUCUGUUUUUCAAUUUAUUGGGAAAACCACAAAGAAAAUCACAAAGUGUUCACCUCAAUGCACUAACAAGAUUAAAAAUUCUACAAUAGAGUUCCCAUACAGUCUUUUCUUCGAACAUGAUUCCUAGUAGAACAUUCGUUACAACGGAGAAAAAACAAAAAAAACUUAAAAACACAUUAUAGUAAAACCAAUGUGCAUUUCUAGCUUCACCAGUAGCGGACGCGAGAUAUUUAUUCGGGAGGGGUUUUAUUUAUAAUUUUAAUAAUUUCCGAGAUGGGGGACAGCACAUAUUACCAGUACGGCGCACAAUCGCUAUUUUUACGGAAUAGAUGAUUUUCGAUGAAAUUACAUUUUAUUUUAUUGUGCGGUGUAAGAUAGUAUGUUGUUGUAGUAUGUAAAACUUGAUUUGAAAAAAUGCAGUAAAGAAAGAAAUUUCGGGGGGGGAGGGGGGUUUGACCCCCUAAUUUCCCUUCUGUGUUCGCCACUGAGCCUCUGACCCACAACUUAAAAUAAAUACGUAAUUGUAAUUGUAUAAUUUACAAUAGAAGAUAAUAUUAUAUUAACAAUAACUGAGCGACCGCUCGCUCGUCUGGAAAGCUAUAUAAUUAUAUUUAUAUUAUUAUUUACCCAGCGUAGUUCUAAGACGAUAAAAUAAUAUAUACAAUAUAUUAUGUCUAGUUUUGUAAUAUUUUUCUAGGAUUUAACGUAUUAAAAAUCCGGGAUAAAUUAUUACGGUACCGGUCAGAAUAAAUAAAAUACCAAAUGACUUCUCUCAACGCGUUAAUUCCGUUCGGGCGGUUUUAAUAAUACUCGAGAAGAGAUUGUGUUCCGCCGUCACCAAUAACACACACCUCCGUCAUAAUUCACGAGCACGUCCCGGUAUCCUAAAUAAACAUAUUUUAUAAGGGAUUAACGUAUACAUCGUCAUAAAUCUACCGACCGCGGAAAAAAUAUUAAAACUAUCCGCUCGGCGCGGCGGUGCGAUUUCCUCCCUAUUUUUUUUUUCUCCUUUUUUGUGGGAAUCUUUUCAGGAUUUUUUGUCGCGGUGAAAAUGUAAUUAUUAUUAUUUUCCGUUGACAGGCUUUAGAGCGCCGCAGAAAUAACCGAUAAGAGGAUAAAGGUCAUUUGGGCGUUGCGGCGGUGAUGACGGUCAUAGGAAGCAGCAGUCGAGUCGGUAUAUAUAAAACGAACGGCGCAGUGUAGUGGAGUGACGGGAUGAGGGGGGGGGGGGGGUAGGAGGAACCGACGGAGAAGUGUAAAGAAGCCAUAAAUAAAUACGACGAGGAAAAAAGCCAAACUGGAAUCAAGAUGAAGGGUAGAGAGCCGGCGAAACGUGGCCCGGUCCAAUAUAUCAGCGCCUGCAAUGCGGGAUUUCAAAGCCUAGUUGAUUUAUAACUGCAAAAGUUGAACUUUUCGAAAAGGACUUUCGAUAUAUCUUCCCCGGGGCUUUUUUUUCUUAUUUUUAUUUUUUAUGUUUUUCGCUCAGUUCGGUUACGAUACGAUGUUUAUUUAUAUAUAUAUAUAUAAUAUAUUUAUAAUACAUAACGGUUGUCGGGUUGUACAGCCGAUAACGUUUGAGACGCCGCCGGCGCACGUACUUUAUAAAACGUUCUAUGCAAUUGUUUUUAUUUUUCCGCAUCAUAAUUAUCAUUCUCGUAAAAAAAAAAAAAUAUUCGUAUAUUUAUGGAUACAAUACUAUAAAAUCGAGAAUUUACUUGAAAUUAAUAUAUUGCAUUAUAAAAUAUUUAAUCGCUAGUUUUUGUUUAUUUUUCUGAUUCUAGCGCAGAUGGACGCAGUUUCAGGUGACCUACCGCAGGGAUCGGUCCCGUUUUCUGGAAUAUUGUCUACGACACGCGGACGGGAGUUCAGUUAAUCGGAUUCACCAAUGACAUGGUUCUUCUAAGAGUUGCACUCACUUCAUUCGUGCUCACAGGCUUGAUCAAUUUCAACUCUUUCGAUCAUCGAUGUCUGGAUGAAUGAUCAUGGUCUCCAUCUGGCUCAUCAAAAUAUCAAGACAAUUAUAUUGACCAGGAAGUAGACCCAUUGCUAACCGAGUCUCCCAUUUCUAUAGAAAUAGAAGCUCGCGCUACCUGGGGCUAUAUAAACUCUCACCUCACCUUCAGGGGCCACCUUCAGACAGUCCCUAAUAGAGCGUCGCAGGCUGUACCGGUCGUAUGACAACUCAUGUCGAACCUCGGAGGGCCCUCUUAGUCUAAGAUAGUUAUAGUUUUAGAUUCUGUGUGUAUGACAAAUAUAAGCUAUUAAUUGUACUAAGGUGUUUGUUUCCCGAAAAAUAUUUUCGGAUACCAAAAAUAAUGUUCCGAAUGUUUUACAACAUACCUUACUUUAUUUUAAAUAUUUAUUUAGAUUUCCGACGGUUUUUUUAAUUUGUAAAAAAAACCGACAACAAACGACGUCAUUUCGGUUCAAAUUCUGGGUUACCUUGGCUACCAGGGAUACCAUGAAUAAUUCCGUCAUGUCUUCGAAAUCGUACUAUCGCCAAUAAGAGGG
rnacentral:lncRNA from 1 species